rnacentral:lncRNA from 1 species
UUGGUAAGACCAAAACUCCCAUUUAGUCCUUGUUUCUUGGUUUAGAUCGUACUAGUUUACUAGGCAGAAACUCUUCAUUUUCAUACCAAAACUAUAUGUUUUGAAAGAUCAUAAUAAGAUAUGGAGUUCAUUUACAGAAAAAGGUGAUUUUCUUUUUUCUGAAUUUGGGACAGGAUAAAGGUGAGAUAAUGACAGAUAAAAUUUUUAAAGACUGAAGGCGUCAUGAAUGAUAAAAUUUGGGACAGGAAAAAGUUGGUUUUUAUCAUUAAUUUCAAAGAACUCGCCCCCCCCCCCCCCGUCUUCAAAUUUAUACUUGUCAAAUCUCUCUCUCUCGUCUGUUUCAUAUCCAUUUUUUAAAAUUUUGACUUUUAUAUAUUGUCAUAAGCUAGACUUAUUGGAGUAUUUACUUGUGAGCUUAUGGUCAUUUCAGACUGGUGGACCCAACUACAAUGUACCCUUAGGAAGAAAGGACGGACUCAACUUUGCAACAGAACAGGCAACCUUAGACAACCUUGUUGCACCAUUUGCCAACACCACAGUCGUCCUCAGUCGCCUUGCAACUAAGGGUUUAGACGCCACCGACGCCGUCGCUCUAUCCGGGGCCCACACCAUCGGAAUCAGCCACUGCACUUCCUUCACCGACCGUCUCUUCCCUAACCAAGACCCAACCAUGGACCAAACAUUCGCUAACAACCUUAAAACCAGUUGUCCAACCGCGAACUCCAACAACACUGUCGACAUGGAUAUCCGAACCCCUAAUUUAUUUGACAACAAAUACUACGUUGAUCUCAUGAAUAGGCAAGGGCUUUUUACUUCUGAUCAAGAUUUGUUCACUGAUAGAAGGACUAGGGGAAUUGUCGAGAGCUUUGCUAAGAACCAGUCACUGUUUUUUGACAAGUUUGUGAUUGGUAUGAUUAAGAUGGGACAGUUGAACGUGGUGACCGGUGGAAAUGGUGAAAUCAGGACUAGGUGUGAUAGGAGGAACAAGGAUAAGAAGGUUGAUAUUGCUACCGUUGUUGAAGAUGUGGAGGAAACUUUCUCUGCUUUGUUUUAAGUUUAAUAAUCCUUUGUUUUAUCUCGGGGAUAAAAGAUUUUUAAUGCUUUUUUGUAAUAAUAACGAGUGUCUUAGCUAGCAUAAUAAUAACCUUUUGUUUGUUAAUGUAAUGUAAGAAUAUGUGUUUUGGAUCUUAUUUUUUCUUCUGAAAAAGUUUGCUAGCUCCAUGGCAUCAUAAUUAUGUAAGUAUUUAUUGUUUACCCGUAAAGCGGUAUAGUUGAUUUUAUACGUGUUUUCUAAACAAAUGAAUUUAUUUGAUCCUAAAAUAGUAAAAUCAUCGAAGAAUUAUUUAUGCAAUACUUAAGUCUUAAGAUAUAGACAAAAUAGCAUAAACAAUAGUUCCGGGAACAGAGUUUUCGGGCACAACAACAAUAAAAUAAAAAAGUAAUAAGAUAAGACUGUAUUGAGCUUUGUGUAGAAUGUAGCGUAAAUUUGCCAGAAAAUUCGUGUCCUUUACAAUGACAAGUGAGCUCACUAUUUAUGGCUUCUUCCUCAAAGUGUACCGGAUUUUCAAAGACCAAGAACAAGGCCGAUGACUCUGCUCCUCCAAUAGUGGGCUCCAUCAUCCCUAGAAGUCUUAUUACCACAAAAGACUUCGAAAAGAAAUUUUCUACUGCUAACUCUCGUACAUAGGUCGUCAGUGGGUACCCUUCUUCCAUACGUCCUUCUAGCAUUCCUGUUGUGAAGGAAGACUGUCACUGCCAUGACUUGGAAAUUAUUGCUCCUGAUCUAUCGGAGCGAGUCUCCCUACCGAAGGAGGGUUUUACAUAUUUUUACACGUAUCCCUUUACUUUGGGUGCGUCCUCUUUGAGCGGAGAGCUUGACUCCGUGAUUGUGGAGUUUUGCUUCCGCUACCAAGUGUGUUUGGCACAAGUAAGUCAUUCUGUGUGGAGGACGGUUGCUUGCCUUCGGCGUUUGUGCCAUGAGACUGGAGAAGAGCUAAUCUUAGCUCAUAUGAUGAAUCUCUAUUCUCCCAAAAUCUUCCGCGGGGGAAUGAUAAACCUCUAUAAACGUGUCCACCAUGAUUUGUUGUCUAGCAAACAAUGACCGUGGGUGGAUGGAACGGUUCGUUGCAGCUGCCACCAACGACAUCAUUCCGGCAAUGGCUCCAUCCUUUCCGGCCGCUUGGAAACACAUUCGUAAGCUCUUUGUUUAGUAUUUCCUUUUACUAAAUAUUUUUCUAUAGUCGUAUUGAUCCUCCAUCCUUCGCCUGGUUUAACAACUCGAUGGAUCCCACCGGUGGUUGAAGGUUUGGAAAUGUGGGUACAAAAGAUUAUGGACGUUACGAUGCCCGAGACUCGCUUGUGGAAAGAACUGCCCCCUAAAUACUGGUGGAAGGCCUAGAAUCGUGGUAAUUCAAACUCACCUUGUUUCAAUUUUUCAUGUGAAGAACUUGAUUGAUCCCUUCUAACCUGUCUAUGAAAUUAGGUCUACCCGCGAGCUAUGUUGAUAUUCCCGAGAAGAAUGUCUUGGCUGAUCCUGCCGAUGCCCCCGAGUCAUCUCCGGUAGUGAUGGUGACUGGCCCUCCUUCCGGGCCGCUCAUAGACACCGUGACGAUCGACGAUGAUGAAAAAGCUAGUGAUGAGGGAGCUUCUCUACAUAGAAGAUGACAAUCCUUAUCAUCUCAAUAGGAUGCUCGACCUGUUGAGAUAGUUACACCAACCGAGGACGAUGCCUCGGCACUUUGGGGAGAGUUUGAUUUGGUAUAUUAUGUCAACUCCCAUUUUCGGGCCCCAAUUGUUGUGCCCGGUACUGCUGGGCUGAGAAUCCAACAACCAGCACUACCUUUGAUGCAACUGCUUCUCACUCUUCAACUCCAUUAGCUUCAUCUCCAUCUUCACCAACACUACCAACUGCUACAUAACUUCCAUCUUCAUCCACUCUUCCACCAGCAAUUGCUACAACAUCUCCAUCGGCCGUACCUGACCAUCAAUAAGGUGUUCCUCUUCCACAAAACCCUGUUCAUGGGAAUUUAGGGCAAAAUUAUGCUGCCCCUUCUGAAGAUCCGCAAAGGAGGAGGAAUGUUACUCUUUCGGUCUCUACCGGAUGUAACUUGCUAUCCCGAUGAAUGGAGCUUGCUAAUUAUUUGAAGCCUUUGGCUUCAGAGAAAGACUAGGAAAAGAUUCUGGCACUCUUGGGAGAAUGUCUGUUGAACAACGCCAUGCACAAUGCUGCAGCAGUACAUUCCUUUCUUCCUUUAUUACUCCUUCUAUUUUUGGGUAUGAACAUAUCCUAAAUUUUACCCUUCUUAGUUUGUGGGGCAACUUUCUUGCUUUUGAGGGCCUUGAGAGGUUGAUUCGUGAAAAGGAAGAGAUUACCUCUGCAUGGGAUCAGCUUUUGGCAGAGCAGGAGCAACAUAUCGCUCGCCUUUCGGAACUGGAAGCCAAAGCUUCUGAGGUUGUUGUAUUGGAGGCUCGUUUGUGGCAAGGCGAGCAAGAAGUGGUAACCCUUAGCCAAGAAAUUGGCAUGCUGAGGGUUAGAUUUGACGAAGCCAAGGCCAAAUGGGCUGAAAUUCAUAACACAGUUCUUGUUGCAACCGAACAUGAGACUGCCUCCGCUGAAAUAGUGAUCAACUUAGAGGUAACCUUGAACUCAAAAAUUGAAGAGCUUCCUGCUACGGGGGCGAAACACGCCUAGCUGGAAGAGACGUACAGGAAAACUAUCGAGCAUAAUAGGCUUUUUAGUUCAACUGUACGUGACCUUGAUGUUAGCUUUAAAUCUGCUAUGUCCUCCCGGGAAAACCUUUCUAUCGAGGUAACCCAACUCAAAGAAGAACUUAACUGCGGAGCGAUUUCCCUCGACUUUGAGAAAACUUACGCUAUGUACAUCAUGAGAAGAAAAACCUUGGAAGAGGCCAAAGUUGGUGUCAUUAAUUUUGAUGCCGAAAUUGCUAAGGCCCGUGAGCUUAAGUUAGCUGCUAAAAGUGGACUCCCAGCGAGGUCUGAUGCACCUAGUCCUUCUGGUUCCAUUUUCGAGUUCUGGAGAACUGAAGAAGAAUCGGAGGAUGAUGAUACUAAAGGCCAAACUGGUGAAAAUGUUGAGCCAUCGGUGCGUCUGUCUACUUCUCCCGGGGGCGCGGACACUUCUCUUCCUCCUAGUUUCGGAGAUAAUACAGUUUAGCUUUUCUUUUCUUUUUCCAAUUCUUGUACCUGUGCCGUUUUAACUCUUUUUUUUUUAAAUAAAAGCAUCUUUUGCUCAAGUAUUGUUUGAGUCUUCAUUUUGUUUGAAUAUUCAUGCAAGUCUUUAAUAUUUGCAUUUUCUUCCUUUUGCUUAAGAAUUUUGCGCAAGCUUUUCUGUUUUGCGUCUUAUUAUACGAAGCCUUGGGUGUAUUCUCCCCGAAAGCAUUUUCGGCUUUGAGCAUCAACCCUUUUUUGUGAGGGCUUUGAUAAGUAUUUGCACAAGUUUACUUUUUGCGUCCUUUCGUAUGCGACUUCGGGUGUAUCUUUCAUCGAAUGCAUUUUGAUUUUGGGCAUAAAUCCUUCCGGAACCAACCGUUUAACGUGAGGGUUUUUAUAAGAGAGGGCCCUCUUAUGUUUACGACAUCUCUUGUUCAUUACGACACUAGCAUUUGAAGUAUUUGUUUAACUUUCAAAUGACAAAGUUAAUUCAUCGUUCAAACAAGAAACAAGAUAAAAACAAAAGCAUUUCAUUUUAUUCCUUCUAUUUUCAAAAAGUACAUAUGCAUUUGCUAUAUUGAAAAGAAAUUACCAUUACUUGUGGCUAACUUGUAUAACUUGUUUCUACGGGGCUGUCUGCGGAGUCCCCAGUCCCGAUGAUGCAAUUAUAUUUCCGUUUUUUUGUUUCCCAGUUGACAUGGCAGUCAUUAUUGCCGUAUCCUCAUAUUAUCCCCCCCCACGUAUUCAAAUGCGAAAAGUGCGAAUAGGAACACUGGAAGUCUUGUAUCUUCAAAUAUUCUACUAAUGCACCUCUAGUGGUUUGUGCUCGUGAACGAUCAGGUAACCUUUGCUCAAUAGCAAACUUAACUUCCCGGUGGGAAUUUUCUAUAGAGAAAAAGAUUAUCUAACUAUCCCCGAGUGGAUCCUUGUUUGUGUGCCUUGCUAUUAAAGGUCUUAUUGUUGUUGUCUUCGUAGUAUGCUUUCUGUUGCUGCCUCGUUAAAAACCUUGCCAGAAAAACCUAAUUGGGACAAAAACUGAACGAAGGGAAAAAGAGUGCAACACAUACUUUCUGAUUAGAUAAUGUUCAUCAGCAAUAAUAUCUUUUGAGGUGUGCCACGUUCCAAUUGCUGGGAAAUAUUUCUCCAUUUUGGUUUUUCAACUCGUAUGAACCUUUCCCAGUGAUAGCUGAAACCCGGUUGGGGCCUUCCCACAUUGGACCUAGCUUCCCCGCAUUGAGCUCAUGGGUGUUUUGAGUUACUUUCCUUAGGAUCAAGUCUCCUGCUUUCAAAUAAUAGAGGUUGGCUCUUUGAUUAUAAUACCGCUUCAUUCUCUGCUUUUGAGCUACCAUUCUUACAUACUCCAAGCCCCUGCAUUCAUCGAGCAGUUCCAAGUUGACUAACAUUGCUUCAUUGUUCGAUUCUCCAUCUGCUGGAAAUAUCUCAAGGUGGGUUUCACUACUUCCACCGGGAUUAAAGCUUUUGCAUCGUACACGGGGGAAAAUGGGUUUCUCCUGUGCUUGACUUGGUCCUAGUUCGGUAUGCCCAUAGAACUCUAGGUAAUUCCUCGGGCCAAUUACCCUUAGCCGCUUCCAAGCUUUUCUUGAGGUUUUGAAUAAUCAUUUUGUUUGUCGACUCUGUCUGUCCGUUUGCGCUCGGAUGAUAGGGUGAAGAUGUGAUCCUCUUUAUUUUUAAAUCUUGGAGGAACUUUGUAAUUCUUGCGCCGAUAAAAUGUGGUCCAUUGUCACAUGCUAUCUCUUUUAGAAUUCUGAACCUGCAAUUUAUAGUUUCCCACAAGAAAUCCACCACUUAGCAUUCUCCGAUCUUCUGAUAAGGACCUGCUUCCACCCAUUUAGAAAAAUAGUUAGUCAAAAUUAAUAGAAAUCUUACCUUUCCAGGAGCUGGUGGCAGUGGUCCGACGAUGUCCAUCCCCCAUUUCAUGAACGGCCACGGGGACAGAACCGAAUAUAAGGGUUCCGCCGGUUGAUGCACCAGUGGUGCGUAGUGUUGACACUUAUCAUAUUUUCGUACGAAGUAUUUGGCGUCUUGUUCCAUGCGAGGCCAAUAAUAUCCUGCCCUUACCGACUUCAACACUAAGGAAUUUGCGCCCGAGUGGUUUCCGUAUAUCCCUUUGUGAACCUCUCUCAUGACAUAGUUUGCUUCGGAUGCCCCUAAGCAUCAGGCCAGCGGGCCUUGGAAAGAGUUUCUAUACAAUUGGCCUCUCUUGAAGCUAUAUCGCGCUGCUUUGGUGCGCAUCGCUCGGGGUAGUUUGGGGUCUUCAGGUAGCUUCCAGUGUUUGAGAUAAUCGAUGAUUUCAUUCCUCCAGUCCCAGACCAGAUUAGUCGAAUUUACCUCAUAUUAACCAUCUGUAUCCAGGACUGAGUUCAUCAGUUAUGCUACCGUCCUGGACUCCGACCCUUUAUUUCCGUUAAUGAUCCUAGGUUUGCCAAUGCAUAUGCUUCUGCGUUAUCUUCCCUUGAAAUAUGAGUAAUUGACCAUUCCCGGAAUCACGCCAACAGAGCCUAAACCUUUACCACGUAUUGUUGCAUGCACUUCUCUUUGGUCUCGAAGAUCUCGUAGACCUGAUUUACCACCAGUUGUGAGUCGCAUUUGAUUUAGAUCACCUCAGAGUCAAGUCCCCGGGCCAAUUCGAACACUACAAUCAAAGCUUCAUACUCUGCUUCGUUGUUAGUUAAAUAGACCGUCUUGAUGGCUUGCCUUAGGGUUUCCCCCGAAGGCGUGAUUAAGACUAUACCGAGCCCGAACCGUUUUACGUUGGAAGCUUCGUCCGUAAAUAAGGUCCAAAUCCCUAAUGUCGAUUUUGACACCAUUACUGCCUCCUUGGUUUCCAGAGGCAAUAAUCCCGAACUGAAAUCGGCCACGAAGUCAGCCAAGACUUGCAACUUAAUUGUAGUCCUUGGUUUAUAUUCUAUGUCGAAUUCACUCAUUUAGAUGGCCUAUUUGGCCAAUCUACCCGAGAUCUCGGGUUUAUGGAGGAUGUUUCGCAAAGGAAAAGUAGUCACCACGGCUAUCGGGUGGCAUUGGAAGUAGGGCCUCAGUUUCCGAGCGGCGACUAUGAGAGUUAAGCCCAGUUUCUCCAAAUGUGGGUAACGCGUUUAUGCUCCCGUUAAAAUUUUACUAACAUAAUAAAUGAGAGAUUGCAUACCUUCAUUCUCUCGGACUAAAACCACACUUACCGCAACUGUCGAGACCGCGAGUUAAACCAAUAAUGUUUUACCUUCUUUUGAUUUUGAAAGCAAUGGAGGGCUUGAAAAGUAUUUCUUUAAAUCCUUCAAAGCCUGUUGGCACUCAGGGGUCCAUUCAAAAUUAUUUUUCUUUUUUAGCAGUGCGAAGAAAUGAUGACACUUUUCUGAUGACUAGGAAAUGAACCUGCUUAAAGCUGCCAAUCACUCUGUAAGCCUUUGGACUUCCUUCACGUUUGAUAGUUGAUCUAGAAUGUCUUCUAUGGCCUUGAUCUUAUCGGGGUUUACAUCAAUUCCCCUUUGUGAUAUGAGAAAUCCCAGAAACUUACUAGAGCUGACCCCGAACGCGUAUUUCUCUGGAUUAAACUUCAUAUUAUGCCUCCUUAGUAUGUUGAAAGUUUCUUACAGAUGUUUAAGAUGAUCACCUACAUUUAAAUACUUAACGAGCAUAUCGUCUAUAUAAACUUCCAUAGUUUUUCCUAUUUGAUUUUCAAACGUCUUGUUCACGAGUCGUUGAUAAGUGGAUCCGGAGUUUUUCAACCCGAAGGGCAUCACAUUGUAGCAAUAUAUACCGAAAAUCGUUAUAAAUAAAGUUUUUUCCUGAUACUCCUGGUUCAUCUUAAUUUGAUUGUACCCAGAAUAAGUAUCGAAAAAACUCAUUAACUCGUGCCCAGCCGUGGCAUCAAUCAUUUGAUCGAUGUUUGGCAGUGGGAACGAGUCUUUCUGGAACACCUUGUUAAGAUCUUUAUAAUCUACACACAUGCAAAACUUAUUGUUCUUCUUAGGAACUACUACUACAUUGGCUAGCUAGUCUGGAUAUCUUACCUCUCGGACCGAACCAAUAUUAAGUAAGCGAGUUACCUCUUCUUUGACGAAUUUAUUCCUGGCUUCGGCAAUCGAGCGUUUCUUUUGUCUUACCGGAGGUAUGUUGGGAUCUAAGCUUAACUUGUGUACGGCUACCUCUGUUGGGAUGCCUGUCAUAUCUUCAUGCGACCACACAAAAUAAUCGGUGCUAAAUUUAAGGAAUUUAAUAAAGUCAGACUUGAGUUUUGGGUCCAGUCCUAUCCUCAAGUGGAAUUUCCUUUCUAGGAAUUCUUCGAACAAUGCCACUUUCUCCAGCUCUUCCGCUGUGGAUUUGUUUGCAUCAGUCUCUUCUGGGACUUGGAAAUAUCUCGGCACCUGACAAUAUUCUGACGCCUCUGCCCCCGAGUUAACUUUAUCUAGUUUGGGAGUAGGUGUUGGUCCCUGUAAUUGCUAUGCUAAGUGUUCCUUUCCUUUGCUACUGGAGACCUAAAUUGCAUUCAUCUCCUUUGCCGCCGGUUGAUCACCCCUUGUAUGCUUAAUCCCUUCGGGCAUUGGAAACUUCAGCAAUUGAUGAUACAUUGAUGGUACAACUUUUAUCUCGUGCAACAAUGGCCUUCCCAGAUCCCAUAUCACCAUCUACUACUUUGGAAAAAGUUGUUUUCAUUACUCCUUCAGCGUUCGUGAGUAAUAAAAUUUCUCCCCAGGUUGUCACACUUGCGAGGUUGAAUCCGGCGAUGAGCUUUGUGGCCGGAAUAAUGCUUUCAGUGAGUUUAGCUUGCUCCAAUACUCUCCGUUGUAUAAUAUUAGCUGAACUUUCUGGAUCCAUUAGAACAUAUUUAAUCUUAAAAUCUAGCUCAUUUAAAGAAAUUACAGUGCGUCGUUAUAUGGUAGCAACAAUCUCUUUGCAUCCUCCUCCGUAAAAGUGAUAUCGUCUUCCCGAAGCCUUUUGCUAUGCGUUAUUGAUUCUUUCAUGUUCUUUGCUGCUGAAAAGGUGACCCCGUUAAUCUCGUUCCCUCUGAAUAUCAUGUUGAUUGUUUGACGCAGGGGAUCUUCUCAUGCUUUUGAGGGUUCCGCAUUGUCCCGGUUAUGACCAUAAUUGUUCUUAGCUCGGUCACUCAAGUAUUCUCCGAGGUGAUCAUUCUUCAAUAAUGUUGCCACUUCUUCCCGGAGGUGUCGAUAGUCUCCUGUCUGAUGGCCAUUCGUCCCGUGGUAUUCAUACCACAAGUUGGUAUCCCUCUGGCUGGGAUCAGAUCUCAUCGGUUUCGGGAACCAUUCUUCUUUGAUGUUUCUCAUGGACCACACCAACUCCACUGUACUGGCGUUGAAGUUGUAUUCCGAUAACUUUGGGUAAGAAGGAUACCGUGAUCCUGACACUUCUUUAUCCUGCAGUGAUCGAUUGUUCUGACCACGAGCAGUCCUCCUGUCAACGACGCAUCUAUCCGCUGUCCGGGAACCUCUGUUGCGACCUUCGGUCCGUUCGUAAGGCAAAAACUGGCCCCUCGAAGUCUUUCUGUCCGCGUCAUAAUCAUCCUUUGAUUUUUCUCUAUUCUUUUCUCAUCCUUUGGUCGACGAUGGAAAACCAACUUUAUCAUCUUUGAUCCUUAUUUUUGAUUCAUACCGGUUGUGGAAAUUCGCCCAGGUCGUUGCUUGAAACUCGAGUAGGCUUUCCUUCAAUUUUCGGGAAGUGUCUGAACUCCUCGGAUUCAAUCCCUUGUUGAAUUCUUCAGCCGCCCAUUCAUCUGGGAUAGCCGGGAGCAACAUUCUCUCUUUCUGGAAUCAGGUAACGAACUCUCGUAGAAGCUCGGACUCUCCUUGCGCAAUCAUGAAUAUGUCAGCCUUUCAGGCCUGUAUCUUUCUAGCCCCGACAUGAGCCUUGAUGAAAGAAUCUGCGGGCAUUUCAAAAGAGUCUAUGGAAUGCUCGGGUAACAGCGAAUACCACGUCAAGGCUCCCCUCGUGAGGGUUUCUCCAAAUUUCUUUAGCAACACAGAUUCAAUUUUGUGAGGAGCUAAAUCAUUUUUCUUUACCGUCAUUAUGUAGGUGGUAAUAUGCUCCUGGGGGUCUGCAAUUCCGUCAUACUUUGGCACUUCAGGCAUCUUGAACUGCUUCGAGAUUAACUAUGGUACCACACUUGACUUGUAUUAAAAUUGAGUAUACCUUUUCGAGUUCGGACCUUUCAGCACUGGUGGCACACCCGGGAUCUUAUCCAUGCGGGCGUUUACCUCCCUCAUAAACCGUAAAAGUUCACUCUUGAAAGGAUCAUUCUUGUUGUUGAGGCCAGAUCCGCUCCCCCUGCCUUAUCGGAGCCAAUUUCAUCCCUGGGAGUGUUGUUGUCGCCCCUCUGCGUUGUUUGAUUUACGGGGAUACCGGGAGCAAUCGGAUCUCGCAUGUUUGCAUUAUUUGAAGCUCUCGACAGCACCUAUUUCAACUUCGUCAUGACCUUAUUCUGUCGCGUGAAGUGGCCUAGAAUGAUCGCUUGUUGCUCUUGCAAGACCCUUACAACGUCAACGACAUGUUCCUCAUUAGCAUCAUCGGGAGUGGUCUCCCGAACAUAUCGAGGAUAUUGCUUAUCAUACACCGGUGUAGCGCCAUUUCCCUCAUUAUGGGUGUCACUAAUUGAGUCCUCAAAAUGAGGAUGAUCUACUCGAAUCUCGGGGUUGUGCAUGUCGUUAACAGUGUUAUAUGUCAUUUCUUAUGAUUUUUUCUAAGAUAAAAUAAUCAAAACACGUUCGUAAAAAGGCAAGGGUCAAUUUAAUUACACGGCUGUCUAUGCCCCACGGUGGGCGCCAAACUGUUUACCCGUAAAACGGUACAUUUAAAUUUAUACAUGGUUUCUAGACAGAUAAAUUAAUUUGAUACUGAAAUAGUAAAAUCAUCGAAGAAUUAUGAAAUACUUAGCAUUAGGAUAUAGACGAAACAGCAGAAGCAACACUUCCGGGAACAAGAUUUUCGAGUACAACAACAACGAAAUCAAAAAGUAAGAAGAUAAUACUAUAUUGAGCUUUGUAUAUAAUGUAGCAUACGUUUUUCAGAAAAUUCAUGUCCUUUACAAUGACAACUGAGCUCACUAUUUAUAGCUAUGAAGGAAGUCCUAGGAUCGUGCCCUUCUUUAAUGUCAAUUAUGAGGAAUAUUGGUGAAGAUGUAACGGUGAACAUAAAUGGUAAAUUCCCUGUAACGGGUAAUUGCUCUUAAUGCCGUGGAAUAUUCUCUAUUAAAUGCUACCGGGCGAAGAGCAUUUAUCACAUCUUUAUGAACGUUAUUCUUUUCGGUUACAAACAAAACAGUUGCCUUCGGUCUUUGGUCAUCCCCCGUCUUGGAUUCCACGUGUCUCUUUUUUGGACGGCCACGUGUCAUAACAUAUUUUACCCUAUACAUUUAUAUAUUCACUUUUACUGCAAAAGUAUAGCCACAAUGUGUCAUUAUUAACUAGAUGUGCGCAUGGCCGUGGGACUUUAAUUCUAGUAAUGUGGGGGUAUUAAUAUAUUUGUAAGUUACAACGUUAAUAGGUAAAUUUCACAAAUAGUCAUAUAACUAUGACCUUUUUUCAUCAAAGUCAUAUAACUUUAUUUUCUCACACAAAAGUCAUAUAUCUUUCACCAUCUUACUCAUUUUUUUAAUUUUUUAAUUCAAACUAAUAAAUUAUGAUACAAUUAAAAUAUGUCCGACCCGACCCGACCUAAUAUCCAUAUCCACAAAUUAAGGUAGAUCGUUUGAAUUUUCAACCAGAAAUUCUUUAAGGUAGCCUCAAAAUACGAUACUUCUCAUAAUUAUGCUUACCAACAAACUAUACAAUUUCAUGAAUGCAAAACAAUUAUCAUGCUAUUUUCUUUUCAGUUAUUCGGUUAUUCCUGGACCUCUCUCCUUAUGUAAGUAUCUUAUUUGUGAUAAUGGGUAGGUGCUUCAUAGAUCCAUGACUAUCCUGUCACAAUCUAUUUAAUUCUAAGGAAGUACCUAAUAGUAAAAAUCAUAAAGUAAAACAUUCCUCGAACUAAAAGAACUUUUAUGGAAAAAUAGAACUACUUUUGUAGGAGAACGAGCAACACUAUUGAACAAAAUAUUGCUUACUAAGCAAUACAACAAAUAAAAUAUGCGUCAACCAAAAGACAAAAGCAGACACAAUAUAUUGUGUCAUUUUAAGUGUAUGCCAUUUACAAAAGAUAAUUUUUUUUUUAGACAAACAUCCCUAUUUUGUCUUUUGAGAGUUUACACAUCUUCUUCACCACAACUUGCACAUAAUCUUGUAUAACGUUCUUCUUGACUUCCCUGCCUCUUUUUUAUACUUUCACAACUUCAGUGGCACCUUGCAUAAUUUUAUGACCAUGUACAGCUCUCCUGGCAACAUCUUGUUCAGCAACAUCCUAUAAAACAAUGCAACACCAUGAAAAAUUAAUAAAAGAUGUAUUUUACGUCUAUAGUUGAUUGAUUUCUUAAGAUGAGGUCCACAUCUAUCCUUUCUGCAUUUUGAGGUUGUUGAAUGAAACCUUGAAUAACCCACAUCUCUGGAUAAUAAGUGUCACGACCCAAACUCUGGUUUAGACCGUGAUGGCGCCCAGCACCCUUGCUAGGCAAGCCGACAGUGAACAAUCUAGUAAUUUUCAUUUUUAAUAAGUCAAACAGCUAACUUUCUUUAAAAAUUUAGAGAAUUUAGCAAAUAACGGAAUUUAAAGUGAACAAAAUGAAAACAGCUAAAUGAAAUCAUAAACGUAGAAAUACAACCUAAAAUCAUAAGUCUACUAGCUAGUGUAUGUCAAGACCCGGUGUCACAAGUAUAUGGGCUACUAGUAGAAUAUACAAAAGAAUUCUAAUCUACCGUCUAAAAUGGGAUAGACAAAACAAAUAAACAAAGAAAAAGACUCCGGCUGCUGCAGAACGACUCGAAAGGGUAGCUCACCGAGUAGUCUUAUAGCGGGGAUCAAAUAUGCGCAUCGGGCUGGUAAUCAGAUGUACUUGCCUCAGAUCCUGCACAAUCAAGUGCAGAAGUAUAGCGUGAGUACAUAAACAACAUGUACCCAGUAAGUAUCUAGUCUAACGUCGAAGAAGUAGUGAUGAUGGGUCGACUCUGACACUUACUAUGGGCCAACAAUAAUAUAUCAAAUAUAUACUAAGCAUGGAUUUCAUGAACAAUACUGAAAGCUCAAUAUCAGGAAAUAGUAAAUUCUUCUUUCGCAAGUAUUAAAUCCCAAGCUUAGUUUCAUUAUUUAACAGCUUGCAAUUCAAGGCAUUUUAAGUGUAAAUCAUGAAUAGUUCCAAAGUUUUUCAUGCGCAUAUCAUGCCAAGGUCGUACGGCCCGAUCCAACAUAAUAUUUAAACUGUGCACUGUCGAGGGUCAAACGGCACGAACCAUAGAUACAUCUAUCUACUAUCGAGGCGUUCGGCCCGCUCCAUAAAUAGAAAAUAUUUCAAAUAACACACAAGUUCUCAUUUAUAGUCAAGUGUUCCAUUCGCAAAUUUAAGUAAGUAACUUUAACCUUUUUCAAUUCUUUUAUCAACUCAAAUAUGCCUUAAGCAAUUAAAUCAACAAAUGAGAGUGCAAACAUUUCAAGUAUAGUAUGGUAUAGGUCCUAGACUACCCGGACAAUAGCAUAAUUAGUAGCUACAUACGGACUCUCGUCACCUCGUACAUACGGAGCCCUACACGUAGGAGCACAUUUUAGUUAUAAUUUACCUAUGGGGUUAAUUCCCUCUUAUAAGGUUAGAAAAGAGACUUACCUCGUCUCAAAGCCUACUUCCCAAUUCAAGAAUGCGCUCAAACCUUCAAAUUUGAUGCCAAACGACUCGAAACUAGUCAAACAUUUCAUAAAUCAAUCAAUCUAUGCUCAGAAGUUCAUAUUUUUAUUAUUAGAGUGAUUACCCAACCCAAAUUGCAAGAUCCCUAAAAUUCACCCCGGGGCCCACAUACCCGGAUUCCAGAAUUAUUUGAAGAAAGUUAUUACCCAUAAUCUUAGGAACAUAAAUAUAUGAUUUUCACUAAGUUUCAUAAUCAUUUUCAUGGUAAAAUCUAAUUUUUAUUAAACCCUUGAUUUUUCAUCUAAACCCAUGAUUUCUACCAAUUUUCAUAUUGAAAUCUACCCAUAAUCUAUGUAUUAAACUCACAUUAAGGUAGGAAUUACUUACCCUCAAUAGCUAGGUUGAAGUCUCCCUUUUUGAAGCUCUAAAAUCUCCCAAAUGUGUGAAGAAUGGGAGAAAAAUGCCUAAGUCCCGUAUUAAAUGAAGUUCACUGUCUUCAGCAAUUUUCGCACCUGCGGUCAUAGGGCUGCACCUGUGCCCUCGCUUCUGCGGACAAAAGUCCGCUUCAGUGAAACUCCCCUGGACCGGCUGGCGUCACUUCUGCGGAUGGGUAUCCGCUUCAACGGAGGAUGGGCUGCCCUUCCUUGGCCGCUUCUGCGAGGUUUGGCUCGCACCUGCGGCUGGCCAAGCGCAGGUGCGAUUAUGAUAGACCUGAUGCUUCAGCUAUUGCUCCAAAUUCUCAUCUUGGUCUGAGCCUCGUCCGAUUGACACUUGGGGCCCCCGGUUCCCCGCGCAAACGUACCAACAAGUUUGGAAUCAUAAAACGGACUCUCUCGAAUUCUCGGAACACCCGAAACAACAUCAAAACUAAGAAUCGCACCCCAAAACCAAUUGAAUCAAACUUAAGAACUUCAAGUUCUUCAAUUUACUCCCAAUGCACUGAAACGUACUUAAACUACACGGAAUGACACUAAAUUUUGCGUACAAGUCUUAAAUGACAUUACAGAACUAUUCCCGAUCUUAGAAUUCCGUUUGACGUUGAUAUAGCCAAAACCCGCUCCAAACCAAAUUUAAAGAACUUCAAGAUUCUUCAAGAACCAACUUUCACUAUUAGGCGCCAAAACGCUACAAGGUCAUCCAAAAUCUGAUUCUAACAUACUCCCAAGUCUAAAAUAUCAUACGAACCUAUUGGAACCGUCAAAUACUAAUUCGAGGUCGUUUACUCAAAAUGUUGACCGAAGUCAAACUUGGCCUUUUUAGCCAACCUUUAGGAAUCAAGUGUUCUGAUUUCAACCCGAAUCCUUCCAAAUCACGAACCAACCAUCCCCGCAAGUCAUAUACUAAUGAAAGCACAUACAAAAAGUCUUAUUUGGGGGAACGAGAUUCUAGAAAGUAAAACGACCGGUCGGGUCAUUACAAUAAGUAUUUGACUAGCCCAAAAGGUAAGAUCUACUUACACAAUAGACAUGGGAAAGCCUUUUAUUUUCUCUCUCAGUGCAUGUUAGGUGACCUAGCUUGUAACACCCUGAAAACGUUUGAAGUGUUUUAAGACUAUUAAGAAGAUUGGUGGGUGCCAAUUAUAUUAAUUCGAGUAUGAACAAGACUAAUAAUAUGAAUGAUAUCAAUUGAUCAUGAUAAUAUAUGUAUGAGGUUCAUUUAGAAUGGUUUAUGAUCCAAGCAGAGCCCUAAGGCUAAGUCAAGUUGUAAAUUAUAUAAUGGAGUAAAGUUUCAAGUGAGUUCGCACAAGACAUAACUUCAAACGAGCAUAAAUCUCAUGAUAUGAAGAGUUAUAUGGUUUAUCACAUAUCUAAUUAAAGGUCUAUGUGUCUAGUUUCUAAUACUUCAAACCGUUCAUCAUUUGGAGGGUUUUACAAGGAGUUAUGACAUUUUUACCAAAGGAUAGUAGAACAGCUAUGUGAGUCUUGCGUAGCUUACACACCAUGCGUAGGCAAAUCCAACAGGUGCUAAUAGAAGAGGAAUGGUCGGACAUCCUCUGUAACCUUUGUGCGUAGCCUACGCAUCCAUCAGACUCAUUUUUAAAAUGUAGAAAUAAGGGUUUUGAGAGAGAAAGUGUUAGUUCUUCAACUUGGAAUUGAUUUCUAGAGAGAACGGGAAGCUCUUCCACCAUGGAUACACUUCAAGGUAUGUUAUUUUGGUACAAAGAUGAUUAUAUUACAUCAUUUAGUAAUAACACUAAUACUAUUAUGGAUCAAAUCCAUAGAAAAUGGGUUGAAUCUUCAAGAACAUCAAAAAGAGGAAAAGUGAGAUUCUUCCACCAAGAGGUAAUCCCUUCACUUGAGCUUCAUAUAUAUGUCAUAUUGGAGUAUGGGUAGCAUAUUUAUGAGUUUUAUUUGAAGUUGUAAUGGGAUAUUAAAUGAACCCUAUAAGGGUGGGCCUUGAAAAUGAUAUUUUGGGUAAAAAAGAAGAUGAAAGUGAUGAAUUGAUAUAAAUGAAAUUGCUUUGAGUUUCUAAUGAUUCCAAUAGACUUGAUAACUUAAUUGAUGAACGAAUUGAAUAGGAAAUCACCAUUUGGACAAGAUGCAACACUAGUUCUUGAAAUGGGUGUUCUUGAACCUAGAGUUUUGUUGGAGAAGACAAUGAAUAGUGACUUGAUGAUAUUGGAUAAUUAACAUAGUGUUAUUAAAGACUCUAAAUGAGUAUUAAAUGAUAAGAAUGGAAUUGAAUAGGCUAAUGAGUGAGCCUAUUGGAUAAUUUGGGAUGGUUGUAGGCUUGUUGCUGAAUUGUGAAGCUUAAAAGAAUAUUUAUAAAUUUUUUUGUAUUUGUAUUGAUGUAUUUAUGAUAUCUAAUGGUAGAUACUGAAUUGUGAGCGAUAUUUGAUUAUUUUAAUUAAUUGGAGCAUUGUAGUAGUUUUGGAGCUUGAAGGUUGAGGUAAGUUGAUUAAGACUUACUCUUCUUGAGGAAUUCUCUUUAAAGCAUGUAUUAAGUUGAUCUAUUGUAUUAUUUGUAAAUGUGCAUUCGUACUUGUGGAGACAUGCGAGAAAGAUGUCACAAUGUGUUUCUAAAUUAUUGCUUAUGAAGUGUCAUGCAAUUUUAUAAAAGUCUUAUUUUUAAAACUUGGUUGCAAAAUGACACUUAAGGAAAUUCUUAUAAGUUUUAUUAAAACUUAUUUGUUGAUAAGAGUAUAAAAUGCUUGAGUGCUAAAUAUAUGUUUUCAUGAAAAAAGUUUAUCUUUUGAAAUUACAACAAAGGAAGCACUUGUUGUAUUUUUAGAUUGAUGUUAUUUGGUAAAGGCUUUAACAUGAAAAAGGAUAUUCAUUUGAUUUUGUUCAAAUAGUUUAGAUUGUCUAUGAAAAUCAUGAUUCGAUAAAAAUAGAUCCUUUGAGGUAAUUAUGCUAUGAAUCUAUUUUUGAUAUGUCAAAUAUUUUGGGAGUUACUAGCGGAGACCACCGAGAUUGGUUCGAAUGUUGAGUUCGUUACCAUGAAACUACACGUGCCGGUGUAGGGACACAUUCCAAGGCAAAGCCGAGGUUUGUGGGAUAAAGUCCCCCAUUGAGAGGGAAGAUGAUCAUUACUUAAAGUAAUGAGGUUAAGUCGACUCGUACGGCACUACGGGAAGCCGCCCAGACAAGUAGGGUCAAAUACUUGUUGCUAGGAUGAUCACCUAGUAGUUGUUCAUUAUGUCAGUGUCAGUAUAGUACUCCCGGUGAAAGAAAAAAGAGAACUUUCUUAUGUUUAGGCCUAAGGAGUCGAAAAUAAUUUCGAUGACUUAAUGAGAUUGAAAUGGUUUUAUAUGAUUUCUAUGAAAAUCUUGGGUUGAUAGAGAUGUUCUAAAAUUUUAUAGCAUGGCUUAAAUUUCACUUGUCUUUUAUUUAAAAUGAUAAGAGCAUGAUUUAUAUAAUUGUUUAUCACUUUAUGUCCAAUAUUGGUUGCAUAGUUUUUUAAAAUCUUGUCCCAGGAACUUGAGUUAAAGAGAGUCUAUGUCAAUUAUUGAGUACCGAUGUGGUGUACUCAACCCUUAGAGGCCCAUCUCCAGGGCUCCACUUAUUUUACAUGUUUCAAAAUGAGGUAUGAUAUGUGGCAUGCGGUCAGGGCUAGGAUGACUCUCUUCCUGAGGUAUAUGGUGAGGCACCGCUCCUAUUUUAUGGUAGCUAUCAUGUUGUUUUCUUAAUUUAUACUAGUCGGGUAUUAGCCCUAUUGUUUAAUUCUAUUCUUUGGUAUAAACGCUUCAUAGAUAGUUGUGAAACGUUGUAGUAAUGGCAUUGUACAUGACGAACAUGAAAAGAUACUUAUUUUACUUAGUCUCAUUGUAAUAAUUAUUAGAAGCUUCAUGUAUAUUUGAAUUGGAAAAAUAUUCCAUUGUUUAACUUGAAAAUAUAUAAAAUUUUCAAAGAGCUUCCGCAGUUAAAUUAGUUUUCAUGCAUAUGGUUUGGGUGCAUCAUAUUGGUUGGUUCGCUCGAGUCGGAUAGUAUGCCGGGUGCUGGUCACGUGGAUUUGGGUCGUGACAUAACUAACUUGCGCCUUCGCUAGAAAUGGGAGGAAGAGGAAAAGCGAAGAAAAACACUAGUGGUAGAAAGGAAACUAACAGACAUUACCAUGCGAGAACAAGGAAAACGAACAGCAAAAGCAAAAGACAAAAUGCAAGAGGAAGAUCAGGAUCACGAAAUUGACAGUGACCUAAAUUGGCCAGAUCUGGGUAGUGCUCGAGCUAAAUUGGAAACGCCGGUGAGCUCAGGAACUCAAUUGAUACCUGUGGCGAGCUCUGGAGCUAAAGGACCAAUUAUAGUGCCGAUCACAAUUGGUGAUGCGAGUACGAGCAAGUUACAAAGAAAUAGAACAGUACAUGUAAGCUCGCCAAAGGAACAGAGGCCUGCAGAGAUUGACAAUAGGAAAAACACUCAGGAGAAGAAACCAGAGUAGGCUGGAGAUGGGGGAAGAUGGCGGGCAGGGUUGUUCCAGGAGAACAAACUCGCAGCUAAGGGUAUGAAUCUAACAUACAUUCCCCCCCGGGUGAUGUAGGACGGGGAAAUCAUAGUACAACUACUAAAAGUGGACAUUGCAGAAGAAAACCAGAAGUGGAAUCGAGCGAUGAUCAUGUAUGUGAUGGGUAAUACUCCAACUAUUGGAGCAAUUGAACGCUUCAUAGCUAACCAGUAGAGUAAUGUGAAAAAACCUAAGGUACUCUUCCAGAAUGAUGGAUAUUUCAUAAUUUUGUUGAAUAGUAGUGAAGAGAGGGAUGAAGUACUGCUGAAUCGUACUUAUACUAUCAAUAGUAGGCCAAUCUUAAUUAGUCCAUGGAUGGCAAGAUUUUAAUGAAAAAGAUCUGAAAACCAUUCCUCUAUAGGUCAAGUUCCCUAAGCUGCCGCUCAACUACUGGAGCAAACUAGCCCUAAAAAAAAUUGGGAGUAGUUUAGGCAAGACCCUGUAUGCUGAUGUGUGUACUACAAUGGCUGAUAGAGUUUUCUAUGCUAUGGUCUUGAUUGAAAUGGACAUCAUUAGGCCCCUACCAGAGAAAUCAAACUACAUGAUCCUAAAGGCAAGGUGAUCGAGCAGAUGGUGCAAUUUGACUGGAAAUCUCAGUACUGCCAGACCUGUUGUCAACUAGGUUACUCGUGUAGAGAUUAAAAAAAAGCAGAAGCAAGAGGGUGGACAUCAGAGAGGUCUAGAAUUGAAGCAAAACCAGGAAUGGAGAAUAGUGAGGGAGUUUGACCCUAAUAUGGACAAAAUUGAUGCUCAAGGCAUGUUCCUUAAUCAAUUGGAGUCAGCAGGAGAGGCGCAACCCAAUAGGGGUGGGCAUAAUAUCGACCGAAUCGAAAAAACUGGCUGAACCAAAAAUUUUGUUUUAUUCUAUUUUUAUUUUUCGGUUUAUUCGGUCAGUUUGCGGUUUAUAGUUUUAAAACGUUUGGUGUUCGGUUCGGUGAUCGGUUUUAAUGGUUCGAUUUUCAGUUAAACCGAAAAAUCAAUUUUUUUAAUCAGUUUUUUUACUCUUAGUCCCUUAUCGUGUUGCUCUUUCUUAGCCUUAAAGCCCAAAACUCAUUCUCAACCUAUAGAAGCCCAAUCCAUUGGAUAUUCUAACACAAACACAACUCCAUUUAUAUAUCCGUCCACUUCUGAAUUCUCCUUGCUUAUUUCUUUCUUCCAUCCAAAAAGUACUUAAUAUGUUUGUUUGAAGCACUAAAUUGAAAAAAGAUAGAAAAUAUUAAAGAUAAUUAAUUCAUACUAUUGAAGUUGCUGACUUACUGUUAUAGUAAUUUGAUUGGAUCUCCACUCUAUACAUUAGUUAGAUAUAAGAUUUUAAUUUUUUUUCCUUCUCUUGUUUUCCCUUCUCUUCACUUAUUCACGGCCUCAUCCAUAAUUCAAAAACUUUUAAGAAAAAAGAAACUAAAAAUAAAUCAAAAGGAAGAGAGUAAAGGAAAAGACAAAAAAAAAAGAAGGAAGAACAUUCAUAAAGCAUUGUAUCAGUUGUUGAUUUAUAAUAUUACUUCAUGAAUGAAGUAUAUAUAUCACCGCAAACUUUUAAAUUCUAUAUAUGGACAAACAUAAAUAAAGUUUACUUUAUAUUGGAUCAUCCAUAAUAAAUAAAAUUAAUUAGUAACUCAAAAAAAUAAAUCAUGUCUCAAGCUCUUUAGUUAAGUUGGGCUUCCAUAACUCUUGCAUAAAUACUCUUAUCUUUUUAGUGUAUUUGAUGGUAUUUCUUAUUUCUUUUGUUAUUUACUGUCAACAAGUAAUCUAUUUUCGUUGUUUUGUACUAUUUUUGUCAUGGUUUGAAAUCGAAAAACCAAACCGAACAUGAAUAAACCGAACUGAACUGAAGUUAUUAUGGUUCGAUUUUGGUUAUUAAAAUCACAAACUGAAAACCAAAUAAACCGAACCGAAAUUCUAUAAAACCGAACCGAACCAACUGAUUCCCACCCCUAUAAUCCAACCAGCAGGGAAAUGACUCACAAUGGCAACUUGCUAGAGAAAAGUCUGUAUCAAAGAAGAAUAUAGGACCCAUAAGAGAGAAUGAAGUAGGCAUUGGCAAUGCCUUCAAAGCACUGGUUGACACAACACAGAAGAUAGUGCAACUAUCUGAAUCUCAAGGUACAAAAGGGCAACAGAGUAGAAGUAAUAGAGGAGGAGGCCCACAACAAACAACCAUAUUAUGAUGAUCAUCAUAGCAUAGAAUGUUAGGGGGUUGAAUAAAGUCUAUACACAAAAAGAACUAAAAAAUUACAAGGAGAAUAAAGUGGUGAUUUUUGAUGUUAUAGAGAAUAGAGUAAAGGAAAUCAAUGCAGGUUCAAUAUUGAAGAAGAUACUUAACAGCUGGUAAUGGGCAGGAAAUUAUGAUGAAGUAUCAAGUGGUAGAAUAUGAGUUGUAUGGGAUCAAUCACAUGUGGAGUUCUCUGUGAUCAGAAUAUAUGAACAAUAUAUAAUGGGGCAUGUUACCAUGAUCCAGCACAGAAUCAAUUUCAAUUUAUGUGUUGUCAAUGGAAUGUAUAUUAUACAAGACAGGAAAAGCCUAUGGGAUGAUUUAAAGGUGACUAUGAAUGGAGUCAGUGGCCCUAGCUUAAUAAUGGGUGAUUUUAAUACUAUCAUAUCUAAGUAAGGAUAAGGUACAUGGAAAUCCAGUCCAGGAGAUAGAGGUAAGGGACUUCAAGAACUUCAUACUUGACACAAGACUAGAUGAACUUAAAAUAGUUGGAUGAAAGUUCACCUGGACAAACAACCAUAUCUAUAGUAAAAUUGAGAGAAUACUGGUAAAUGCAGAAUGGAUACAGAACUGGCCUUACAUAGAGUGGGCCUAGCUUCUCUGAUCAUUGUCCUUUGAGUGUGUUUUUUUAUGGUACUAACCAAGAAGGUAGGGGACCUUUUCAAGUUUCUCAAUUGUUUGGAAAGCCUCAAUGAUUUUGAUGCAAAAGUAAAGCAAUGCUGGAAAACUAGUAAUAGGGGACCUGCCAUGCUUAAUGUGUGGAAUAAGCUCAAAGUGCUAAAAGGAGCCCUAAAGUAACUGAAUAAACAAGAGUUCGGUGGUAUUGGGUAUAAGAUUCAAGUGGAAAGGAACAAACUGGAAGGCAUCCAAGCUCAGAUGACUAUGCCAGGACAUGACACUGAGGCAAUACUACAAGAGAAGGCUGCAAAGCUAGAACUAGAAAAAUGGCUGAUGGUUGAGGAGAGUGUCUUGAAGCAAAAGUCAAGAAUUCAAUGGCUUAACUAGGUGAUUAUAACACAGUAUACUUCCAUGCUUGCAUGAAAAAUAGGCAAGCAAAGAAUCAUAUUGGCAAGCUGACUAACAGUGCUGAGCAAAUCCUUCAAAGUGAAACUGAAAUUGAGGAGGAAAUAUUUAGUUUCUACAAAAGACUACUUGGUACUGCUGCUCCACAACUGCCAGUAGUUAUCCCAGAUAUCAUGCAUAAUGGUUAUACUUUAACUAGGAAUCAACAACUAUAGCUUAUCAAACCAGUUACUAAAGAGGAAGUAAAGCAAGCUAUAAUGGAUAUUGAUGAUAAUAAAGCACCAAGAUGUGAUGGUUAUAAUUCAUUCUUUUUUUUAAAAAGACAUGACACAUCUUGGGUGAUGAAGUUACUGCAGCAGUAAUGGAGUUCUUUAAAACUGCUGAUAUGUGCAAAGCCAUCAAUUGCACCACUAUUACCUUGAUACCAAAAGUUAAGAACCUAACUAACAUCAAGGAGUUCAGGCCAAGUUCCUGCUGCAUAAUGCUUUACAAGAUCAUAUCUGAAGUUCUAACAGCAAGGCUACAUGAUGUUAUAGCAGAUUUAAUAGAUAAUUGCCAAAUAGACUUUGUACCAGGUAGACUGAUCACUGAUAAUAUCAUCAUGAGCCAUGAGCUGAUGAAAGGCUAUGAGAGGAAGAACAUCUCCUCAAGUUGUAUGCUCAAAAUAGAUAUACAGAAGGCCUAUAAUUCUGUUGAAUGGGUGUACAUUGAACAAGCGAUGAAGGUGUUGGGAUUCCCUGAAUUGUUUGUGAAAUGGAUAAUGGCCUAUAUCUGCACAAUGUCUUACUCAGCAAUAAUCAAUGGUAAGCUUGUUAUGCCAUUUGAGGCAAGGAAAGGGCUGAGACAGGGUGAUCCCCUAUCCUCAUUCCUAUUUGUAAUGGCCAUGGAGUACCUAAGUAGACUAAUGAAGCCACUGAAGGACAACAAGAAGUUUAAGUUUCAUCCAAAGUGUGCCAAAGUCAACCUAGUUUAACUGGGGUUUGCUGAUGAUCUACUUCUUUUCUGUAGAGGGGACUUAAAAUCAGUGAAGAUACUCGAUUAAUACUUUUAAAUAUUUUCUACAGCCUCAGGCCUAAUUGCACAUCCAAACAAAAGUUGUAUUUACUUUGGUGGAGUGAGCAACAUGACUCAACAACAUAUUAUGGACAUGCUAGGAUACUCUAAAGGUGAACUACCCUUUAGAUACCUUGUAUCUUACUGAGCACUAAGAGGUUAUUAGUUAUUCAAUGUGAACCUGUAAUUGACAGAUUGUUAAGUAGGAUUCAAAGCUGGACAACAAAAUUUCUAUCAUAUGCUGGAAGAGCAAUGUUAGUAAAGAGUGUUAUAUUUGCUAUACAGACAUUCUAGGAUCAGAUAUUCAUUUUGCCAAGGAAAAUCAUUCAGUUUAUAGAAUUAAUUUGCAGGAGAUUCUUAUGGACAUGAGUUGUUGAACCUACUAAAAGGCAUUGAUUGCCUGGGACAAACUGUGUUCCCCAAAGGUAGCAGAGGGCCUUAAUAUCACCAAUGUGGAGUUAUGAAACAAAGAAGCUAUUUGCAAGCUCUUAUGGAAUAUUUGCACAAAGAAGGAGAAACUGUGGGUACAAUGGAUUCAUUCAGACUACAUAAAAGGAAACACUAUCUGGAAUACAGAGCCCAAGAGUGCAUCAUGGAUCAUCCAAAAGAUAUUCAAGGCAAAAAACUACUUCGAGGCUGCUGGAUUUACAGAAGAGGAUGUACAUCAUAUGGAGAGAUUUCUCUAUGAGACUGUUAAGUCUCGAUCAAGGACAUAAGGUCUUGAACAACUUCGUAUUAUGUGUAUUGAUUUGCGUGCGUGGUGGAAUUCAGUUAUCGGAUGAUUCAGAGUCAAAUUGGAAGAAGGAUGCAAGUUUUAGAAGCUUAAGGCUUAGGAUUUUGACCGUAGUUGGAGUUGUGUUAAGACAACUCCGGAAUGGAGUUACAGUGACUCCAUUAGCUCCGUUGGGUAAUUUUGGACUUAGGAGCGUGUCCGACCUGUGAAUUUGAGGUUUGCAGCUGAUUUAGGCUUGAAAUGGUGAAAGUUAAAUUUUUGGCGAUUUUGACCGGUAGUGGACUUUCUGAUAUCGGGGUUAGAUUCUAAUUUCAGAUAUUGGAGUAGGUCUGUAAUAUUGAAUAUGACUUUUGUGCAAAAUUUGGGGUCAAUCAGACAUGGUUUGAUCAGUUUCGGCAUUGGUUGUAGAAAUUUAAUAUUUCAUCGGAGGAUGAUUCGUGAUUUUAGAAUUGUUUGAUGUGGUUUGAGGGCUCGACUAAGUUCGUAUGAUAUUUUAGGAUUGGUUGAUAUAUUUGAUUGAGGUCCCAGGGGCCUCGGGUAUGUUUCGGAUGCUUAACGGAGGAAAUAUUGGACUUAGGAAAUUUCUAAAGUUUGCUGGUUUCUGGUGUUUCGCACCCGCGGUGGGGGAACCGCAGGUGCGGGGCUGCACAUGCGGAUGAUUAAGCGCAAGAGAAUUUGGAGGGAGUGGUCUGGGGCCGCAGGUACGAGGUGAGUUCCGCAUCUACGAUGGAAUUUCCACAGGUGCGGAACCGUAGAUGCGGUUGAAGGCCCGCAAAAGCGGUUUGACGUGAAGAAAAAGGGCUAAGUGCGAGGGUUUGAUUUCAUUAUUCUUUUUUGGACUUGAGAGCUCGGAAUUUGGCAAUUUUUCGAGGGAUUUUCAGAGGAAGCUUUGGGAUUUGGGCCAUUCGAAGUCAGAUAUUCGUGGAAAGGCCUUGUUAGUGAUUGAUUGAGCUUGGUUCGAGGUAAGUAUCUUGCUUGACUUUGUGUGGGGGAACUACCCCUUAGGAAUUGAGUCUUUUAUGCUAAUUGUAGUCCGAGUACGCGAGGUGACGAGUACGUGCUCGGACGUAUUUGUGGAAAAUUUUCCUUUUAGGGUUCUUAGGUCCUUGUAUUCACUGAAUAUGCAGUUAUUCCCGUUAUGAUUACGUUUCUAAAGUACUAGUUUCACUUCUACCUUCUUUUAUUAGAAUUAAUUGCUUCAUGAUCCACUCUUGUUGUUCAUUUGAUUCAUAUGUGCCUAAACUGAAAUUGUUAUCUCUUCUAUUGCCAUGUUGCAUUUUCCCUAACUGCUUAUCUUUAUUUGAAGUUGUAGUUAUCCCGUUUGUAAAUCUUCACCCUUAAUUGAGGUUAUGAUUAUCUUUUCGCCGCCUACCUUUAUUUGAAGUUGACUUGCCCUUAUUUGGAAUUAUUUGACUCUUGCUAGUUUUCUUGUUGUUGAACCGUAUAUUGUGGGAUCAUUGUUACAUAUUAUUUUCGUCCCUGUUGAGCUAUUCUUAUUACACCUAGUAUUCUUUAUUAUGGCUAUUCCUUGCGAACUAGUUUUACCGUUUCUUGAAAUCGAAGGUUCUUGAGUUGAUUUAUUUGUCGUACCCUCGUAUUAGUGUUAUUGUUGUUGUUGUACUUGUUGUUCUUGNNNNNNNNNNNNNNNNNNNNNNNNNAGCUGGUAUGAACUAUGUUAGGACACUUGCACAAGCAUACACGUAGUUAAGUCACUCUUUCGGUAUAAGAGGUUUCCUUGAUAUUGUUGAGUAUAGAUGCACACCCUCGCUUACUUGCCUUCUAUGUGAGAAUGGCUCUAUUUGGCACGCGAGUCGUUAGUGCGGUCAUGAUGUGUAACAAGGGCACAUGAUGCCAAGUGUUAGGGUUCAGGUAUUGAGACCCGUGAUUUGUGAUUUGUCCGAGGUUCGGAACCUCGUGGAGUUUAUUGACUAAAACCCGGUGUGAAAGCUGUCGUAUUGUUGAGUUGUUACUCGUCCUUUCUUUAUAUGUGAUUAUCGAACUUAGGUUGUGUUUCCGUUCAUUCUUCUAUGUCAUUAUUAUGAGUUUCCGUUGAUAGUUGUUAUUUUCCUUCCUUAUUGAAAUUAUCAUAUUAAUUACCAUAUCGCGUAGUCUUUAUGCAGAUUUCAUACUCUGUUAUUUCUAUACUUAUACUUGUUCAGGUUAUUUAGUCCAGUAAGUGUCUUGACUGUUCCUCGUCACUACUCCACUGAGGUUAGUCUUGAUACUUGCUGGGUACCGCCGUGGUAUACGCAUACUAUACUUCUGCAUAUUUUUGUGCAGAUCCAGGUAUUUUGAAGUCAGUUGAUCAUUAGCUAGCUGUGCGGACUGUUGCUAUGGAGAAUCAAGGUAAACCUGCUGCUGCGUUCACAGGCUUCGGAGUCACCUUCCUAUUUUGUAUUCACAUUGUUUUACCUAUUUCCAAACAAUUGUAUAUAGAAAUUUGUAGCAAUCUUUGUAGAGCUUAUGACUUGUACUACCGGUUUUGGGAAUUGUAAAUUUUUUUACAAAGAACUCCAUUUCAAGUUGUUAGAUGUUAUUUAUUAUGGUUGUUAUUCAGUAAAUGUUAGGCUUACCUAGUCCCUAAGACUAGGUGCCAUCACGAUAUCCAACGGAGGGAAAAUUGGAUCGUGACAAGUUGGUAUCAGAGCUCUAGUUUCAUAGGUGCUAUGAGUCAUAAGCGAGUUUAGUAGAGUCUGGCGGAUCGGUACGGACAUGUCUGUACUUAUCUUCGAGAGGCUACGGAACUAAUAGGACUGUUUCACUUCCUUCAUUCCUAGCGUGCGAGUUCAUUGAUCUCGAAGUUUGAACUUUUAUCAUUCCAUUCUCUCACAGAUGGUGAGGACACGAGCUGCAGUCAUUGAUGACAUUACCCCCGGAACAGAUAUCGCUAGGGGCAGAGGCCAACGAGGAGCACGUACCGCAGCUAGGGCACCUACCAGAGCAGCAGUUGAGGAGCCGCCAGUAGUUCCAGUUAGGGGGGAGGGGCAGGUACCGGAGGCGUCUUCUGUUACCCCCAGACUUCAGGAGACCUUAGCAUAGUUCCUGAGCAUGUUUGGUACAUUGGCUCAGGCGGGGUUGAUUCCGGUUGCACCAACUACUUCACAGACCGGGGGAGGAACUCAGACUCCCGCUGCCCCCACUCCAGAGCAGCGAGUUCAUGUUGGUCAAGUUCCAGGUGUCAUGGCGACACAGUCUGUGAUUCCAGUUCAGCCUGAGGUUAGGGCAGCAACAUCCGAGGAAGAGCAGCUUAGACUUGCAAGGUUAAAGAAAUAUUACCCUCCUACUUUCAGUGGUUUGGCUUUAGAGGGUGCACAAGGUUUUUUAGAGGAGUGCCAUCAUAUUCUCCGCACUAUGGGCAUUGUUGAGACGAGUGGGAUUGCUUUUACUACGUUCUAGCUUAGGGGAGCGACUUAUCAGUGGUGGCGGGCAUACGAGUUGGGUAGCCCGGCCAAGUCAGCUUCACUUAUAUGGGUUCAAUUUUCAGAGAUGUUCUUGAAAAAGUUUGUACCUCAGUCCCUUCGAGAUGCAUGGCGUGCAGAGUUUGAGCAUUUGUGCCAGGCACUAUGUCAGUGUCAGAGUAUGCCAUUAGAUUCAGUGAUUUGGCCAGGCAUGCACCUGCUUUGGUCACUACAAUUAGAGAGCGUGUCCGUAGAUUCAUUGAGGGGCUCAGGCAUGAUAUUCGGUUCAACAUGGCUCGGGAGUUAGAGUCGGACGUUUUGUUUCAGCAGGUGGUAGGGAUCGCUCGUCGAGUAGAGGGCAUAUGGGAUCAGGAGAGAGGAGACAGGUGAGGUCAGGAGAGAGAGGACAGGGAGGCGAGGAGGCCUCGUAGACCGGAGAGAUCUACUGGUCCUUAUUUUGGAGGCGGGUUAUGACAUGGUAGAGGUUUUGUGGGUCAGCUAGUUCAGUUUGCACUUCAGGCUUCGCACAGUAUUUCAGGUGCUCAUGGGUUUCAGAGUACCCGUACCACACAGUUCCCAUAGCCACGUCAGUAGAAAGGUUGCUUCGAGUGUGGAGAUACCAUCCACAGGGUGAUUGAUUGUCCUAGACUCCGUACAGGUGUGUCACAAUAUAGUAUUCAGGCGAGUAGAGGGCACCCAAAAGUAGAAGGCUCAACCCGUUGAUGUGUUUCAUAUAGUAGGCUUGAGGCCUUUGCACCAGAUGAUGCCAUACAGGUAUGCUUUUGAUUUGUUACAGAGGGACACCAUUCGUAUUUUGUUUCAGUUCUGCUUAUCGGGGCGAGUUCCCCUAUUUGUUGUCCCACCUAUGGGUGAGUUCAUGAUUUAGCAUUAUGUUUAUGUGUUUGCCCCUGUUGGGAGAUUCUAUGAGUGAUAGUCGUGUCUAUCGUUGUUUUAAUUCAUUGUUGAAAGUUACGAGACUAGAAGUGAAUUCAUGUUGUCUAGUAUGGCAGGUUUGAUGUGAUUCCUGAGUAAUUUGGUUACGAUUUGUGAUUGGAUACUCUACCCGGGGUAACAGUUUAGUAAGUGUUGUGAUUUUAUUGGCAGAAUUGAGUUAAAGGAAGAUUUCCAUUGGUAUGAUGUGUAUUCGACUUGUGAUUCCACGUUGAGGGUGAGACCCUCACGAUUCCAUAUGAUUUGAUAUGUUUGAGCCGGGCUGCGUGCUGCGGUAGAAGUUAUAUCAAGAUGAGAUACUUGUGAUUUGUUCAUAUACCUUGAUUCUUCCUUUUUAAAUUGAUUCGUAGUAUGGUACUGAUAUAGAGUUUUGCCUGUCGGGCUUGUUUAAUAUUUCUCUUAUGUGUUUCUAUUUACAUAUUCAGUCAUUUUUGUUCUGUGCUUCUUGAGUUUUAGCUUGCGGGGUAUAUGUCCGGUGGCGUUAGUUGUGACGUGUUGAUUCGGGUGUAUAGUUAAGAGGUCUUCACAUUUCUUGUAUCGUUGUCAGUGUUGUGAAGGUUUGAAAUAGGGUUCUAACGGAUAUGAGGCUAAUUGCCGGUGCUGGUUUUGAUUACGGGCAGCUAUUGUGAGCAGAAAUGUUAUCAUGGGCCUAAAUGUGGUGUGUCACAUUGUGUGGUUGUACCUUGCGGUUGUAGGCAUGAGUUGCUGAAGCUAGGUGAGACUGAUACCGGGUAUGGAUUUAGAAUCAAGUCUUUUGGAGAUGAAUUGAAGGUGAGAAUUCUGACUGUAAGCCUUAUCGGUGCUGGUAGAAAGGAUAAAUUAUAGUUCAGAUGGUGUCAUAAGGCUUAUAUGGAUUGGGGUGACGUGGGGUCACUCGCGGGUGUAUGUUGGAUAUGUGCUUUCAGUGAUUUGAAGACUUCGAGGCGAUUCUUGGAACGUUCGAGGACAAACAUUUGUUUAAGAGGGGAAGGAUGUAAUGACUCGGCCGGACGUUUUGAGAAUUUAAGUACUGAUCGGUGGCAUAAGGUCCUGAGCAGCUUCGUAUUAUGUGUAUUGAUUUGCGUGCAUGGUUGAAUUCAGUUAUCGGAUGAUUCAGAGUCAAAUCGGAAGAAGGAUGCAAGCUUUGGAAGCUUAAGUCUUAGGAUUUUGACCGUAGUUGGAACUGUGUGAAGACAACUCUGGAAUGGAGUUCCGGCUGCUAGGUUAGCUUUUUUGGGUGAUUUUGGACUUAGGAGCGUGUCCGGAUUGUAAAUUUAAGGUCUGCAGCUAAUUUAGGCUUGAAAUGGCGAAAGUCAAAUUUUUGGAGACUUUGACCGGUAGUGGACUUUCUAAUAUCAGGGUCGGAUUCUGAUUCCGGAAGUUGGAGUAGGUCUGUAAUCUUGAAUAUGGCUUGUGUGCAAAAUUUAGGGUCAAUCAGACAUGGUUUGAUAGGUUUCAACAUCGGUUGUAGAAAUUUGAAGUUUCAAGAUCUUUUAGUUUGAAUCGGAAGAUGAUUCGUGAUUUUAGCGUUGUUUGAUGUAGUUUAAGGGCUCGACUAAGUUCGUAUGGUGUUUUAGGAUUGGUUGGUAUGUUUGGUUGAGGUCUCGGGGGCCUCGGGUGUAUUUCGGAUGCUUAACGGAGGAAAUAUUAGACUUAGAAAAUUUCUGAAGUUUGCUGGUUUCUGGUGUUUCGCACCUGCGGUGGGGGAAACGCAGGUGCGGGGCCGCACAUGUGGAUGAUUGAGCACAGAAACAGAUUUGGAGGGAGUGUUCAGGGGCCGCAGGUGCGAGGUGAUAUCCGCAUCUGCGAUGCCCGCAAUUGCGCUGGAGAGAUCAUAGGAGCGAUGGAGGACCGCAGAAGCGGACAUAGGUCCGCAGGUGCGACCUUUUGAUCGCAGAAGCAGUCGAUGAGUUUUAAGUGAAAACCGCACAUGCGAUGGAAUUUCCGCAUGUGCGGAACCGCGGAUGCGGUUGAAGGCCCGCAGAAGCAGUUUGACCGAAAGAAAAAGGUCUAAGUGCGAGGGUUUGAUUUCAUUCUUCUUUUUUGGACUUGAGAGCUCGGAAUUUGGCGAUUUUUCAAGGGAUUUUCAGAGGAAGCUUUGGGGUUUGGGCCAUUCGGAGUCAGAUAUUCGUGGAAAGGCAUUGUUAGCGAUUGAUUGAGCUUGGUUCGAGGUAAGUAUCUUGUCUAACUUCGUGUGGGGGAACUACCCCUUAGGAAUUGAGUCUUUUAUGCUAAUUGUAGUCCGGGUACGCGAGGUGACGAGUACGUGCUCAGACGUAUUUGUGGAAAAUUUUCCUUUUAGAGUUCUUAGGUCCUUGUAUUCAUUAAAUAUGCAGUUGUUCCCGUUAUGAUUACGUUUCUAAAGUACUAGUUUCACUUCUACCUGCUUUUAUUAGAAUUAAUUGCUUCAUGAUCCACUCUUGUAGUUCAUUUGAUUCAUAUGUGCCUUAACUGAAAUUGUUAUAUCUUCUAUUGCCAUGUUGCAUUUCCCCUAACUGCUUAUCUUUAUUUGAAGUUGUAGUUACCCCUUUUGUAAAUGUUCACCCUUAAUUGAGGUUAUGCUUAUCUUUCUGCCGCCUACCUUUAUUUGAAUUUGUUGCAUCUCUUUCGUAAUUGUCCAAACUUAUAAAAACACUAGAUCUGCCACUUGGAUAUUAAUAUUGACUUGGAUUAACCAUUUUCUCUAGAAAUCUAAUUAUAUAAAAACCUAGAUCUAAAUUUUGGGUUAUACAACUUACUAUCAUAAUUUAAAAUUUAUUGAUAGUAAUUUUUUUAAAAACACCUAAUGUAACCUAAAAGCCUUUUAAAUCCUACUAUUCCUAUUCGAAGUCCCUUUCUUUAGAGUAUUGUUCAAUGUGCAACAGUAAAAAAAAUUAAAGGUACUGUUCUUCUUCUUCUUCUUCCUUUAAACAUACUAUGAUGACUCAUUUUGAUUGGGGCUAGCAUUGAAUAGGAAAGUACCAUUAUACCAUGUGCAACUAAUGGUAUUUACUUUUUUCAAAAAAUAUCUUCAAAGCAUUAUUUGGUAUACAUUGGAAUGAUUUUUUUGAUUUUUUUUUUCUUCUUUAAGAAUGAGUUUCAAGUACCAUUUNNNNNNNNNNNNNNNNNNNNNNNNNNNNNNNNNNNNNNNNNNNNNNNNNNNNNNNNNNNNNNNNNNNNNNNNNNNNNNNNNNNNNNNNNNNNNNNNNNNNNNNNNNNNNNNNNNNNNNNNNNNNNNNNNNNNNNNNNNNNNNNNNNNNNNNNNNNNNNNNNNNNNNNNNNNNNNNNNNNNNNNNNNNNNNNNNNNNNNNNNNNNNNNNNNNNNNNNNNNNNNNNNNNNNNNNNNNNNNNNNNNNNNNNNNNNNNNNNNNNNNNNNNNNNNNNNNNNNNNNNNNNNNNNNNNNNNNNNNNNNNNNNNNNNNNNNNNNNNNNNNNNNNNNNNNNNNNNNNNNNNNNNNNNNNNNNNNNNNNNNNNNNNNNNNNNNNNNUAUCAUUUCUCAAAAGAAAAAAGAUGAGCCCCAAACUGAUAGUUGGCCUAGCAUCCAAACAAGUUGUUUUGGCUCCUAGAAAUUUAUCGUUUUCAGAUAAAUUUAUCUUCGCUUAUAGGCAAUUACCAGUGGUUUUAUAUAUUAGUCGUUUUGAUAGAUUAACAUUUUAGAAAAUGAAAAGGUAAAUAUUUAUUACCUAUUUUUUAAAAAUUUAUCCUUACUAUUUUAAUUACUGAAGUGUUAUUUAAAUAAAAUAUUUAAACAAAGAUAAAUAGUGGUUUAAAUAUGUACUCUCUCAUGAUUAAGGCUAUGAAGUAAUUUUCUUAAAAAGUCUUGCGAAAUUUUAAAAGGCAGACUAUACUGUUCUUUCCGUCUUUUGUUUCUUUUUAUAUGCAUAUUCUGCUUCUUUUUUUUCCCUUUCUUCUUUUGGUGAUUAAAGCAGUUUAUUCUUUGACAAUUUCACUGAUAGAGGCCGCCCACGUGCAAGGUAGCAUUUAAGACUUACCAGUACGUAGGAACGUAGGUUCAGUUAAAUAAUGACUCCAACUUUGGUUCUUUUCUUUUUGUUGGUAAACAGUUGCUCCACCUUUGCUCUUUGAUAUAAGUUGCCACAUGGUCUGCAUUACAAUUUACAAACAUGAGUCAUAGCUUGAAAAUUGAAAUUUAGUGAAGAAUUCUAUUGAAAUUCAUCAUAUUAAAACGAACAAUACCUCACAAGUAUAAAAGAUUAGAAAGUUGAAUAUUACGUGUGAGCUAAUAAAUAGGAAAACUAAAAGGUAGAGUUAGAGUAGAAAGUAGAAAGGUGACAUUUAACUAAUUGAGAUGGAAGAAGUACAGUAAGAAAACUUAUUCACAUUUAUUAGAUGUCUCAAACUAAUAAGUCCAUGAUAUAUUUUUUUAUACAAAUAUUAUAACCCAAGCUAAUUAAUAUGUAUUGCUAUGACAAUUUUGUCACUUAAUUAUGAAGGAUUAACAUGUUCGUCCAUGCACCAGAUCAAAUAUCGCAGUAUAACUUAUUAGGAUACAAUAAACCAUUUACACUCUUCUCGAAAUACAAGUUGGCCUAUUUACUGGCGGCUAACAUAUUUUACUUUUCUGAUUGAACGUAACAAUAAUUAAGAAGAUAAUUUGCAAAUCUCACUCUGCAAUCUGCAUGAUAUUCGCACAUAAUUUUAAAUAAUUGGGAUGGCCUUUCUUGGAACAAGGAUGUCUCUCUUGGAGUAAUAAUUACAUGCAAUGCAAUAUGAAAUAUUUAAAUCGAAAGGUCCACAGCAACGUGACGACCAUGUGGCUCUUUCAUAAAAAUUAACCGUGAUGCCUCAUAAAGUCUAAAGCAUAUACCAAAAAAAUCCUAAAGUGUACAGGUUUAUCUGGCCCUAAAGUUGACCCUUUUACUUGCUGUCUUUGUAUGAAGCUAAUUAACCUAGAAAUUAAAGAGGCAAAAAUUAACCUAGUGUAUAAGCAAGUCUGCGACCACGUGGCUCUUUCUCCGUUGUUAGCGGAAAUGAUAAGUUAAUACAACCCCUUUAAUUUGUGAAACAAGCAAACACUAGAAGUUAAACCUCACUGGGCUAAAAGUUACAUUAUUUUCUUUUUAUGUUAUUUAAUAGGAAUAUUAUUUAAUUAGGCGUAAAUUUUAAAAUGUUAAUACAAUUAUUCAUUAUAUGAGUAAUAGUAGUUGAAAGAAAACUACUUAAAUUGAAUGAUAGUAGAAUGCAAGUUUGAGUAGUUAAUUUUUCUAAAGGUCAUACAUGAGUAGUUAGUAACUUUCUAGGGGUCAAGGUUUUCUCUCUCUAGAAUGAAAUUUCCUCUUAGCGACGGCCGAAGAUGACGAGGAAAUCCAAAACUAGGGGAGGAAGGCAAUGAAGUCAAGAGUGCAUACAACCUCCAUCUACAGAAUAAAAAAUGAGAGUGCCUAACUCGGCGGAUACAAAAAACACUCUUAAUAUCAACGCCUUACAAGGAAUUGUACAGCUAGAUUUGCAUCAAUGCUCGGCAUCGAAUACCGAAAAAAUGCUGUCAUAUAAUAUGUGUUGGGUUCUAACCCCUUAGCAGCUGUGAUGAAUGGCUACUUUCAUAGAAUCUAGGAAAAAUUGGGGAUUGAUAACGUUGUGCAAGUAAACAGAGGAUUUUUUCUUGUGAGAUUCACCCAAAUUGAAAAUAGGGUAAAGGUUGUGGAAGACGGAGUCCAGAUGUUCGACAAAAAGCCAGUGGCAGUUAAGCCUUGGUCGCCUGAAAUUGAUACGAGGAAUAAACAUUAACUAAUAUUACAGGGCUAGCGGGCGAUCCUCUAAAGGCUGGCAGAGCCACCACAUAGAAGGAGAUGAUGACAUUUGCUAGGAUGCUUGUGGAAGUAGCAUUGGACCAGCCUUACCCAAUAUGUAUCAUGUUUGAAAAUGAGUAUGGCAAAAUCAUUGAGAAACAGGUGCACUAUGAAUGAAAACCUGCACUAUGCCAUGAUUGCAAUAACUAUGGACAUGAACUGAAGGAAUAUAGUAAACAAAUGCAAGCAGAAAAGCAGAAACCAGACCAACAAGGAAAGGAAGUAGAACAGAACAAGACAUGGAAUGACACUAGAGGGAAUGUGCAUGUAGAGGGACUGAACAACAAAGUGGUAGAGACUAACCAGAAUGCAUGUUUUGUGCAAAAUUGAGGCAGGGUAAGGGUUAAUAGCCCUAAAAGAACCAUGGGAGGUCCUAAUAAGGAUCAAACACUAAGCAUAGGAAACUCGUUCGAGGCACUAGGGAGCCCAGCAGGAUGGGGAUAGCGGAGCAAGGGCAUAUUACAACAGGAAAUAUGGUACAGGGAGGGAAAGAUGACCCAAAACAGGGAAGGGUGGGGGAUUUCCACCCCUUCCAAUGGAUAGUAUCGGUUUUUGGAACACCAGGGGACUAAAUAGGCUAAAUAAACAGAAGGAAUUGAAUCUGUUUAUGCAUCAGUGCAAAGUUGGCUUAUAUCGUCUCCUAGAAACUAAGAUGAAGAGAAAUAAUACUCAAAAUGCUUCCCUUAAUCUAUGUAGAGCCUGGUCUUUUACAACCAAUUUGGCUUUACACCCAGGGGAAAGAAUAUAGGUGGUUAGGACGCCCUCAAUAAUUUAUUUUCAGAUUGAAUUCAGCUCUAAACAAGUGAUUCAUUGUGUGGUAACACACAUGGGCAUUGGCCUAGUUUUCAAUGCAACUUUUGAAUAUGGAUUCAAUGAUCCAUCAUUAAGAAGAACCUUGUGGCAGGAUAUAAGAAAAAUAAAUAGCACUGUGACGGGGCCAUGGGCAAUUAUGGGUGAUUUUAAUUGUAUGUUGCAUAAGGAGGAUAGAAUUGAAAGACAUGUAGUCAUGCUAGAAAUUAAAGAAUUCAGAGCAUGUGUGGCUGAUUGUAGACUGCAGGAGUUAAUAUCAUCAGGAUAUUAUUUCACAUGGAAUAACAAACAAGAAGGAAGGGGGAUAGAGUAUAUAGUAGGAUUGAUAGAGUGUAAGUGAACACUGAAUGGAUAACUCUACUACCUGUAUCUGAAGUUUAUUAUAUGAAUGAAGGGCUCUAUGAUCACUGACCAGCAAUUAAAAGUAGGAGAAUGGUCAGCAUAUAAGCAGGAAGCAAUUCAAGUAUUAUAACACGUGGACAAUGACACUUGACUUCUAAGAAAAAGUGAAAGGGAGUUGGGAUGGAGAGAUAGAUGGGGACAAAUUAUUUCAAGUGGUGGGGAAGAUGAACAGAUUAAAGGCAGUGUUACUCAGCUUGAACAAAGAAAGGUUCCCAGAUAUAGAAAAGAAGGCAGAUAGAGCAAUGUAGGACUUAAAGAAAUGUCAGUCAAAAGUGCAAGACGUCCCCAUGAAUAAAACACUAAUUGAGGAAGAAAUGCACUUAGCUAAGGAAUGCAAAAUCUAGGGAGAAGCUAGAGAUCAAUUCUUGCGCCAAAAAAGUAGAGUUCAAUGGCUAACUCAAGGAGAUCAAAACACAAAAUUUUUUCACAGUGCAAUAAAGGAAAUAAGAAAUAAGAAUAGAAUCUUCUCUGUUAUUGAUGCACAACGGUCCACUAAAAAAGAACCAGGGGAAGUAGCAGAAGCAUUUAUAGGCUUCUGCAAGAAUUUGCUGGGGAUAAAAAGUAGAAAGGAGGCAACAUGUAUGCAGUGAACUAGUUAGGCAAGGGCUCACAAUCACAUAGGAACAAAGGGAAUGGCUAGAAAAUAGAUUCUCUGAAAUGGAGGUAAAGCAAGCAGUAUAAGCAAUAUCAGGGGAUAAGGCUCUAGGGCCUGAUGGCUAUGGUAGCCGGUUCUUUAAGGAUUGUUGAGAAAUUGUGGGUAAUGAUAUAAUUACAAGAGUAUUAGAGUUCUUUUAGGCUGGAAAAAUGCCAAGAAGUCUCAAUGUCACAACAAUUCAUUAAUUCCAAUGAGCAUCCAUGCAGAACAUGUGGGAGACUAUCGACGUAUAGGCUGCUGUAAUACCAUCUACAAGGUGAUAUCUAAGAUGUUGAGUGAGAAUGAAGUCAGUUUUACCAGACAUCAUUUUAGAAAAUCAAAGUGCAUUUGUUGUUAGGAGAACCACUAUCCAGAAUGUCCUCAUCUGCCAAGACUUAGUGAGAUUAUACAACAUGAAAGCAACCACAAAAAGAUCCCUAAUAAAAAUUGACUUGAGAAAAGCCUACGAUACUGUAGAAUAGGACUUUGUGCAGGAGAUGCUACAUGCUUUAAACUUCCCCAGUAAAUUCAUCAAAUAGAUAAUGUUAUGCAUCACUACGCCCAGAUAUUCAAUAGCAAUCAAUGUGGGGUUAUAUGAAAACAUAGAGGAUUGCGGCAAAGGGAUCCCAUGUCCCUAUUCAUUUUUGUGAUUUGCAUGGAAUACUUCACCAGAAUCAUGUACAGGGUGGCCACACUUCAGGGUAUCACAUUUCACUGUAAAUGUAAAGGUCUGCAACUAAAUUAUUUGUGUUUUGCAGAUGAUAUGCUCUUGUUUUGUAAAGAAGAACUACACUAUGUUGCAUUUAUGUUAAGAGGCCUAGCCAGCAUCUCCAAUGCAUUGGGGCUGACCACAAAUGCAACCAAGUCCAACAUAUAUAGUGCUAACAUGGAAAUGGAAAGUGUUAAGGACAUAUUUAAAAUGACAGGCUACAAGAAAUGAUCAUUACCCUUCAGGUACCUAGGAGUGCCAAUCUCAGCAAAGAAAAUCUCUUUUGUAGACUGUGAAAUGUUAGUGAAGAGGAUGUGUACGAGAAUCCAAAGUUGGGGCACACGAAACAUGUCGUAUGCUGGGAGAGUUCUACUAGUGAAUUUAGUUAUAAUGCAUAUUCACUCAUACUGGUCAUCCAUAUUUUUCUUGCCUAAGAAGAUAUUAAAAAAUAUCAUAGCCAUCUGCAGGUUUCUAUGGGAUGGGAAAGUCAACACCAACAAAUUAUCACCGGUGGCUUGGGAAUUAGUGUGCAGACCUAAACAAGAAGGUGGGCUAGAGAUCAUAGAUUGUGAGUUGUGGAACCAAGAAGCUAUAGCAAAAUAUAUGUGGAAUGUAGCCAAGAAGGCUGACAACCUAUGGGUAAAUGGGUGGACCACAUAUACCUAAAAGGAACUUCCUGGCUAAUUAUAUUAAUUCGAAGUGUUUAAAGGUUUUAAAGAAGAUCGACAUGUGCUAAUUAUAUAUAUUCGCGUGUGAGCAAGGGCUAAUGAUAUAAAUAAUAUCACUUGAACAUAAUAAUAUAUUUAUGAGGUAUAUUAGAAAUGGUUUAUGGUCUAAGAAGAGCCCUAAGGCUAAGUCAAGUUGGAAAUUAUAUGAUGGGCUAAAGUUUCUAGUGGGUUCGCACAAGACUUAACUUCAAACAAGCAUAAAUCUCAUGAUAUGAAGUUUUAUACGGUGUAUGACCUAUUAAAUGAAAGGUCUAUGUGUCUAGUUUCUAAUGCUUUAAACCUUUCAUCAUUUGGAUAUUUAUAAAAUGAGUUAUGGGCUUUGUACCAGAAGGUGGUAGUGCAGCUAUGCAGUUUCAGAAUUUGGCCAAGGGAAUAGCCUCCUGCGCAGUGUUUUAAAAGGCAUGGGUGUAGGGCAAAGCGCUUUACAUAUGCCUCAACGAGGCCUACGCUCCGAGGCANNNNNNNNNNNNNNNNNNNNNNNNNAUAUGUGCUACUUACAACUUACAAGCACAAGUAACUUAUUAAUCAAAAUAAUUUAUUAUACGCUACUUACAACUUACAAGCACAAGUAACUUGAGUCGAAAAUAGGAUGACUAACCUGCAAUUUGAAAUUUGAACUUGCUGAUAUGAAGGAGAAUGAAGUUCUCUUUGUAUUUGUAAAGAAAUUGAAUAUUCGUUAUUUUGGGAGAUAUUAGCAGACUAAGGAACAACAUAAAGAAUUGGGAAAAAUCAUAAAUUAGGGUUUUAAUCAAUAAAAAGAUCUUAACUUUUAAAUUUGAUACAUUUCAGUUCCUUUUUAAAACUUUUGAGUAAUUACAAGCUGACUUUUGAGAAUUUGGGUAUUAUACGAAGGACUUAUUCAACAAAUUUUAUUUUAAUUUGAAAAGGUCUCUGGGGCUUACGUCUCACUACAAAAACGUGCCUCAAACGCCCAGGCGUACACCUCGAACGCCCGGGCGUACGCCUCUUGAAACUUUCACCCCACACCUGCGUAGGUUUUAUGUGUAGGCUAAGCUGCUUUAGGGGCCAUUUUAAAGGGGCAGAAACAAGGGGUUUAGAGAGAGAAAAAGUUAAUUCUUCAACUUGGAAUUGAUUUCUAGAGAGGAGGAGCUCUUCCACCAUGGAUACACUUCAAGGUAAGUUAUUUUGAUACAAGGAUGAUUUUAUUACAUCAUUUAGUGAUUACUAACACUAUUAUGGAUCAAAUCCAUAGAAAAUGGGUUGAAUCUUUAAGAACAUCAAAAAGAAAAAAAUGAGAUUCUUCUACCAAGAGGUAAUCCCUUCACUUGAGCUUCAUAUUUAUGUCAUAUUAGAGUAUGGGUAGCAUGUUUAUGAAUUUUAUUUAUAGUUGUAAUGGAAUAUUGUAUGAACCCUAAGAACGUCUUGAAAAUAAUAUUUUGGACAAAGAAGAAGAUGAAUAGUGAUGAAUUGAUAUAAAUGGAAUUGUUUUGAGUUUCUAAUGAUUCCAAUAGACUUGAUAACUUAAUUGAUGAACGAAUUGAAUAGGGAUCACUAUUUGGACAAGAUGCAACACUAGUUCUUGAAAUGUGUGUUCUUGAACCUAUAGGGGUUUGUUGAAGAAGACAAUGAAUAGUGACUUGAUGAUGUUGGAUAAUUAAUGUAGUAUUAUUAAUGACUCCAAAUGAGUGUUAAAUUAAAGGAAUGGAAUUAAAUAGGCUAAUAGGUGAGCCUAUUGGAUAAUUUGGGAUGGUUGAAGGCUUGUUGACGAAUUAUGAAGCCUAAAUAAAUAUUUAUGAAUUGUUUUAUAUUUGUUUUGAUGUAGUUGAGAUAUCUUAUGGUAGAUACUGAAUUGUGGGCGAUAUUGGAGCAUAAUAGUAUUUUUGGAGCUUGAAGGUUGAGAUAAGUUGAUUAAAACUUACUCUUCUUGAGGGAUUCUCUUUAAAAGCAUAUCUUAAGUUGAUACAUUGUAUUAUUUGUAAAUGUGCAUCCGUACUUGUGGGAAGAAGCGGGAAAGAUGUCACCAUGUGUUUCUAAAUUGUUGCUUAUGAAGUGUCAUGUCAUUUUAUAAAAAUCUUGUUCGCAAAAUGACACUUAAGGAAAUUUUUAUAAGUUAUAUUAAAACUUAUUUGUUGAUGAGAGUAUAAAAUGCUCGAGUGCUAAAGAUAUGUUUUGAUGAAAAAGUUUGUCUUUUGAAAUUUCAACAAAGGAAGCACUAGUUGUAUCUUUAGAUUGGUGUUAAUUGCUAAAGGCUUUAACAUGAAAAAGGUUAUUCAUUUGAUUUUGUUCUAAUAAUUUGAAUUGGCUAUAAAAAUUAUGAUUUGAUAAAAAUAUAUCCUUUAAGAAAAUUGUGCUAUGUAUCUAUUUUUGAUAUGUCAAAUAUUUUGGAAGUUACUGGUGGAUCACCGAGAUUGGUUCGAAUAUUGAAUUCGUUACUAUGAAACUACACGUAGCGGUGUAGGGAUACAUUCCAAGGCUAAGUCGAGGUUUGUGGGAUAAAGUCCCCCAUUGAGAGGGAAAAUGAUCAUUACUUACAGUAAUGAGGUUAAGUCAAGUCGUACGGCACUAUGGGAAGCCGUCCAGACAAGUAGAGUCAAAUAAUUGUUGCUAGGAUGAUCACUUAGUAGUUGUUCAUUAUGUAUGUCGGUAUACUACUCCUAGUGAAAGGUAAAAGAGAACUUUCUUAUGUUUAGGCCUAAGGAGGCGAAAGUGGUUUCAAUGACAUAUAUUUAAUGGCUUACAUGGUUUACAUUUUACUUGUUUUUUAUUUAAAACGAUAAAGAGCAUGAUUUAUGUAACCGUUUAUCACUUUAUUUCCAAUAUUGGUUGCACAAGUUUUGUAAAAUCUUGUCCAGGAACUUGAGUUAGAGAGAGUCUAUGACACAUAUUGAGUAUCGCUAUGGUGUUCUCAGCCCUUAGGAGCCCCCUUCUAGAGCCCCACUUACUUUACAUGUUUCAGAAUGAGGAAUGAUAUGUGGCAUACAGACAGAGCUAGGAUGACUCUCUUUCUGAAGUAUAUGGCGAUGCACCGCUCCUAUUUCCUGGAAACUAUCAUAUGUUUUUCUUAAUUUAUGUUAUUCGGGCAUUAGCCUAUGUGUUUAGUUCUAUUCCUUGGUAUAGAGGCCCUAUAGUAAUUGUGAAAAGUUGUAAUAAUGGGAUUGUAUGUGGCAUACGUGAAAAUAUAUUUAUUUUACUUAGUCUCAUUGUUAUAAUUAUGAGAGGCUUCAUGUAUGAUUUUGAAUUGGAAAGUUUUUCCAUUGUUUAACUUGAAAAAUAUAUAAAAUUUUCAAAGAGCUUCCGCAAAUAAAUUUGUUUUUAUGCCUAUGAUUUGGGUGCAUCAUAUGAGUUGGUUCGCUUAGGUCGGAUAGUGUGUCGGGUUUCGGUCACAUGGAUUUGGAUCGUGAAAAAUUUGGUAUCAGAGCACUAGGUUCUAAGUAGAGUCCUAGGAAGUCUAUGGAGCCGUAUCAAGUAGAGUCCCUCUUAUCGGUCUGUUGCCGGCCACACUUAUAUCGGGGAGGCACCAAAGACAUUUAGGGAGUUUCACUUUCUUUUUACUCUAGUUUGUGUGUUGUGCCUGAAAUGAGAGAUAUGAUUCUCUGUCAUAUUGAAUACCCGGCAUGGUAGAUACUGAAGUGGUGAGCACAAAGCUCAAGGUUCAAGAUAUCACAUGUGCUGCUUGAGAAAUAGUUGGGAAUUAUCAGUCUAUCCAUGAAAUAAAUGAUGGGUUAAGGUCAAGAACAUCUUUAAAAGAAAUUGAUAUAGUCAAGAUGAAUAACUAUGGUGAACAGGAAUCAUAAGUCGAAUUCUGAUAACUCAUGGAAAAGUAAAUAAGGUGAUGAUGUCAGUUGGUACUGCUAGAAUAGUGACAGAACUCACGAAGGAUUCCACUGAAGGUUGAAAAAAAGGUUAAGUCCUAUAUAGGAAUGUUUCUAAAUUGUAGAUCAAGGUAUUGGGAUAGCUAUCUGCUAUGACAAUUACUAUUUACUAGUACAACAAAGGAAUAAAUAAAUAAAAAAGAAACACAAUGGUUACAAGAUAAAUGGAAAGGUAAUACCUCAAAUUACCGUGAUGUGCUGUCGAGGAAUGACAAGAAUCGAAUUGGUAAGAGAAUGUACAUCAAUCAAGUUCAUACCGAUCACCUUGUAAUUCAUAGGGAUGAGGAUCUAUUUGGGAUAACACCAAGAAUUUCCAAAAGUAUAUUUUAGAAAAGGGGAUGUAAGGAAACCUUCAUGAUUUUUAGAAAGGUGAACAAGGAAAAAUGCAAGAGAUGACCCUUAGUCUCACAAGAGAUUGGGAGACUGUUGACUUGGUAAGGUCUUCUCAUAGUAGUGGCUCAUGCGAUGAUAUAACUUAUAAGAAAUAAAGUACCAUGUGGGGGCACAAGUUGAGGGUAUUUGAAGCAUGUCAUAUGCAAAAACAAAAGGGGGUAGGUGAACUUUGAAUACCUCCCAUAUGUCAAAUGUGAUACAAAUGAAUGUCAAUCUUCAAUGAUACACACUGAGGUAUGUGAAUUUAAAUGGGUAAGUGAAAAAGUGUUAAUGCAUGAUAUGCACAAAAGGUGUAAUCUUAGAAGAUUUCAAAAAGCAAAUAGGUUGCCAAAGAAGGUAAAGUAAUGUGGAAUGACAACCUUGAGUUUGUCUAAUCGGGACAAGCCUUAUUUUAUCCUUUUGAACUUCUGGGAAUUGAAAAUUUCUAAAGGUAACUUCCAAAGCACCUAUACAUUGUCAAGUGGAGCUAUUAACUUGUUAUUUUGAUGGAAUCUUAAGAUUUAAGAAGAAUAAAUAUUUGAAAUGAUGUAUCAGGCCAAAUUGGAGCUUCAGGCAGAUUAUGAAUAUUGCAUAUGUAGUUUAAGGCUCAAGAGCUUGCAAACGAUGACGGUACACGUGUGAAAUUGAUGAGUUACGAGUGAUCCAAGGCUACGUAGUGAUGCCUUACGAAUCCUAGUUGUUAUUUACUGUCGCGCCCCAUUUUCUCGUGAAAGCGGGCUUCAACAUGUGACAUAUCUUUUAAAAGGAGGUAUUAAAAAAGAAGAGUCGCCACCUAAUAAUUUUUAAGGUGCGUUAGGGAACCUAGUUGCAAAUAACUCUGUUUGACUAGUCAACGAUACCAAAUAUCGGGUAAGGGCUUAAAUUACCUCAAAGAGAAGGUGUUAGGUACUCUUCGAGGUCCACAACUGUGGGUCCCGACCGAACUUUAGAGCAUGUGGAUUAUACAAUUAGGCUAGGCGAUUAAAUAAAUAGAAGGGAAGUUCAGAGGUUGUAGAGACAUAUGAGAAUCGGUACAAGUCUUAAUGACUAUAAGGAUACAACUAUAUUGGUCUAUAUUAAACGACCAAAUAUAGAUAACAAGUACAUAAAUAAAAUGAGGGGGGGGGGGGGUCCUAAGUUUUUAGCCUAAAGGAUCACCCCGUGCAACAUAAAUAAUACUUUGCAACUCCCUUAAAGUAGAGGUUGCUCGUAUUAUUUAGCGAGCACAGACUAUUAUCUCCUGCUACCCGAUUACUAUGUUGAAGUUGUUUACUUAAAAGCGUUCUAAUUCAAUUCCAAGUCGUACCCUAUGCGUGCACUACCUGUCCCUUGCCUAUGGUCCAGGAGGCUUUGGACCUACUAUAAGGUGGUUCUAGACUUUACUUAGGUUGCUCAAAAUGAUAAAACUAGGCGAUAUGCAAAAUAGAUAGGACUGCAUAUAAUUACAAUAAAAGACUUAAGUAACCUCCACACAUAAGUAGGAAAGCACGAAUAAAUUUCUAGUUAGGCAGUAGAUGACAUUACGACGUGUUGGAAUCGUUAAGUCCUAUAAGCAUGAUUUCUAUGUGAUUAUGGAUUCCAGUAUUAUAUAGGAAGUGCUGUAAUUUUUGGACUAACGUAGAGGCAAAUUAGAGCGUUGCAAGUCCUAUAGACAUGAUAUCUAAUCGUUUGCAUAAUAAGGUUGUGAAAAUAAUCCAAUAAUUCUGAAUUACUAAAGCUGAUUUUAUAGAUAUGCGUCUUAGGCAGGCAAUAAUACACUAUAGGCAUGAUCUCUAAAAGUCGCAUAAUUAGGCAGUGAAGUUAUUUGAAAACACAAAAUUAGUAGUAUCAAUAAACAUCCUAUGGACAUGAUUUCUAACAAUUGACAAUUGGACUUGAUUUUUAUACACUUUAUCCCUAUAGUCAUGAUAUUAAAAUGAAACAAUGCAAAAGCAGCAUGAAAUAAUUGAUUAAUUAGUUAAGACCCUAUAGUCAUGGUAUCUAGAUAAGUAAAGGUAUUGCAUUGUUGUAUCCUAUAUGCAUGUUAUCUAAUAGUGCAUAGAAGUAAACAUGCGAACAAUUGAAACACUUAGGUUCUUACAAACAUGUUUCUGAUAGUGUGCGGUCAUUAGACAUGUUGAGUAGGUGAAGUGUUUGAGUUCCUAUAGGCAUGAUAUCUAAGUGGAAGAAGUCUAGUUUGGAUCUUAUAGGCAUUCUCUCUAGCCAUUCAAGUCAUAACAUUGUGUGCAUAUAAUUCCAGAGAAUGAGGCAUGAUGAGUAAACAAGCUAUUAAGAUCCUAUAGGCAUGAUAUCAACCCAUUCAUGCAAAAGAUAAAGUAUCCCAUUUCCCCUUUUUCACUAAUCCCCAAUUGUUCGUUAUUACAAGUUAUUACAGGUCCAAGAAUGAAAUAAUACAAACUUAAAGAUGACAAAACACAAACUGAAAUGAAUACAAGCCCACUAAAGCAAUUACAUGUCCAAUGUAAAAGUAACCUAGGAAUAUCACAGGCCUUCAAUAGUCUUACUCUUCGGGCAAACAGCAGGCCCAAACCACAGGAUCACAAGAUAACUAGAGUGCACUUGAAUCCAGUGCCUAGGUCCAACAACACCCAUGGCCCAUCUCAAGGCCCAAUGAAUAACUUACUUACCCACAUGGAUACUAAAUUUAGCUAUGCAGGUGACACAAUACUCACAGAACAACUUAAUCCCUUAGUUCUUAGAGCUGAAUCCAUUAACAGCUCUAGCCAAGACAUAUAAACAGGAUCAUGCUAAAUGAAAAGGCACACAAGACACAUAUGAGGCAAGCUUAUUCUUUGUAAUUCCAGAAAGAGAGUUUGAUAGUGACAAGGUUGACCGUCAUAGGACAGUAAACCAUUCCAGUAAAGCAUGAUCCAGAAACAACCUAAGGACCUUUAGAUGAUAGUCUAGCAGAAUUAUGAACAAGAAGCAGGUAGAGUGCAGUCUUGAUAUGAAGGUUUUAACAUGAAAACCUAAUGAGAAUGUGGUUGCAAACAGCAUAACAACAUGCUAGCUGGCACAAUUUGGAAAACAUACUUGGUUGAUCAUGAAACUUAACCCGAUGGACAUUAACUAUAGCACAACGAUUCUAAAGAACUCAUAGUAGGCAAAAGAACAUGUCACCUAUAGGCUAACAGGACAGACAUACAUUGGGAUUCAUGUUAGUCGACCACACAUGAGAGAGAACUACACAUUGGUAUUUAUCCUAGAAGCAAUGCUAAAGGGUGCAGGAUUGCCCAAUCAGGGAACACAAUUAUCAGAGUUACAAAUCGCAGACAAACAUGCUUGGCUAGAGAUUAAGACAAUGCUAUAACAUGGGAGAGUUAAGGAUCAGUUUGCAUGAAAUAAUAGGUUAUACCUAAAGGAUCUAGUAGGAAGGGAUUCAUUAAAGCAGACUUUGAACAGGCAAUUUCUACAAAAGGUCCCAGAAAUCCAAGGCAUGCAUAUGAACUAACAACGGACAAAGGACACGACAUUGAGGCUAAUAUGAGCAUGACCAAUCAGACAAAACCUAAGAAGGCUAGAAAUCAUUUGAGUCAAAUACAUAGAGUGAAAGUAUACUAUACAUGUUGAAGCUUAUCAAGUCUAAUAAUAGAGAACAUGGAACUGCGGAACGUCAUUGAGACAAUAGAACUACAUAAAACAUACAACAAUACAACACUGGGAGUUCACAAAUAACAAAAAAGCUUAGGUCAUGCUUGUCUACAAAAGUUCAAACAAUAUUGGCACGCAUAAUACACAUACAUGAAUAAGUAGAGGAGUAAUAAUUAAGGCUGUAAAGUGUAGAGAAAAGUAACCAGUUGCUAAGAUAAACGAGCAAAAGAGUGAGUAACUUAGAAUCUCAGCGAUGACAGCAAAGAAAGAUAACAGUGAGAAUGCUAGAUCCUAGUGCAUCAGAGUUCACAGGAGCUUCAGUGAGCCCGGAGCAGUGCUCGCACUAUGGAGGUUAAUAGUGAAGAUUCCGUUGGUAUCGGCUUUCAGCCGACCACAAUCAAGAGAGCAGAAAUAAUAUAAAGGGUGAAAAGUGAGAGAAUAACAGUAGUUCUUAAGCGAUUACAGUAUGUCCAAAGAGGAAAUUGGGGAUGGGGUUUAUAUAGUAAUAAAAAUCAACACAUAAAUAAGGAAAUAUAGUCAACCGAACAUAAACAAGGAAAGAAGAACAUGCAAAAAUCAAUUUAGAAUCGGAUUAGGAGAAGAAACCAGGUAAACCAUGGUUUGACUAGGAUCAGAAAUUGGCCGGAGAUCUUGGUGAAUCAGAACCCCAUAGCCUUUCUAUGAACAUAUACGGACAAAUUAUCCUCCAAAUCUUGGAGAGUAAAGCCGAUCUCCUUUGAUUCAGAGACUGGUACUUGCCAAAAAUGGGCAAGUACUAAGUAACACCAUAUUUAUACAAGUAAUAGCGGUAUAAUCCGGAAAAAGUAAGUAAAUCAUGGUAAAAAUCCAUGGAUGAUUUGGAUUCGGAGAAGAUUGGAAUGACCUAAAAUCCGCAUAUCGUGAUGGGGCCUAUCUUAAUACUAGGCAAGCCGACAACCUCAAUAACCCAUAAUUUCUUUUAAAUAGUGAAAACAUAAUAAUUAAUUUUAAGGGAAAAGUCCCACAAAUACUGAAUAUAAAUAUACUCCCAAAACCCGGAGUCACUGAGUACAUGAGCAUCUAUACAACACAAGUGUGGAAAAUACGGUCUAUAAUAGUCUGAGACCAAAUACAGUAAACUAAGAGAUAGGGAAGGAGAGACAAGGUCUACGUAACACCGCAGCUACCUCGGAAUCUCCGAAAAAUUAACUGUGCAAAAGAACUAACACCCGCUGUGUUCGGGAUCACCUAGAUCUGCACACGAAGUGCAUGGUGUAGUAUGAGUACAACCAACUCAGCAAGUAAUAAUAAUAAAUAAAGAAUUGAAAGUAGUGAUGAGAUUCACAUCUAUUCCAAAUACAGUAAUUUCCAACAUGAAAAGGUAGGCAUGCUUUCAAGUUCAACAUUUAAAACUCUGCAGUAAUUUCAUAUCAACUUUGAUUGAGACAAAAAUAAUGUCUUUCAGAGUUUUUCCAAAACAAUGAUAUAUGACAGCUGAAAUGCAGCAAUAAUGAAAUCAAUGCAUCCUCUCAAAAUAACAGUCACCCAGUCCUCCCAUUCACUCCAACCUCACAAUCACUCUUUCCUUACAUUCACUCAUUCCUCACAGUCACUCAUUCCUCUCAAUCACUCCGCACUCGCACUCAAUAGGUACCUGCGCUUACUGGGGGUGUAUACAGACUCCAGAGGGGCUCCUUCAGCCCAAGCGCUAUAUCAAGACAAUCAUGGCAUAUAAUAAUGAACAUGAUGCGGCAUGCAGACCGAUCCCAUAAAUAUCCUCAUAAUUAGGCCCUCAACCUCACUCAAUCAUCAUCCUCUCUAGUCUCUCGGGCUCUCAGAAAUCAUGAUAAGCAGCCCAAACAACAAUGAUAUGAUGCAUCAAUAAUGAACAAUAGAGACUGAGAUAAAAUGUGAAAAUAAAAUUGUGACUGAGUGCAAAAAAACAAUUUAGCAAAUAAUUCCAUAAGUACACAACCUCUCUGUGUCCCAAUGGUGUAAACACAUCUCUCUGUGUCCCAAUGGUGUAAACACAUGGUUUAAACAUGAUUUAUAGUUCGAUUUCUCUAAAACAUGAAAAAUGUACGGAUAUCAACAGAUUAUUCAACUACACAGUUCCAUGGAAUUGACCAAGUAACAAUUCCUACGGUGCACGUCCACACGCCCGUCACCUAGCAUGUUCGUCACCUCAAAACCAAAUCACAUAACAUAUAAUCCGGGGUUUCAUACUCUCAGGACCAAAUUUACAACUGUUACUUACCUCAAACCGUGUAAUUCUUUAUUCUGCAAUGCCUUUGCCUCGCGAAUCGGCCUCCAAAUGCCUCAAAUCUAGCCACAAAUAAUUUGAUUCAGUCAAUAAAAAUUAUAGGAAUUAAUUCCAUAUGAAAAUAUAAAUUUUCCAUCAAAAUCCGAAAUUUCACCCAAAACUGCCCGUGGGGCCCACGUCUCGGAACCCGUCAAAAAAUACAAAAUUGGAAAGCCCAUUCAACCACGAGUCUAACCAUACCAAUUUUACCUAAUUCCGACAUCAACUCAACCCUCAAAUUUUCAAAUUAAACCAAGAGGGUUUUCUAAACUUUCCAACUUAAUUUACCCAUAAAAUGUUAAAAAACAACUAUGGAUUCGGGUGAUUUGACCAAUAAUGAGUUAAGAAUAUUUACCACGUUAGUUUCCUUGAAAACCUCCAUAAAAAUCGCCUCUUCUCGAGCUCCAAUUUGUCAAAAAUGGAAAAUGGGAUGCAGUUCCAUUUUCAGAACUUAAACAUUCUGCCAAGGCAUUCCUUCUUCGCGAACGCGACAGGUCCCUCGCAUUCGCGAAGCACAAAAUUGUGUUGUCCAAACAUUUCCCUUUGCGAAUGCGAGACACAGCUCGCGUACGCGAUUCUUUACCGGGUGAACCUUCGCGAAAGCGAAGGCAAAAUCCUCACCAGCUAUUUUCCCUUUCGCGAAUGCGAUACCCCAUCGCGAACGCGAUGAACAACCUUGCCUGCCCCUAGCUCCUCUUCGUGAAUGCGAGGCCCCUUUCGCGAAUGCGAAAAGAAAAUUUUUGCCUGCCUUUAGUUCCUCUUCGCGAAUGUGAGAGCCCUCUCGCGAUCGCGAAGAAGGAAACCAGACACAGGCAUCAGAAAAUUCCAGCCAAGUUCCAAGUUCAAAAGUCAUUCCGUUAACCAUCCAAAACUCACCCGAGGCCCCCGGGACCUCAACCAAACAUAUCAUCAAGUCCCAAAAUAUCAUACGAACUUGGUAGAACCCUCAAAUCACCUCAAACAAUGCUAAAACCAUGAAUCAUAUCCCAAUUCAAGCCUAAUGAAACUAAGAACUUUCCACUUCUACAAUCAACGCCGAAACCUAUCAAAUUAAGUCCGAUUGACCUCAAAUUUUGCACAUAAGUCGUAAAUGAUAUAACAGACCUGUUCCAAUUUCCAGAAUUGGAUUUCGAUCCCGAUAUCAAAAAGUCAACUCCCUCGUCAAACUUCCCAAAAAUUCAACUUUCUCCAUAUCAAGCCUAAUUCCACUACGGACCUCCAAAUCACAAUCCAAACACGCUUCCAAGUCCAAAAUCACCCAACAGAGCUAACGAAACCAUCACAAUUCAAAUCUGGGGGGUCGUUUACACAUAAGUCAACAUCCGGUCAACUUUUCCAACUUAAGUUUCCAUUAUGAGACUAAGUAUCUCAAUUCACUCCGAAAUCUUUUCGGACCCGAACCAACUAACCCGGUAAGUCAUAAGACAACUGUAAAGCAUAAAUUGAGCAGUAAAUGGGGGAACGAGGUUAUAAUACUCAAAACAACUGGCCGGAUGAUUACAAAGAUUUUGGGUGGCGGCUAGGGUUUCUUAGAGAAGAAAAGAGUAGAGAAUUUAGGGGAGACUGGAGUGUGAGAAUGAGAUUAGGGCUUAGGGUGAGGGGAUAUAAGGAAAGGGUAGGGAUUAUUAUGGGCUGUUGAUCAUCUGAGAUCAACGGUCGUGAUUAAAGGAAAGUGGGGUGGGUCGAGUAAAUGGGUCCCGACCGGGUUGGAACAAAAGGGGUCGUUUGGUUUGGGCCAGCGCAGAUUGGGGUUGGGAUCAUUUGUUUGGAUCUUAAUUGGUCGGGAAAUAAGGCAUAAUUUAGGCCAAAUUUUGAAGUAGGGGGAUUAAGAGGAAAUAAUUUUAAUAAAAUAUAAAAGAUGCUAUUUAUGCAACUUAAUACUUUAAAAUAAUAGUUGAAAAUUAUUAAAAAUGUAAACAAUUAUUUUGUCCUUAAAUAAAAUGACAAAUGCAAUUUAUUGUAAAAUAUGGGCUAUUAUUGCAAAAUUACGUAUUUGGCAUGAAACGUGCAAAUGUAAUUAUAUAAAAUGAAGUAAAUUAUUAUAACACAGAUAUGUGAAUGCAAAUAAUAGAGUUGGAUGGUUAAAUCAUCACAAAAUAAUUUUAAGGGGGUAAUUAAUACAUAUUCAAUUAAUUUAUCUGCAAGAAAAUCAGUUUUAAAGCUUUAAAAAUUACGAACAAUUAUAAAACUACUUGUAUAACUAUUGUAAAUNNNNNNNNNNNNNNNNNNNNNNNNNCAAAAUUGGGUAUCAACAGCUGCCCCUCUUUACUUGGGAAUGAUGAAAGAGUUGUCGGGUAAAGAAAAUGAUGACCAAUUUUGUCUGAAAUGAGAGGGGGAUGAUGUGUUUUUAAAAAAUAGGGGACCGAACCCUGGUUCUUGAGUUGCCUAUAUAUCUCUGGUAUUACGGGAAUCAAGCUGUGUGUAGUUUUGGAUCCAACGACGAACGAAACCGAUGGAGUUAUUAUAAGAGUGGUCGUACAUUUCAAAAGGAUAUUUUGGGUAAGAUAGUGUCGUAAGUAACGAAUAAUUUUGGAUGGAGUCAUGGAUGUGAAAUGAAUAUCACAGAUGUACGAGGCAGAUAUUUGGACGGUUAUAGAAUAAAAAGUAAUUAAUUACUGGUCGUCGGUUACGUUUGAGAUAGUCAAAGGAUACGAACGUUGUGAAUGGAAACCGGAGCGAGAAUUGCUCCUGUUUGUAGAACGGUUACCUCCCGAGUGACCUGCAAAACUUAAAACAUGAUGCACACGAAUAUAUGAGGUUAUUGCGUAAUUUAAACAUGAUGAAAAUUCCCUUUUGGACCAUGAGGGUUGUCUUCGGACGUUUGUGGAUGAUGUCCUUGGACCGUGACGUCCUGGGCCAUAAAGCGUAUGAUAAGGGAUUCACAAGCCAUGAAAUGGUGUCCUCGGUCCAUGAGGAUGGUGCCUCUGAACUAUGACGUCUUUGAAUAAUGAUGUGUAGUUUCUAGAGAUCCUCCGGUCUUGGCAUGAUGUCUUCGGGCUAUGAGGAUGAUGCCCUUAGACUAUGACGCCUUCGGACAAUGUGGCGAUGUUUCAUCCCGUGAAAUGCAAAGAUGCUGUAAUAUGGAUCGCUUGUCAAAGAAAACAGGUGAUGCUCAGUCGUAUGCGAGAAUGAGAUGAGGCAAGGUUUUGUCUUGUAUGAGAUGAGGGUAGUAUGGAGACAAUGCUUAGUCUCACGUAGCGAAAAGGCAGUGCUUAGCCUUAUACAAUAUGGAGGCAAUGCUUAGCCUCUUUCAAUGUAUGGAGACAAUGCUUCGUCUAAUGCAGAGAAAAUGCAUUGCUUACCACUUAUGCGAUAUGGAGGCAAUACUUAGCCUAAUGCAAGGUAUGGAGACAAUGCUUAGUCUCAUGCAGAGAAAAGGCAGUGCUUAGCCUUAUGAAAUAUAGAGGCAGUGCUUAAUCUCAUGAUAGAAAACCAAUGAAUAAUUGCUAGAGAGUAAAUCAUUUCUUAGCUUGAUGUGUUAGCGUUUGGCGAUUCUUGUUGGUGUGAAGAUAGUGAUCUUGCUAUGUGUAUGUAUUUGCAGAUGUUCCUGUUAUGUUCAUUAUGCCUGUGGCCAAAGAAAAAUCGUGAGUUUUGGUCAGGGGGAAUGUUGGUUCGUGCUCUCGAUUCCUUGCUUCACCAUUACUCUUGUCUUGAGGUCUUGCUUGAGUCACCUUGGGUAACGUCUGGCUGCCAUAGAAACAAAAUUUCGAAAAACAUGCAUGCAUUUGACAAAUUAUUUGUAAAAAUGUAGUUGUUUGAAAUAUGUGAUAAUGCACAAGAUCAAAUAAUUUUGAUGAACUGAUGAUUGCGACGUAUUUUUGAGACAUUUCAACCUCCUUGAUUCGGAAUUUUGAGGAUCCUCCUCAAAAUUCUGCCCUAAUUUAAAUGCGUACUUCUGGCGCUACAUUCUUGGCGGUUCCAAACACGAUGAGAUCAGGAAAACUCGAGAUCUUGCCCCAGUUUCUGACCAUAGGGGGAAUGAAGAUUUUAUUAUUAUGUGACCAAAGCCACAGGGCUGCCUACGUAUCCCCUCUUAAACGAGAAUUAGGCCGAGUGUAGUUCAGUUACGUCAAAUAGAAAGUGCAAACAUAAUCUUAAACAUAGUAUCUCUUGACUGCGUCCGAAUUGAUGGGUUUUAGACAUAUCUCCCCAUCCAUCUCUGCAAGUAUAAGUGCUCCUCCUGUUAAUACCCAGUGAACCAUGUAAGGGCCUUGCCAGUCAGGUGAGAAUUUCCCCUUUGCUUCAUCCUGGUGUGGGAAGAUUCGCUAUGGUACCAAUUGCCCCAGCAUGAAUUGCCUCGACCUGACCUAUUUGUUGAAAGCUCUUUCCAUUCUAUUCUGGUAGAGUUGACCGUGACAUACUGCGUUCAUUCUUUUUCCAUCGAUGAGAGCUAAUUUUUCAUACCGGUUCCAUAUCCAUUCUACGUCGCUGAGCUCGGCUUCUUGUAUGAUUCUUAAAGAAGGGAUUUCCACUUCGGCGGGGAUAACAGAUUCAGUACCGUAGAUCGGGUUACCAAAGUUGAGGUACGAUCUGUGGUGCGAUACCCGAGCAAAGCAAACAGUAGCUUCUCGUGCUAUUAUUUGUAAUUAUCUACCAUUUUCCUUAAUAUCUUCUUAAUGUUCUUGUUGACGGCCUCUACGGCUCCGUUCAUUUGCGGUAUGUAUGAUGUAGAGUUCCGAUGCUUGAUCUUGAAUGUUUCACACAUGGCUUUCAACAAGUCUCUAUUAAGAUUGGCAGCAUUGUCAGUAAUGAUUGACUUAGGUGCUCCAAAUCGACAAACGAUGCGGUCUCGAACAAAAUCUGCUAUAAACUUCUUAGUUAUAGUCUUAUAGGAUGCGGCUUCAACCCUUUUUGUGAAGUAGUAUAUAGUCACCAGAAUGAACCUAUGUCCGUUUGAAGUAGCGGGUGUUCGAUUGGUCGAAUGACAUCUAUACCCUAAGUGAAGAAGGGCCAGAAUGAACUUGUUGCAUUAAGUUCGUUGGGUGGUACCCGUAUCAUGUUAGCAUGUAUCUGGCAUUGGUAAAGCUUUUGAACAUAUUUGAUGUAGUAUGUUUCCAUAGUCAUCCAGAAAUACCCUGCUCUUAAUAUCUUCUUGGCCAGAACGAAACCAUUUGUGUGGGGUCUGCAAGUUCCGACAUGUAUUUCUUCGAGCAAUCUAGACGAAUCCUUGGCAUUGACACAUCACAACAAACCUAAAUCAGGGGUCCUUCUGUACAGAUUCCUCCACUUUGAAAGAAAUGGUUGGCCAAUCUUCUAAUCGUGUGCCUCUGAGUAUGGGUAGUGUGCUCUGGAUAUUCUCCUUUUUCCAAGUAAUUCUUGAUGUCGUGGAACCACCUAUUUCCGUCAAUCUCUUCUUCAACAUGAGCUCAAUAAGCUAGCUGCUUAUGAAUUCCUAUUGGGAUAGGAUCAAUGAAAUUCUUAUCUAGGUGUUUUAUCAUGGAAGACAAAGUAGCUAAUGCAUCUACAAACUCAUUCUUAAUCCUUGGAACAUGUUUGAACUCUAUCUUUGUGAGCCUCUUGAUCAGCUCUUGUACACAGUGCAAAUAUGGUAAUAUUUUGGUGUUCUUUGUAGCCCAUUCUUCAAGAAUCUGGUGCACCAACAGAUCUGAAUCUCCGAUUACCAGCAACUCCUGAAUGUUUAUGUCAAUGGCCAACCUGAGUCCCAGGAUGCAAGCCUCAUAUUCCGCCAUAUUGUUGGUGCACAGAAACCUAAGUUUUGCGGAUACCGGAUAAUGUUGACCGGUUUCUGAUACUAAGACAACUUUGAUACCCACUCCUUUGAAGUUUGUUGCUCUGUCCAAGAACAUCCUCCAACCAUCGUACGCCUUGGUGAUAUCUUCUCCUACAAACGACAUCUCCUCAUCGGGAAAAUACAUUUUCAAUGGUUCAUAUUCUCCGUCUACGGGAUUUUCUUCCAAGUGAUCCGCCAAGGCUUGCCCUUUGACUGCCUUUUGAAUUACAUAGACGAUGUGGAACUCACUUAGCAAUAUUUUCCACUUUGCUAACUUAACCCUAGGUAUGGGUUUAUGAAAGAUGUAUUUUAGCAGAUCCAUCCUUGACAUGAGAUAUGUAGUGUACGCAGAGAAAUAAUGUCUCAGCUCCUGGCUAUCCAUGUCAGAGCACAACAAGUUCGUUCUAACAAAGAGUACUGGGCUUCGUAAGGCAUGAAUGUCUUGCUCAGAUAAUAUAUCGCAUGCUCCUUCCUUCCAGUUUCAUCAUGUCGUCCUAGAACGCAACCAAAAGCCCCAUCCAACACAGAUAGAUAAAGCAGCAGAGGUCUUCCUGGUUCUGGUGGGACCAGCACAAGCGGUUUAGAUAAAUACUCCUUGAUUUUGUCGAAGGCUUUCUGGCAUUCCUCAGUCAACAUCUUUCCUCAACAUUCUGAAGAUUGGCUCACAUAUCACCGUUGAUUCUGCUAUAAAUCGGCUGACGUAAUUGAAGCACCCUAGAAAACUUAUCAUAUCUUUCUUAUUCUUUGGAGGCGGCAAGUCCUGGAUAGCUUUGAUUUUUGACGGGUCUAACUCAAUACCUCGGCGACUAACGAUGAAACCUAACAACUUUCCAGUAGGGACUCCAAAGGCACAUUUUGCAAGAUUCAACUUCAAAUUGUAUUUCUGAAGCCGGUCAAAAAUUUCUUCAAAUCUGCUAUGUGAUCCGAACUCCUUUUAGAUUUGAUGAUAACAUCAUCCACGUACACCUCUAUUUCCUUGUGUAUUAUGUCAUGGAAAAAUAGUCGUCAUGACCCUCAUGUAGGUGGCCCCAGCAUUCUUCAAACGAAAUGGCAUCAUUUUGUAAUUAUAUAUUCCCCAUGGUGUGAUAAAGACGGUCUUUACGGCUUCCUCUUCAUCCAUCCAGAUCUGAUGGUAUCCUGCGAAGCAAUCCAUGAAGGAUUGGAGUUCAUUCUUGGCGCAGUUGUCAAUCAGUAUAUGUAUGUUGGGCAGUGGGAAAUCAUCCUUAGGACUUGCUCUAUUCAGAUCUCGGUAAUCAACACAUACUCUAACUUUUCCAUCUUUCUUCGGAACUGGCAUAAUGUUGGCCAACCAGGUCGGGUAUUCGACUACUCGAAGAACCUUGGCUUUGAUUUGCUUGGUGACUUCCUCUUUUAUCUUCAAUCUCAUAUCUGGCUUGAACUUUCUGAGCUUCUGCUUUACCGGUAGACACAUGGGAUUGGUGGGUAGCUUGUGAGCUACUAUGGAUGUGCCUAAACCAGUCAUAUCAUCGUAGGACCAUGCAAAGAUGUCCUCAUACUCCUUUAGGAAUCUGAUAUACUCGUCUUUCUCUGACGGUGAUUUAUGAAUGCUUAUUGUCAUGGGCUGCUUUCCAUCAUCGACCCAUGACCCCUUGGACGCACCUCGUGGCGUCCUGGCAAGCCUCCCAAUGCCUAGCACCACAGUCGGCCCCGUGGUUUUGGCAGCGCCAAGUGACAAGCGCGCAUGCGCCUCUGUCGCCCCACCAAUAAUCAGUGCCAGUGCCCAGCGGCUGGCAAAUGCCAACAGUGUCGCGCGCACCGACAAUACCGCAUGCACAAACCAUCAUGUUGCCAAUAGCACCGCACGCACAGACAGUGCCCCGCACACAGAUCCAAUGCCAAGCACCAGUGCCCAGCCGCAGGCAAAUCCAAAUAGUGCCGCGCGCGCCGACAGCAAUACGCGCGCAGACCCUGAUGCUCAAGACAAAGUUGGUGCCAUCGGACUUGCUUCUACCUUGUAGAAGACUAAGUCCUUUUCAUUGUAAUUAUAGAGUAGUUGUACUUCAUUCAUUUUCAGUGUGCUUCUACAUCUUUCAUAGGUCAACUCAUGUAACUUUGGUUUAUUUGUUUUAAGCAUUAUUAAGGGGGACCAAAGCAUUCAAACAUUCAAGCAAUCAAACAAUUUUCUAUACUGGUGUCUCUCCCCCCGACACCGCAUAGCAUUUUGUAAUAGCUUUCAUCAUCAUCAAUAAAAUCAUCAGCUUUCAUCAUUAUUGCUCAUUUUCGCUGCUCAAUUGCUCACGACAUUGGUUUUUCCAUACGAAACUGACAAUCUAGUCUAGCGUAUAGAAGGGGCCUCAGUUGGCGCAUAGCAACCGCACUGACAUCAGUUGCUUAGCCUUACGUCGCCCUUCCAAGGAACUUAAGGAAGGCGCCGCAUAACAGUUGAUAUCAGAGCCUAUGCUCGACAUCGGAUGAGGGAACUCAUUGCCAUCAUCACCCUUUCUGACCAUGGUGAAUUACGGGGAUCGCAUCACGACCCUGCAAAGGUUGGACGACCAGGACCGCAGAAUGCGGUAGGCUGAAGUUGACAUAGCAAACAUCAGUUGCGACUCUGAGGAAGACCGGCAUACGACAGCAGUUGAGGCAGCCACAAUUCAUGGUAAAUUCGACGACCUCCAACAGGAGCGUGCCGAGGAUUUAGCCCAUCGUGACCUAGAGGCAGACAGACUGACUGCCAUGCAGCAAACCAUAGACAACUUUACAGGCCAACUCAAUGUUGUCAAUGCUUCCCUUCAAAGCCUACUCAAAGGAGGCGAAAACCAAAUCAGGGUUGCCAUGAACAUUGGCCCAAUGCCACAAAAGCUGAAAAUCCUGGAGCCAAAGCCAUACAACGGAGCUCGGGAUGCUAAAGAAGUGGAAAACUUCAUCUUCGACAUCGAACAAUACUUCGAUGCCAUAGGACAGUUGGAAGAAUCCAAAAAGGUAGCAACUACUACCAUGUAUCUUAAAGGAGAUGCAAAACUCUGGUGGCGAGUCAAAUACGAAGCCAUCAGGGCCGGUGAAGAUACUCUCAACACAUGGGCAGAACUGAAGGCAGCCAUACGCCUGCAAUUCUUCCCCGAAAAUAUGGAAUACAAUGCACAGAGAAAGUUGCAUGAACUCCUCCACACCAGGUCAGUGCAGGACUACGUGCGUGAAUUCUCCGUACUCAUGCUAAACAUACGGGAUAUGGGGGAUAAAGGCAAAUUGUUCGCAUUCAUAGAAGGUUUGAAACCUCAUGCUCGUAUGGAGCUGCAAAGACAAAGGAUAGAUACCCUACCCAAGGUCAUUCAAGAUGCAGAUUGCCUUAGGGAUUAUCAUAUGAAAACUCAGAAGGAUAGGCCCCGGCCGCCUGUCCGAUGGGGAUACAACGGGAGCCAACCUAGAAACGGUGGCCCUAACAGAAAUGGAGGAGAUCAAGGUGCAUCCAAAUCCAAGACUCCUUCCUAAAGCAGCAAUAGUGUUGCAUCAGUCAACAACAAUCAGGGGAGAAAUCCCCUUUCAGAAUACCGUCAUUGCGGCGGGGAACAUUGGAACAAUCAAUGUCCCAAUACACAGAUCAAUGCUCAACAGACUGUUGAAGAUGAGUCAGAUCCUGACGACUCAAACAACGCAGAGCAAGUAGGUGCCUUCAACAUAUUUGUUGGCUCCAUUCAUAAUACCUUUGUGGGAACCAGUGCUGGUAACCCCAAGAAGAAUGCCUGACCAAUCAUCAAGAAAGGGAAAGAAAAGGCAGAUGAGAAGCCUCUCACCACACAAAAGAGGACCUUAAUGUUCGUCGACAUAAAAGUAAACGGCAAACCUAUUCGGACAUUGAUAGACACGGGUGCUACCCACAACUACCUGGCCUCAACUUAGGUGCAGCACCUCGGUCUAGCGGUGAAAAAGAGUAGGGGUCGUGUCAAGGCUAUCAACUCUCCAUAUCAGUCAGUGAGUGGAAUAGCCAAAGAAGUGCCAAUGAAGCUUGGACCAUACAAGGGAAUAUUCGACCUACGCAUAGCUAUCAUCGAUGACUUCGAAGUGAUAGUGGGAUUGGAAUUCCUCAUGAAAACAAACUCCAUCCUGGUGCCAUAUGCCAACAUGCUCCUACUGAUGGGAGACAACAGGGCCAAAUCCCGCGCCAUACCAUGCAUACCUAUAAAGAUGGCCGCUGAAAGCAUCUCGGCCAUGCAGUCAAAGAAGGGAAUCAACAAACCUGAACCAACGGUUCCGGCUGCCCUCAACAUCAUCAAUCAAACAUCAGAUCAUCGGUGCCCAAUAACUCAUGGCACCCCUCAGUAUGUGAAGACUUGUCAAGCAUGCCUAAAGGACAAGUCGGAUCACUCAGCACAAGCGGGACUCUUGGAGCCGCUACCUGUCCCACAAAGAACUUGCGAAAGUCUUUCCCUGAAUUUCAUCACAGGAUUACCCAAGGUCGGAAAUAUUGCAACUAUCAUGGUGGUAGUAGACCGAUUUUCCAAGUAUUCUACCUUCAUAGCAGCCCCACAAAACAUAUCGGCAGAAGAUACAGCUCGACUCUUCUUCUCUCAUAUAGUCAAAUAUUGGGGCAUGCCUAAAGACAUCAUUAGUGACUGCGACCAACGCUUCACUAGCAAAUUUUGGACCCAUAUCUUCAGUUGCCUCGGAUCCAAAUUGAGUCAUAACUCAAACUUCCAUCAACAAACAGAUGGCCAGCCAGACCGGUUCAAUGACAUGCUGGAGGAAUAUCUCUGCCAAUUUGCAACCGGGUCACAAACACAUUGGGUGAAGCUUCUGGAUGCUUCUCAGCUGUGUUUCAAUUCACAAAAGUGCGCCGAUACAAACAAAAGCGCUUUUGAAAUUGUUACCGGACAGCAACUGCUACUCCCACAGACGGUGAAUGCACCAAACAUACCAAUAUCAUCUCGAGCUGCCAGUUUCUCACAAGAAUGGGAGCAAACUUCUACGAUAGUGUGGAUUUAUCUUGUCCAAGCCCAAGAUAGGGCAAUGAGAUAUGCCGAACAAAACCUUCGCUUUGCCCAACAUCAAGCAGGGGAGAAAGUGUUGGUAAGAACCCCGAGGUGGAAUUUGUUUGCAAAGAGGACCCAAGAUCCUCACAUAUUGCAAAGAUACAUCGGACCUUUUUCCAUUGAAAGGCGCAUCAAGAAAUUCACAUACCAGUUGAACACACCAGCCUGGUGGAAAAUCCAUCUAGUCUUCCAUGUCAACCGCCUCAAGUCAUUUCAGAAAUACAUGGAAGAUCAUUCAGAAAGCCAUCUCACAACACCAAGGGGAACAGACCUCCCAGCCAACAAGAGCCUGACCAAUCAUCAUCAUCCGACAGGUAAGGCUCCGAGGACGUCGCCAACUCAGGUGGGGGAGAAUGUCAUGGGCUGCUUUCCAUCAUCAACCAUGACCCCUUGGACGCGCCCCGUGGCAUCCUGGCAAGCCUCUUAAUGCCUAGCACCCAGUCGGCCCCGUGGUCUCAGUAGCGGCACGUGACACGCCGCAUGCGCCUCUGUCGCCCCAUCGAUAAUCAGUUCCAGCGCCCAUUGGCUGGUGAAUGCCAACAGUAUCGCACGUACCGACAAUGUCGCACGCACAAACCAUCAUGUUGCCAACAAUUCCACACGCACAGACAGUACCCCGCGGGCAGAUCCAAUGCCAAGCGCCAGAGCCCAGCCGCAGGCAAAUCCAAAUAGUGUCGUGCGCGCCGACAGUAAUGCGCGCGCAGACCUUGAUGCACAAGACAAAGUUGCUGCCAUCGGACUUGCUUCUACCUUGUAGAAGACUAAGUCCUUUUCAUUGUAAUUAUAGAGUAGUUUUACUUCAUUCAUAUUCAGUGUGCUUCUACAGCUUUCAUAGGUCAACUCAUGUAACUUUGGUUUGUUUUUUUAAGCAUUAUUAAGGGGGACCAAAGCAUUCAAACAUUCAAGCAAUCAAACAAUUCUCUAUACUGGUGUCUCUCCCCCCAACACCGCAUAGCAUUUUGUAAUAGCUUUCAUCAUCAUCAAUACAAUCAUCAGCUUUCAUCAUCAUUGCUCAUUUUCGCUGUUCAAUUGCUCACGACAUUGGUUUUCCCGUACGACACUGACAAUCUAGUCUAGCGUACGGAGGGGAACUCAGUUGGCACAUAACAACCGCACUGACAUCGGUUGCUUAGCCUAAUGUCGCCCUUCCAAGGAACUUCAGGAAGGCUCCACGUAACAUUAUACGCGUUUCCUUGACCAUUUCGGAAUCCCCUAAUUUAACGACCUCAAUUUUCUCCAAAUUAGACUUCGGUUUGUUUUCAAAAUUCUCUACUUCUCUGACGAUUUCCUCAGGUAUUAUAUCAUCUUCCAGAUCCUCUGAAUCACUAUCCUUAUGUUUAUUGUCUCAAUAUAUGUCACAGUCGUGGUUCUUUAGGAUAUGUAAUAAUUAUGCUGAAAAGAAUGUAGAAAGAUAAUAAUAAAUAUGAAAAGUAGUAAUGCAUUAAUAAAACUUUAAAAAUGUUAACAAGUACGACUCGAUGGCUCGAGUAAUUAUUUCAAAAUAAAAUAUUGAAAAAUGUCUUAAAUGCUCAAAACUAUUUGAAAAUAAUUCAUGCUAAUUUGCCAGGCUACCCAGGAACUCGGUGAGCUCGGGAUGGUGCAACGGUCCAAUUCUUGAGAAUAGCUCCUUUUUCCAUGGUUUGAAUGGUAAGUUCUUCCUCCUCCUCCUCCUCAACAAUUGCACUGUAGUCUAUGUCUUCUUCAUCUAGAAACAACUUCCUCAUGCCAUCCAAAACCUCAUCUUCCUCAGAUCCUCACAUCAUGUCAGCCUGAUGGAAUGUCUGGUGCAGAGGUUGUAUGGGUUGUUCCAGUGGAUAAUAAGGAGCACGCCAUGGAGGUGACCAAUCCUGAUAUUCUUGCCAUGUGUAUUAAUAUUCGAGUCCAAAGGUCGUGCCAUGGUACUGUGGUUGUACAGGUUUGGUGAUCCCCUGAAGCUUUUGCCGAGACCCUUUCCUAGUUCAUACUCCAUCCACAUCAAUAUUAUUUCUAUCUUGUUUCUCCACCAUCGGUCCUUUUCAAUUGCGUUAACCCGUUCAAUGCGAUGAUGUGUUUCUCCACCCAGCUUCCUUCUAUUUUUGACGACUGAAAUGGUCUGGUUGGUGUAUAUGGGGUUGUUCACAUCUCUAUAGAUGAUCACCUCCGGAUGAUUCCACUCAAACUUCAUAGCCUGGUGUAGAGUUGAAGCCACUGCCCCGACUGCAUGUAUCCAUGACCGUCCCAACAAUAGAUUGUAAGUAGCAGAUAUAUCUAGCACUUGGACCCAUCUGUAGAUUGAGGUUGAUUUCUCCAAUGCUGGCUCUCUCAGAUCCAUCAAACGCCUUCACAUUCGUGCUUCCCAUUCGUAUCUCGUGCAGGACUUUACCCAGUCUCUUUAGAGUGGUCAAUGGACAUAUGUUAAGACUCGAACCUCCAUCUAUCAAGACCCUGGUGAUGAACUUAUCUUUGAAUUGCACCGUGAUGUGCAAUGCCCUGUUAUAACUCAGUCCUUCUGGUAGUAAUUUAUUUUUGUGGAAAGUGAUUUUGUGGCUCUCCAAUACCUGUCCAACUAUGUUAUCCAUCUCUCCACUAGAGAUUCCGGCGGGUACAUAAGCUUUACUUAACACCUUCAUCAGAGCAUCAUUUUGCGUGUCUGAGUUUUGCAGUAGUGAUAAGAUGGAUAUUUGAGCAGGAGUUUUGUUCAUGUGGUCAAUAACAGAGUACUCCCUUGCUUGUAUCUUCAUCCAAAGAUCGUCAGUGCCAGUCUCGACAACAGGCGCCUUAGGUGUAGCUUCCUUACUCGUUCCUCCCAGAUUUUCAGUUGUGUAAACUCUGCCAGUUCUAGUCAUACCUUGCGCGAUAACUAUUUCUUGCACUUUUGCUUUUCUCUUUCUUCUUGCUUCUGCAACAUAAUCCCAUGGGAUGGCAUCAGACUUGUAAGAUGGUGUGGGAGCUACCAUCACAGUGAAGGGUGUAGUUACAUCAACUUCAAAUGGCGCCUAAGUUUGUACCACAACUGGCGUGAGGAUGACCGAAGUUGUUUUAGGGGUGUCUCAUUCUCGAAUGAGUCCGAAGGACCCUUCCUGAUCCUAUUCCUCAUCAAUUUCUAUCACAUUCACUCCCUCACCUCUGUGAUCUGGAAGAGGGUUGUUGCGAACAUUUGGUCUAGAUUCCUUUGCUUAUAUAACCUCAGUGUCGAUCAAUGUAUGAAUCUUGUCUUUCAACGUGCGACAUUCCUCAAUGGUAUGACCUUUCAUGCCUGAAUGAUAAGCACAUAUUUUGUUGGGGUUGAUCCAUUGGGAAGGAUUAUCCACAACAAAGACAGGAAUAAGGGUAACAUAACCAGCAGCCUUCAGUCUCUCAUACAGUUGGUCUAUGGGUCAGCAAUUGGGGUGUAUUGUCUAGGAGGUCCGCGGUCAAAAUUUGGGCGUGGCUUCGGGUAGUUUUGGCCUUCGGGUAGAGGUGAAUGGUAAUAUGCAGGUUGAGCAUUGUAGGUAUGGUAGGUGGCAGGGUAUUGGUAUUUCAGGGGUGAGGGUUGAUAUGUGGAUGGAGGUGUUUUGUAUGUGAGGGGAGACUUAGGGCCCUCGACUACCAUCACGGUACACACUUCUUUCUUCUUUAAAAUAUCCCCUGAUUGCAAAGCUUUAUUCAUGGCCUGCAGUACCUCGAAAUUGGUUACCAUCCCAUUCUUAAUUCCUUCUUCUAUUCUUUCUGCUAGCUUGAUGAUGUCGUAGAACUUGUGAUUUUCAAUAACCAUCAACAUUUUGUAAUACUGGGGGUCUUGAGCUCUGAAGAAUUUUUUUUUUAUUUGUUCUUCUUCAAGUGCUAGCCUUACCUUUGCAGCCUCUGAUCUCCGACGAGUAGCAUACUCGCGGAAGGUUUCUGUCGGCUUCUUCUUGAGGUUUUGAAUGUAGAAAAUGUUUGGCGUAUUUUUCGUGUUGAACCUGAAUCUAUCCUUGAAAUCUGAUGCCAUACUUACCCAACUAACCCACUUAUUUGUGUUUUGAGUGAUAUACCAAGACAAAGAGUCUCCCGUAAGGCUUCGCAUGAACAAUUUCAUGCAAAUUUGUUCAUUCUUGCCCAACCUACAAGCUUGUCACAGUAUGUUCUCUGAUGCACCUUCGGAUCACCGGUACCAUCGAAUAUUUUGAACUUGGGAGGUUUGUAACCCUCCGACAGUUCCAUAUCCGGUUGAAUACAUAGGUCCUCAUAGUUUAGACCUUCAACGCCUUUACUGCCUUCAAUACUCUGGACUCUUCCUGUGAUCUUCUUGAGCUCCUUUGCCAUGUUUAUAAUGAGCAGGUCCUUUUCAGUCGAUUCGGGUAUGUAUAGGGUUUGUUGCGGGGUAUGGGAUAAGGUUUCCACAUAUAUCGGGUUGCUUUGAUGAGUUCCCGAAACUUGGGUAUAUAGAUGGUCAUUGGUCGAGUUCUGGGGAUCAGGAGUGGGUUACAGUGCAUUUUGAGGGGUGUGAUAAGUAAUUGUUUGCGGUUAUUGAGUUAGAUGAUGGUGGUGUUGUUGUGGGGUCGGCACUGGUGGCGGGUUAAGGUUCUAGGGAGGUUCGGGAUAAUGGUAUGGUGCGGAAGGAUUUGGUGGUAGAUUUUGGUUUUUUGUGUUUUGUGGUGGUGUUUGGUUCUGUGUAUUCGGGUUUUGGUGGUUGAUGUCGGGAAUAUUGAGAGUAAGGGAAAUGUUUGCAAAAUUUCGGACCUGCUCAAGCUCGCCCUGUAGUUCUAGGAUUUUCUGCUCCAAACGUAAGACCAACUCAUUUUGCCCCGGAGUACUUCUGCCAUCUGAAGUUUCCACAUUUUCUGCCACAAUAGCAUUGUCUUUCCUGAUACUUAAAUCAUCCAUCUUCCAUUUUCCCUUUCUUUUGCUUUCGGGUCGCUUGGUGGAGGAGGAGGUGGAGAAUCUCUGGAUCUAGUAUGGCAUGCUAAUGAUGCCAGUAUGUAUGAACCAACCUUUGGGAAUGGGAAUAAUCAAAAACUAAAAGAAAAAGCAAAACGUAACCAAGUUAGUAAGGUGAAAAUAAAAGAAUGUUUGCAGUAUUUAAACAUGUUUCACAAAGUCAUGCAAUAAUUCGCGUCCUAAUUUUAGGGACAUCAUUGUGUCUGAGGUAGGCCUAAGCGACACAUAGACUUGGAGAAAAUUGAUGCCAACUUUGCUUUAUUUCAUUAAUGCGAAAAUAGGCCAAAUCAAACUUUCACUAAAUCGACAAUAAUAAUAAAGUCACUAAUGGCAUCAAGCCUUAUUAAAUCAAAAUCUAAGCUAGAAAGUUUUAAAGAACAUUAUCUCCUAAUCUACUGGGUCCCUAAAGGAUCUUCUCUAUGCUUAGCUCUCUUGUCUCCAUCAAUUAGGUUUCCCAGAUCGCGCAUAUCCAACAGUAAGUAAGCUUUUGCCAGAUUUCCUCCUUCAUCGUCGUUCAUGCCUUGACAGUCCGAGAGUCUCAUUCUAUCUUCCCUUCUAGCUCCAUUAGUUUGUGUUCCAAGUAUUCCAAUCUUUUUGUUGACUUAGUGACAAUCUCCUUCCAUUCCCUUAUCGCCUUCAUGUUCACUUUGUGCUUCUCCAGAUGUUUAGCUUCGGACUCGAACACCCUUUUGUGUAGCCUCUUAUACUUAACUUGUGCCUCAUCCACUUCAUCUAUGAUCCUAUCCUUCAGAUUGACUCCUGGCUUGAUGUCCCUUGCUACGUCGUCUUCCAGCCAUGAUAGAUAGUAGUACAUAUGACCAGCGGGAUACCUGUCCGACUCGAUAGUUUCUCCUUCCACAAUGAUCUUUCGGUUCCACAUAUGUUGCGCCUCUAACUUGAAUGGAAUGACGUCUCCCUUGAAAUCUGCUUUGUAUUGGACUAUAUUGGAAACUCGAGGUAUGACUUGUUUCCUUUUAGCUUGUCUCACUACCCUUAUAGGAGCGUAAGGAUAGAUUCCUUGCAACCCAAUCAGUGCCAAAUGAGUAGUCCCCCUUGACCUGAUGAUGAACUCACUACUAGGAAACCAUUCAAACAUCUAAUGUACCUGCUCGUCUGUCAGAUUGCUGAAGAAACACACCCAACUUACAGCAUUUCUAGGCUAUGCAAACCUGUCCAGAAUAAACGUCAUUUUCUUUGGGUUAUGGUUAGCUACAUAGUCAUUCAGUGGCUUUCGCAGAAGCUCUUGACGGUACUCUCCUCUCUGAAAGUGUUCUAGCAGCCAGACUUGUACCAAUAGAUUAUAACCCUCAAAUUGUCCAAAUCCCUACUUGCACUGAUUUAUAGCGUGGUACAUCUCAGCUAAGAUCAUAGGGAUGUUGGUAUAAGUUUGUCCCUCGAUGCCAUCCAUCAAGGUCCUGGCGACCAUGGCUAAGCGAGUAUGAAUCAUUCCUCCUUUCAUUGGAAAUAUCAACAACCCCAAGAAACAGACGACGAACAUAUAAACCCGCGGUGCACCCAACCCAAGGAAGUAAUGGCGAGUUCAUCAUGGUGAUGAUGAUACGACUUACUAUGCCCAUAACGCUCGUAAAGAAAUUCAAAAAGGAUGUAUGAUUUCUUUAGACAUAGAAGUUCAUCAUUCUUCUUAAAACCCAACAUUUUCAGAAAACCGUGGGGAGUGCGAUUCUUUGGUACUAGUAAUCCCGGACUAUCCCAUAAUAACUUGGCAAAGCCUCCUAUUUAUUCUAAAAGAGGAGUCAUUUCUAUAUUGCCAAAUCGGGAAACAUCUCUUUUCUCAUCCCAAAACAUAGUAGCGGCCUCAAUCAGUUCCCUUUUUGGUCGAAUGUUUAGCAAUGAUGGCAGGUCAUCAAGUACUCUCCUCACAUAUUUUUUGUCGCAAAGUGCAAGGUCUUUCCACCAGUCAAGUAGCAAAUGUGGGAUGUUUUAGACCAUACCGAACCUCGGGAUUUCAUGCUUUAUUUUCUGCAAACAAACAAAGGUUAGCCCUUUCCCCCUCCAGAUUUGACUACUUAUGAAACAAUGAUCAACACGUUGGCACAUUUUCUCCAAAAAUGCAAAUAAUAUGAUAGUGUCCAUUGGGAUUGUGAAAAUCCCGUCGGACUUUGGACAAGAUUCAUCUUAGCGGGUCGUUACAUUAAUAACGCUUCAACCCAUACUAGGUUUAGCAUGUUGCAUGUACAUUUCAAAUCGGAGUGGAGUUUCUAGAAUGGUCUAUACUGGUACUCCCAAGUGGACAACUUGAGAGGGAAAAGCGUGGGACCAUCGAUUGUACCGCUGAUCGACUAGUCUACCGCAAAUAAGCCCUUCCUAUUUCAAAAGGGUGGUCUCUGGAAAGCGCGGACACUCAUCAAGCGCUGCUAUAUUGAUAAUUGGCACGAGUGGAGUAUGAUGUGGAGCAUGCUUUAUGCAGAAAUAAUAACACAUUACCAAGUAUUUGCAUAAUAAAAGUAUGUAAAAGCAGUAAAUAAAAUAGCAAAAGUCAACAUGAAAAGAAGAGAAAAGAAAGACAAAACAGAGAAGUCGGAUUAGCUCAUGAAAAUGUGCGAGAACGUAAUGAAGAAGGUGGGGAAAUAGGGAUGGGAGAGUCAUAAUAUAGCAGUCUUAGUCAAGAAGAAAAGAGAUGGAGAAGGUCAUACAUGUCAUAGCAAACAAAGGAGAAUAAUGGAAGGGAUAUACAUGUCAUAGCAAUUUUAAACAAAUAAAGGUGAAUAAAGAAAGGGAUGUGCAUGUAAUAGCAAUUUAAAAAAAAAAUAAAGAAAAAUAAAAGAAAGCAAUCCACAUAAGUCAAGUUCAUUAUGGUAAAAGCCUGAGUAUUUCCCUAGCAGAGUCGCCAUGCUGUCGCGCCCUAUUUUCUCGCGAAAGCGGGCUUUGACAUGUGACAACUCUUUUAAAAGGAGGUAUUAAAAGAGAAAAGUCGCCACCUAACGAUUUUUAAGGUACGUUAGGGCACCUAGUUGCAAAUAACUCUGUUUAACUAGUCAACGCCACCAAAGAUCGGGUAAGGGCUUAAAUUACCUCAAAGAUAAGGUUUUAGAAACUCUUCGAGGUUCACAACUGUAGGUCCCGACCGAAAUUUAGACCAUGUGGAUUAUACAAUUAGGCUAGACGAUCAAAUAAAUAUAAGGGAUGUUUAGAGGUUGUAGAGACAUAUGAGAAUCGGUACAAGUCUUAAUGACUACAAGGAUACAACUACAUUGGUCUAUAUUAAAUGACAAAAUAUAGAUAACAAGUACAAAAAUUAGGGGGGGGGGGGCUAAGUUUUUAGCCUAAAGGAUCACCCCGUACAACAUAAAUAAUACUUUACAACUCCCUUAAAGUAGAGGUUGCUCGUAUUAUUAAGCGGGCACAGACUAUCAUCUCCUGCUACCCGAUUACUAUGUUGAAGGUGUUUACUUAAAAGCAUUCUAAUUCAAUUCUAAGUCGUACCCUGUGCGUGCACUACUCGUCCCAUGCCUAUGGUCCAGGAAGCCUUGGACCUACUAUAAGGUAGUUUUAGACUUUACUUAGGUUGCUAAAAAUGAUAAAAUUAGGCGACAUGCAAAACAGAUAGGACUGCAUAUAAUUGCAAUAAAAGGCUCAAGUAACCUCCACACAUAAGCAGGAAAGCACGCAAACAGAUUUCUGGUUAUGCAGUAGACGACAUUAAGACGUGUUGGAAUCCUUAAGUCAUAUAGGCAUGAUUUCUAUGUGAUUCUGGAUUCCAAUAUUAUAUAGGCAGUGCUGUAAUUUAUGAAGUAACGUAUAGGCAAAUUAGAGCGUUGCAAGUCCUAUAUACAUAAUAUCUAAUCAUUUGUGUAAUAAGGUUUUGAAAACAAUCCCAUAAUUCUGAAUUAGUAAAGCUGAUUUUAUAGAUAUGCCUCUUAGGCAGGCGAUAGUACACUAUAGGUAUGAUCUCUAAUAGUAGCAUAAUUAGGCAGUGAAGUCAUUUGAAAACACAAGAUUAGUAGUGUCAAUAAACAUCCUAUGGGUAGGAUUUCUAACAAUUGACAAUUGGACUUGAUUUUUAAACAAUUUAUCCCUAUAGGCAUGCUAUCUAAAUGAAGCAGUACAAAAGCAGCAUGAAGCAAUUGAUUAAUUAUUUAAUACUUUAUAGUCAUGGUAUCUAGAUAAGUAAAGGUAUUGCAUUGUUAUAUCCUAUAAGCAUGUUAUCUAAUAGUGCAUAGAACGCGAACAAGUGAAACACUUAGGUUCUUACAAACAUGUUUCUGAUAGUGUGCGGGCAUUAGACAGGUUGAGUAAGUGAAGUGUUUGAGUUCCUAUAGGCAUGAUAUCUAAGUGCAAGAAGUCUAGUUUGGAUCCUAUUGGCAAGUUCUCUAGCCAUUCAAGUCAUAACAUUGUGUGCAUAUAAUUCCAGAGAAUAAGGCGUGAUGAAUAAACAAGCUAUUAAGAUCCUAUAGACAUGAUCUCUAACCAUUCAUGCAAAAGAUAAAGUAUCCCAGUUCCCCCUUUUCACUAAUUCCUAGUUGUCAGUUAUUACAAGUAAUUACAGGCCCAAAAAUGAAAUAAUACAGUCUUAAAGAUGACAAAACAUAGGCUGAAAUGAAUACAAGCCGACCAAAGCAAUUACAAGCCCAAUAUAAAAGUAACCCGGGAAUAUCCCAGACCUUCCAUAGUCUUACUCUCCGGACAAACAGCAGGCCCAAACCACAGGCUCACACGAUAACUAGAGUGCACAUGAAUCCAGUGCCCAGGUCCAACAACACCCAUGGCCCAUCUCCAGACCCAAUGAAUAACUUACUUACCCACAUGGAUACUAAAUUUAGCUAUGCAGGUGACUCAAUACUCAUAGAACAACUUAAUCCCUUGGUUCUUAGAGCUGUAGCCAUUAACAGCUCUAGACAAGACAUAUAAAUAGGAUCAUGCUAGAUGGAAAGGCACACAAGGCACAUAUGAGGAAAUCUUAUGCUUUGAAAUUCCAGAAACAGAGUUUGAUAGUGACAAGAUUGACCAUCAUAGGACAGUAAACCAUUUCAGUAAAGCAUGAUCCAGAAACAACCUAAGGACCUUUAGAUGAUAUUCUAACAGAAUUAUGAACAAGAAGCAGGUAGAGUAGAGUCUUGAUAUGAAGGUUUUAACAUGAAAACCUAAUGAGAAUGUGGUUGAAAAUAGCAUAACAACAUGCUAGCGGGCACAAUUUGGCAAACAUACUUGGUUGAUCAUCGAACUUAACCUGAUGAACAUUAAUUAUAACACAAAGAUUCUAAAGAACUCAUAGUAGGCAAAAGAACAUAUCAAUUAUAGGCUAGCAGGACAUGCAUGAAUUAGGAUUCAUGUCAGUCGACCACACAUGAGGGAUAACUAAUCAUUGGUAUUUAUCCUAGAAGCAAUGCUAAAGGGUGCAGGAUUGCCCAGUCAGGCAAUACAAUUGCCAGAGUUACAAAUCACAGACAAAAAUGCUUGGUUAGAGAUUAAGACAAUGCUAUAACAUGGGAGAGCGAAGGAUCAGUUUGCAUGAAAUAAUAGGUUAUACAUAAAGGAUAUAGUAGGAAGAGAUUCAUUAAGGUAGACUUUGAGCAAGAAGUUUCUACAAAAGGUCCCAGAAAUCCAAGGCAUGAAUAUGAACUCAUAAUAGAUAAAGGACACGACAUUGAUGCUAACAUGAGCAUGACCAAUUAGACAACACCUAAGAAGGCCAGAAACCAUUUGAGUCAAAUACAUAGAGUGAAAGCAUACUACACAUGUUGAAGCCUAUCAAGUCUGAUAUUAAAGAACAUGGAACCGCAGAACGUCAAUAGAACUACAUAAAGCAUACAAUAAUACAACACUGGGAGUUCACAAAUAACAAAGAAACUUAGGUCAUGCUUGUCUAUAAAAGUUCAAACAGUGUUGGCACGCAGAAUACAAAUACAUGAAUAAGUAGAGGAGUAAUAAUUAAGGUUGUAAAGUGUAGAGAAUGCUAACCAGUUGCAAAGAUAAACGAACAAAAGAGCGAGUAACUUAGAAUCUCAGCGAUGACAACAAAGAAAGAUAACAGUGAGAAUCCAGAUCCAAGUGCGUCAGAGUUCACAUGAGCUUCAGUGAGCCCCGAGCAGUGCUUGUACUAGGGACGUUAAUAGAGAAGAUUUGGGUGGCCUUUUCUAUCAGCCGGCCAUAGUUAAGAGAGCAUAAAUACUAUACAAGGUGAAAAGUAAGAGAAUAACAGUAGUUCUUAAGCGAUUAGAGUCUGUCCAAAGGGGAAAUUGGGGAGGGGUUUAUAGAGUAAUAAAAAUCAACACAUAAAUAAGGAAAUACAAUCAAUCGAACAUAAACAAGAAAAGAAGAAUAUGCAAAAAUCAAUUUAGAAGCAGAUUAGGAGAAGAAACCAGGUAAACCAUAGUUUGACUAGGAUCAUAAAUUGGCCGGAGAUCUUGGUGAAUCAAAACCUCAUAGCCUUGCUAUGAAUGUAUACAGAUGAAAUAUCGUCCAAAUCUUGGAGAGUAAAGCCGAUCUCCUUUGACUCAGAGACUGGUACUUUCCAAAAAUGGGCAAGUACCAUGUAACACCAUAUUUACACAAGUAAUAGCAGUAUAAUCCCUAAAAGGUAAGUAAAUCAUGGUAAGAAUUCAUGGAUGAUUUGGAUUCGGAGAAGAUUUUGGGUGGCGGCUAGGGUUUCUCAGAGAAGAGGAGAGUAGAGGAUUUAGGGGUGACUGGAGUGUGAGAAUGGGAUUAGGUUUUAGGGUGAGGGGAUAUAAGGAAAGGGUAGGGAUUAUUAUGGGCCGUUGAUCAUCUGAGAUCAACAAUCGUGAUUAAAGGGAGGUGGGGCGGGUCGAGUAAAUGGGUCUCGACCGGGUUGGAACAAAAGGGGUCAUUUGGUUUAGGCCAGGGAAGAUUGGGGUUGGGCUCAUUUGUUUGGACCUUAAUUGGUCCGGAAAUAAGGCAUAAUUUGGGCCAGAUUUUGAAGUAUGGGGAUUAAGGGGAAAUAAUUUUAAUAAAAUAGCUAAAUAAAAUAUAAAAAAUACUAUUUAUUAAACUUAAUACUUUAAAACAAUAGUUGAAGAUUAUGAUAAAUGUAAAAAAAUAUUUUGUCCUUAAAUAAAAUGACAAAUGCAAUUUAUUGUAAAAUAUAGGCUAUUUUUGUAAAAUUACGUAUUUGGCAUAAAAAGUACAAAUUUAAUUAUAUAAAAUAAAGUAAAAUAUUAUAAAAUAGAUAUGUUAAUGCAAAUAAUAGAGUUGGAUGAUUAAAUCAUCACAAAAUAAUUUUAAGGGAUUAAUUAAUACAUAUUCAAAUAAUUUAACUGCAAGAAAAUCAGCUUUAAAGCUUUAAAAAUUACGAAAAAUUAUAUAAAUACUUGUAUAACUAUUGUACAACAACAAGAUUGAAGAUACCUCGAGAUAUAAAGGUAAUUAUCAUACAAAUGAUUGAGUACCCACACGUAGAAUCCAUGAAUAAUGUGGAAACAAAGAGGUAAUAUUAAUUGCACGAUGAAUGAUGAUGUGAAGGUGUGAUAUUGACUAUAAUUAGAAAAAUUUAAGUUGUGAUGUUUUCAUGAAGAAGAUUGCACGUUUCUUACCUUUAGCAUUAUGAAAAUAGUGUAUGUUAUGAAAAAUUACAUGAAAGUUAUGCGGGUUUAGCCUGAGGCAGUUGUAUUUACCAGUAAUAUAUUUGAGCAUGGACUAAAGGGCAAAAUGCUAGAAAAAGAUUUUUAAAAGUAAACUGGGCAUGAAAAGUGAUAUGCUAACUUUAUUGUUGUACGGGUAGAAAGAGAUGAUACUUGGCAACAUGAGUUGCGACUAGAAGUGUCAUAGUACUUGGGUAUGCGAGGGGAAAAGGAAUCCUUGAUGAGCAUAACCAUUUUUCUUCUAUUGUUAGGAUAGUAGGUACUACUAAGUGUAAUUGCAAAGUAGAAGUCAAGUCUUCGUGAAAAUCUGAAAUGGUGAAUAAGAUUUUGAGCUGGGAAUAAAUAAUUUGUAGUAGUAUAUGGGCGUGUGUAUAAUCAGAUGGAAUGGAAUACGACUUUAAUGAAAUCUUCGAGUUUCAGGUUCAAGUUUUAGAUUUGGAUUUUACGUUUAAGUAAGGGAGCGUCAUAGCAAGUAAAAGUCACCUUAAAGGUGAUGGUUGAAAAAAUAAAAUGUAGAAAUUUUAUUCUCAAAAGAAAGAUGAAGGGAAAACCUUCGGUAAGAUUCCAGAUGAAGUGAGUAAAAUUGUCAUACAGUGCCGGUAUAGGGAUCACAUGCUUAUCACGAGCAAUAUGUACGGUGUUCAAUAUUGGGGUUAUUAAAAGGUACUAUCUAAUAGUCAAAUAUUUAAUGGGCUACUUGAAUAGAUUCUUAUAGCUUUGGAGCAUGUGUCACUUGAAUUAAAUUCAAGCAAUGGCGCAAAAUAAGAAAAUACUUUGGUCAUACAUUGGACUUAGUAGAACAAAUGAAGGUUAUAUUAUGCAUAUUCCUGAAUACAAAAAUACUCUUGCAAACCAAAACAAUGUGCUCCAAUAAGAAGCACGACGUCAAAAAAAAACAAUUAAGUGGUGCAAGUAUUAUCCUAAUAGCAUUGUCACUUUGGAGUUGAAAGCCUACAAUAUAUGAUAGUAUUAUUAUGAUAGGCGCAAUGGCAAAUAUAACUUAAAUUUCUGGUAAGAAAAUAUCAUAAAGAACUUGGUGAUAUCAAUUAGUUGGUUAAGGUUAAGAAAAUAGAAAUAUGUAAUGUGAUGUUCAAGAAUGAAUAGAUACAUGUGCCAUGAAAGGGAAGGAAGCGGAUUGAACAUUUGUCAUAUAGCGGACUUGUUAGCAACCGUAUCAAUCAAUUUUAGAUAUAAAGGAAACUCAAAAGGUUACAUGUGUAAGUGGAGGUAUAAAUCACCCACGUGAUGAAUGGAUCUAAGUAAGACAAUAUCUUAUUGGUAUUCGGAUGGAAUAAAAGAACAUUAUAGAAGGAUUUGAUAACUAGAGAAUUAAGAGUCCUACGAGGACAAACUAUGCUUAGAAGUAAUUUUAUAUUAAUAAUAAAGUCUUUGAAUGGAAGAUUUUUUUUUGUUGCAAGAAAUACUCUUUCACGUGCGACUUGGUGUAUACAUAAUAGAAAGAGAAUACGAAUAUGCAUGACAGUAAUAUGUGUUGCAAUAUAGAGAAACCAAUAUUGGAAUGAGCGAGGUAUAGAUAUGCAACUGUUUAAAAUUGUAAAGAAUUAUUCGAUGCAAUUUUAGUAUAUGCACGGCCAUGUGGGACUUAGAUAUUUUGUUGUUAUACAUUGAGGACGUAUGUGUGGCCGUGCGGGUCCUAGAUAGUUUGUUGUUGUACAUUGAGCAUAUAUGUGUGGCCGUGUAGGGCCUAGACAUCAUAUUAUGUAAAGAUAUUUGGUUGUUGAAUUAUAUUAAAAUUGGUGCCCGUGUGGGGACUGAUAAGUUGAGAUUUUGACUACUUAUUAGCACUUUUUUAAUUUUGUUUUAGUCUGAAAGUAUUGCAUUAUGUUCCCGAAACUAAUAAAAGUGUGCAAAUUACAGGAAUGUUGGAAGUUUGGUAUAUGGGACUCAAAAAGGAGUGUUCCGAAUUAGAAGGCAAGAAAGGGGCACAGAACAAAAGAAGUGCGGACCGCAGAAUUCCAUCUGCGGCCACAGAUCAAGUGAAAAAUCCCAGCAGGAAUUUGGCCAAUGUGCGGCCGCAGAACAAGGUCUGCACUCACAAAUGAUUCAAUGUUCAGAGACGGUGCAAAAGACCAAGUUCUGAAGCCUUGCUGAAGUGCGGACAACAGAAGAAUUAUGCACUCACAAAAGAUGCUUCGCAACCGCAAUCAAAAAUUGUUCGGCUACAGAAUCCAAGAUCUCGCCAACUGAAGAAAUCUGCGGACCGGACUUGGAAUUGUGCGGCCGCAUAACCUCCCGAGGGAAAUUUUUGUCAGCGAAUUUUGGGCCACUAUAAAUAGACGAGUUUCACAUUUUUAGGUCAAGUUUCAAAGUUCGAACUGUUGUAGCCUUACAUUUUGCCAUUUUAGGAAGUUUGUGACUAUUUUAGUGUUUAAAUAUUAUAUUAUAUUAUAUCAUUUUAAUCUUAGAUUAUGAGUUUAAUUAGCAUUUCUUAUUUAUUUUCUUUAAUUUUUACUAUGAGUAGCAAGAUUCUUACUAGGGUUGUGACCCAACCCUAGUGUGUAAACCUUGUGGGUAUUUAAUUUAAUGUUUGUUUAUGAUUGGGUGUUGAUUAUUUAGCUUAGUUUAUGCUCCAAUUUUAGAAUUAAUGGUUGUAAACAUUGAUUCAUGCUUUUUUUGACUUAGUCUCUAUUUGAGAAAGAGAGACCUAGUCUAGGAUAACUUGGCUAACAAGGAAUAGGGCUAAUUGAGGGUUUUAUUAGUCUAAUUAAAGGGUUCAAACUAGAGAUAGGUAGAACAGGGUUUGACCUCAAAUCAACUAUUUUGUUUGAUACCCAUUUGGACCUGAGAUAACCAAAUUGGGCAAAAUCACUCUUUGAUCGAGAGGUAUUGAGUGGGUAAUGUGGAGUUGAGAGCUAUAAUGCACCCCAAUCAACGAAACAAGUAUUAAAGUAUUUAACUGUCACGACCCAAAAUCCCACCACAGGAGUCGUGAUGGCACUUAGUCUCUACAACUAUGUAAGCCGAUUAUAACGGCAAUUCAAGCCAUUUUUUAAAAUUCAAUACAAGUGCCAACAUUAACAACGGAAAUACUCAAACAAUCUCCCAAGACUGGUAAUACUGAGUUACGAACUCUAACUGAAUGCAUGGAAUGAUCUCGAGGACCGAAUAUACAAUACUGUUCGAAUAAGAAAUUAACAGUACAAUAAAUUAGAAAGACUCCAAGGGUCUGCGACGACCAAGCAGCUCUACCUUGAAUUCUUACGAUCAACACACUAACUUUGUCCGAGUUCGAUAUCUCCAACACUUGGCUCUGUACAAAUAUGUGCAGAAGUGUAGUAUGAGUACACCACGGUCGGUACCCAGUAAGUAUCAAGACUAACCUCGGUAGAGUAGUGACGAGGUACAGUCAAGACACUCACUAGUCUAAUAACUUGUGCAAUAUAGCAUAUAAAAAUAAUAGGAAACUAAUAUCAGUAAUAACAACAAUAAUCAACAUGUGAUAUAAACAGCAAGGCAGCAAGAACACCAUAAAUAUUGCUUAAAACAAAUAAUGAACACAAGUACAACCAAUAAUCAAGUCCUUCAAAAUAUACAUCUUUCAUCUAUAAGUUUUUCAAAUAAAAAUCUUUAGAAUAUAAUCCUUUCCAAUAAAUAUAUUUUGAAUAUACUUCCUUCAAAUAAAUAUCAUCCAAAUAUAAUUCUUUCAAAUAAAUAUCUUACGAAUAUAAUUCUUCCAAAUAAAAUAUCUUUCAAAUAUAAUUCUCUCAAACAAAUAUCUUUCGAAUAUAAUUCCUUUCAGGUAAAAGUCACCAUGUGACACCUCAUUUCAUAAUUAUAAAACUUACGGGUCUCAUCCCACUUUCAUAUUUCCAUGGCACUUCAUGCCCAUAUUUCUGUCACAACCACACGGACAACUCACGUGCCAAUAAUAAAAUUAUCAUAUUUCUCCAGCACCUCGUGCCCAUAUUUCUUUCAUAACCUCACGGACAACUCCCCUGCCAAUAAUAAAAACCACCCGGUAAUAGCCACAGGAUCACAAUUACAACAUGAAUUAGACUAUUAUCACGUUUACCGAUACAACAAGACAUGUUGCACAAGAGAUAAAAAUAAACACCAGAAAAAUCACAUCAUAUAAAAAUCAUCAACACAAUAAUCACACAUCAUCACGUAUCAUCCCUGACAAUAGCCACCCUUACCUCUCCCAUAGCCACCCGUAUCAGUCCAUAAUAAUAGCUACCCGUAUCCCUCUGUCCUGACAAUAUCAAUAGCCACCCUUAUUGCUUUUAUAGUCGCCCUUAUCACUCCUAUAGCCGCCCUUAUCACUCUUAUAGCCGCCCUUAUUACUCCGCUCAGACAAUAUCCCAACACACAUAAACACAGUAAAAUGCCACCCUUAUACCCACACAAUAUUAACAGUGGAAUGUCACCCUUAUGUCCUAAUAAUAAUAACUCAAAUCACAUAAUUAUUCACACGGAACAUUAUCACGACAACACAACACAAUCAAUUUAUAUCACAAAUUGCCCAAUGGCCACAACCAAUUCCAAAGAUACAACAAAAUCAAUAAAUUUCACAACAAAUAGCUCAAGGCUUUCCACAACGUAUAUAAAAUCUCAAAGACAACAACUGAGAUGGAAAAGUAACUUAACAUAGGACAUCGCCUUCUUUAAUCCAAAUUUUUAAUAAAUAUAUUAAAGUUUCAUUUUGAACUUAUUUGAUAAUAUUUGCGGAUAACAAUCCAUAAUAAAAUUAUUUCCAAGAAAUGCCAACCCAACUAACCACGGUAUUUAACAUAAUAAAACAAGGAAUGAGGCAUGACAAAUAAAGGAUUUAAUAAGCUCCAAUAAUUUUUUUAAUUUAAUAUUUAAUUAGGAUGUCUGCGAAUUUUAACCGAUAUAAUUUGCACAUAUAAACCAAGUACAUACUCGUCACCUCGCGUACAUGGCUUUCAAUCACACAAUUUUCACAUAAAACUCAAUGCCUAAGGGGUAUUUCCCCCACUCAAGGUUAGGCAAGAUACUUACCUUUUUGAAGUUAGGCCGAUAUUCCAAAAUAGCCUUCUUUCUUGAAUUGACCUCCGGACAGUUCAGAUCUAUCCAAAUUAAUUGUAUAACUUCAUUAAAAUUUCGGAUAAUAAAAUACCAAUUUAAACUUUUAUUCUAAUAAGUCAACGUGGGCUGGCCCCUCGGAACCCGCUGGAAUUUUUAAGAAAUCCGAACAUCCAUUCCGAUACGAGUUCAACCAUACCGAAAUUAUCAAAUUCCGAUAACGGACUGCCCUUCAAAUCUUAAAUUAAAGUCAAGAGGAUUUCUACCAUUUUCAACCCAAUUCACUAAUUUAGUGAUAAAAACAAUAAUAGAUUCAUGCAAUUUAACCAAAAUCAAGUUAGGAAUUCUUACCCCAAUGUUUCCCUCGAAAAACUCUAGAAAUAUAACCUCACCCUGAGCUUCCUUGGUCCAAAAAUGGAAGAAUGAGACGAAUUUGGACUUUAUUCUACUGCCCAGGGGUUUGUUCUUCGCGUUCGCGUCCGUCACCUCGCAUUCGCGAUGAACAAAUUCUUCAACAACCAUUUUCACACUCUUUUCUGACAGCCUCUACUAGAAGGGUCAUAACAUUUUGUACAAAACUCCAAAUAAUGAAUGGUUUGACCGUUUGAAAACUAGACUCAUAACUUUAAUUUGUUGCUCAUCUCCCAAUUCCUUAUAUAUUGCGAGAUAUAAGCUUCCAAAGUCAGCCCUGUACAGUAGAGAUUUCCAAACUCUUCCCAGACAACCUGUAGUUUAUCCACCAUAACUUUUUGUACAAAACUAGAAAUAAAAAAUGGUUUACCUUUCCGAAAUCUAGACUCAAAGGUCUACAACUUUUAUUUUUGGAUCAUCUCGAAUUCCUUAUAGAUUGCGAGAUAUGAGCUUCCAAAGUCAGACCAGUGCAACAGAGAUUUCCUUCUUCGCGAAUGCGAGAGUCUCUUCGCGAACGCAAAGAACAAAAUCCGAGAAGCCAAAUCCUUCUUCGCAAAUAUAAUGACCCGACCAGUCGUUUUGCUUUCGAGAACCCCAUUCCCCUAAAUAAGACUUCUCGUAUAUGCUUUUACUGUUUUAUGACUUGCGGAGAUGGUUAGUUCGUGAUUUGGAAGGGUUCGGGUUGAAAUCAAAAUACUUGGUUCCUUGAGAUUGGCUUAAAAGGCCAAGUUUGACUUCGGUCAAUAUUUUCAGUAAAUGACCUCAGAAUCGGGAUUUGGCAGUUCUAAUAAGUUUGUAUGAUAAUUUCGGACUUGGGCGUAUGUUCGGAUCAGGUUUUGAAUGACCCGGGAGCGUUUCGGUGCCUAAUAGUGAAAGUUAGUUCUUGAAGGUUUUAAAAAAUUUUUAAAUUUGGUUUGGAGCGGGUUUUGGUGAUAUCAAGGUCCAAACGGAAUUCCGAGCACAGGAAUAGUUCCGUAAUGUCAAUUAAGACUUGCACGCAAAAUUUGGUGUCUUUCUGAGUAGUUUAAGUACGUUUCGGCGCAUUAGAAGUAAAUUGAAGAACUCAAAGUUCUUAAGUUUGAUUCAAUUGGUUUUGGGGUGUGAUUCGUAGUUUUAAUGUUGUUUCUGGGGGCCCGAGGGUCAAUCGGACAAAGCUCAGACUAAGUUAGAAGUUGGGAGCAGCUGCUGAAGCUCCAGUUCUGUCAUAACCGCACCUGCACUUGGCCAGCUGCAGGUGCGAGCCAUGAGCCGCAGAAGCGGAAAUGCGAAGGAAUCCCAGGUACCGCAGGUACAGAGGAAUUUACGCACCUGCGUGACCGCAGGUGCGGGAACUAUUUUCACAGGAGCGGAAAGGGCUCACAUAUGCGGCUCCUGGUGUCCGCAGAUCCGGAGCCUGUCCAUGCGAGGAAAAGGCGCACCUACGAAGGUCUUGCCGCAGGUGCGGGACCGCAUAUACGACCCUAUAACCGCAGGUGCGAAAACCGCUGGAGGCAGUGAGCCUCAUUUAUUAUGGGUUAGGGCCAUUUUUAUCACAUUUUCUUCCACUCUUGGGUGAUUUGAGAGCUUCUAAGGAGGGGAUUUAGACCUAGAUUUGUGAGGUAAGUAAUUUCUAUUAAAUAUGAGUUUAGUACAUAUAUUAUGGGUAGAUUUUCACAUGAUAAUUGGUAGAAAUCAUGGGUUUAGGUAAAAAAACCUAGGAUUUAAUAAAAAUAAGAUUCUACCAUGCAAAUGAUUAUGAAACUUAGUGAAUAUCAUAUAUUAUGUUCCUAAGGUUAUGGGUAACUACUUUCUUCAAAAUAAUUUCGGAAUCCGGGAGUGUGGGCCUGGGGUGAAAUUUAGGAAUCUUGCAAUUUGGAUUGGGUAAUCACUUUAAUAGUGGAGAUAUGAACAAUUGAGCAUAGAUUGAUCGAUUUAUAUAAUGUUUGGCUAGUUCCGAGUCGUUUGGCAUCAAAUUUGGAGGUUUGAGCGCAUCCUUGAAUUGGGAAGUAAGCUUUGAGACGAGGUAAGUCUCUUUUCUAACCUUAUAAGAGGGAACUCACCCCAUAGGUGAACUUAAUUAAUAUGUGUUGUUAUUUGUGGGGGGUGGGGGUGGGGUGGAGGGCUACAUACGCACGAAGUGACGAGAGUCCGUACGUAGCUACUAUUCAUGUUUAUGUCCGGGUAGUGUUAGGUCUACGCCAUGCUUGUGGACACCGUUAUUUGAUUAGAUUUGUUAACUGUAUCAAAUGAAACUAAGUCGAGGAUUUUUGAGGGUUUAAAAGCUUCAAGCCGAAUUGUCUUUAUUUUGAAAAGAAUCAAGAAAUGAUUAUGAUUUAUUGAUAAAUUUAUUGAUUUAUUGAUAAAUUUAUUUUGAAAAUUCGCGCCGUUCGACCCUCGGCAGUGCACAGUUUAUAUUUAUGUUGGAUCGGGCCGAACGUCCUUGGUGGUAUUCGUGUGUGAUAAUAGUACUCGAAGUUUCUUUCAUAUUUGGUACAAAGUCAUUGUUUUGUGUGAUCAUAUAUUUUAAAGGAAGGAAAUGAUUUAAGCUCUUAAAGAUGGUGAAGAGUUGUUCAGUUAUUUCUUGUUAUGAGUCUUAUUGUUGUAUGUUAUGAUUAAUUAGAUUUUCAUAUUAUCAUGUUAUUGGCCCUAGUAAGUGUCGGAGUGCACCCCUCGUCAAUACUUCUUCGAGGUUAAACUAGAUACUUACUGAGUACAUAUAAUGUAUGUACAUACGCUACACUUUUGUACUUAAAUGUACAGGAUCUGAGGCAGGUGCAUCUGGUUACCAGUCUGGAGCGCAGUUCUGAUCCCCAUCUCGAGACUUCACGGUGAGCUGCCCUUCCGAGCCGUUCUGCAGCAGCUGGAGUCUCUCAUGCUUUAUUUUUUUCUGUCUAUUUCCUUUCAGACAGUAGGCUAGUACUCUUUUGUAUAUUCUAAUAGAUUGCCCACACACUUGUGACACCAGGUCUUGGUACACACACUAGUAGACUUAUUAUUUUAGAUUUGUUUACAUGAUUACGAUUAGUACUUGUUUUUUUCCUUUUAAUUAUGUCACGUUUGCAAAUUUCUAAAUCUUUUUAACAAAUGAGGAAAUGUUAUCCAAUUAGUAAUUUAUUUAAACGAGAAAUCAUUAGUUUGAUCAGCGUUGGCUUGCCCAAUAAUGGUGUUGGGUACCAUCACGGCCUAUGUUAGAAUUGGGUCGUGACAACAUGGUAUCAGAGCGCUAGGUUCACAUAGGUUUCACAAGUUAUGGGCAGGCCUAGUAGAGUCUUGUGGAUCGAUGCGGAGACGUUCGUACUUAUCUUCGAGAGGCUAUAGGGUGUUAUGAAACUACUCUUUAAUCAUUUCCUAUCAUGCAGUUGAUGGUGUACUAAAUUCCUUUCUCUCAUUCUGUCACGAUGGUGAGGACGCGUACGGCGGACAUUCCAGACUCGGGAGGAGCUGCUUCCCCCAUUGCUAGAGGCCGGGGGAGGGCACCAACCCAAGGUAGGGGAUGAGGGAAUCUCAGUGCUGCCCCAGUAGCACCACCAGCAGACCCAGUAGAGGAUCCCAUCAUUGAGGAGUAGGGAGAGGUGCCUGCCGCAGAGCCAGCCUCGGUAGAUUUCAUAUCAACAGCGGGUUUUCAGGAGGUCAUGGGCCGUAUGCUCCGGUUCAUGGACACCAUGACUCAGGCUGGUUUAUUUCCUGCAGACCCAACACAUCUCAGGCGGGAGGGGGAGCACAGACCCCUACUGCUCAGGAACAUGGGCACGCAACUGCAUUAUACCAGACUCCGGGUACACUACCUGUGGGUGGAGCCCAGCCAGUUGCCACAACUGCACCUGAGCCUAGACAAGCUGUGGACAGUGAUCCACAGAAGCUAUUAGACAGAUGGACUAGGCUACACCUUCCUAUCUUCGUGGGCGAGCGGCAUGAGGAACCCAGGACUUCAUUGACCGGUGCCGGGACAGACUGCACAAUAUGAGGAUAUUGGAGUCCUAUGGGGUAAAUUUCACUACUUUCCAGCUGGAGGGCAGGGCCCGUAGAUGGUGGCAGUCUUAGGACCAGUAUGUUCUCCUCCCAUGACUUAGGACCAGUUUACACAGCUUUUCUUGGAUAGGUAUAUUCCACCCUCUCAAACAGAAGAGUUGCGAGGUCAGUUUGAGCAGCUCGAGCAGGUUCAGAUGUCAGUGACCAAUUAUGAGGAGAGAUUCUCUGAGUUAUCUUGCCAUGCACUUAUGAUACUUCCUACCGACGUAGAGAGAGUGCAGAGAUUUAUUGCGGGGUUACACCCCAGUAUUCGGGCUAGUAUGGCCCGAGAGGUUGAGAUGGGUACUGGCUAUCAGCUAGUAGUGGAGAUUGCUUAGAGUAUUAAGGGCUACCGCCAUAGGGGUAGAGAGCAGAUACAAUAGGACAAGAAGGCCCGAUUCUCUAGAGAAUUUAGAGGUGCCCCGGCCAGGGGCAGAGGGCAGUUUGGGAGGGAUCAGCCUAGCUGGCCCACAUAUCCAGCACCACCACCUCCUCGGAGUACUCCGGUGUGACCCUAUUUCAGUGCUAUGCCAGAUAGUUCUUAUCGCCCACCAGCUCAUCAGGGUUCUUCCAUUGCCUAUUUUAGCGCCAUGCCAGAGAGUUCAUACCGCCCACCAGCCAUUCAGGGUUCUUCUAGUGGGUAUUCAGGCCAUCAGGGUUAGAAUUCGGGGCAACAGUCUAUGGUACCGAGAGGUUGCUACGAGUGUGGAGAUUCGGGUCACAUGAAGAGAACUUGUCUCAGACUUUGGGGCAAGUUAGUACAGUAGGGUCAUCAGCCCAUGAUUCUAGCACCAGCCGUCCGACUGCCCAGAGGUGGGGGACAGGCGGGUAGGGGCCAUCCUAGAGGUGGAGGCCAGGCAGGGGGAGGUCAGCCAGCUAUUGUUCAGCCAGGUGGAGGCCAUCCAGCCGGCGCUCCAGCUAGAUUCUAUGCUUUUCUGUCCAGACUAGAUGCAGUGGCCUCAGAAGUCGUGAUCACGGAUAUUAUUUCUGUCUGCGGUAGGGAUGCUUCAGUAUUAUUUGAUCCAUGGUAUACCUAUUCAUAUGUAUCAUCUCUGUUUGCUCAUUUCCUGGAUAUUCCUCGUGAGUCCUUGGGUACUCCUGUUUGUGUGUCCACUCAUAUGGGAGACUCUAUGGUUAUGGAUCGGAUCUAUCGGUCCUGUGUGGUCACAUUCUGUGGUUACGAGACUAUAGCAGACCUUCUAUUACUUGAUAUGACCGACUUUGAGGUCAUACUGGGCAUGGACUGGUUAUCCCCAUAUCAUGCCAUCCUUGAUUUCCAUGUCAAGACUGUUACCUUAACAAUGCCAAAGUUUCUUAGCUUGGAGUGGAAGGGUUCAUCUGUUAGUACAUCUAGUCGGGUUAUCUCUUUAUCGAAGGCUCGACAUAUGGUCAGGAAGGGUUGUUUGGCUUAUCUAGCCUAUGUUCGGGAUACCACCGUAGAGUCUCCGACCAUUGAUUCGGUGCCAUUAUUUCGGGAGUUUGCCGAUGUGUUUCCUUCGGACCUUCCAGGCAUGCCGCCAGAUCGUGACAUUGAUUUCUGUAUAGACUUGGCUUCAAGCACUUAGCCUAUAUCUAUCCCACCAUAUCGUAUGGCUCCGAAAAAGUUAAAGGAGUUGAAGGAACAACUUGAGGAGUUGCUAGCAAAGGCGUUCGUCAGGCCGAGUGUAUCACCUUGGGGUGCACCAAUAUUAUUUGUGAAGAAGAAGGAUGGGACUAUGCAGAUGUGUAUUGAUUACCGCUAGUUGAACAAAGUACCAUUAAGAACAAGUACCCCUUGCCACGUAUUGAUGAUUUGUUUUACCAGUUGCAGGGUGCUAGCGUGUUUUCUUAGAUCGACUUGAGAUCGGGAUACCAUCAGUUGAAGAUUCGGGACUCAGAUGUUCCGAAGACUGCCUUCCAUACUAGAUAUGGCCAUUAUGAGUUUCUAGUGAUGUCAUUCGGCUUGACUAAUAUUCCAACGGCAUUUAUGGAUUUGAUGAAUAGGGUGUUCAUGCCUUAUAUCGAUUCCUUUGUUAUUGUCUUCAUUGAUGACAUCUUGAUUUACUCACGUAGCAUGGAGGAGAACGAGUAACAUUUGAGAGUGGUGCUUCAGACCUUGAGGGACUAGAAGCUAUAUGUUAAGUUCUCCAAAUGUGAGUUUUGGUUAGAUUCUGUGGCAUUCUUGGGGCAUGUGGUAUCAGGCGAGGGUAUUAAGGUGGAUCCCAAGAAGAUUGAGGCGGUUUAGAGUUGGCCUCGUCCUACUUCGGCGACUGAGAUCAAGAGUUUCCUGGGGCUAGCAGGUUAUUAUCGCUGAUUUGUGGAGGGUUUCUCAUCCAUUGCAGCACCUUUGACUAAAUUGACCCAGAAGGGUGCUCCGUUCCGUUGGACCGACGAUUGUAAGGCGAGCUUUCAGAAGCUCAAGACAGCUUUGACUACAGCAAUGGUUCUAGUGUUGCCUUCCAGUUCGGGGAUGUAUACUGUGUAUUGCGACGCCUCACGCGUUGGCUUGGGUUCUGUAUUGAUGCAGGAAGGGUGAGUUAUUACAUAUGCUUCACGUCAGCUGAAGCUCCUUGAGAAGAAUUAUCCUAUGCACGAUUUAGAGUUGGCCGCGAUUGUUCAUGCUCUUAAGAUCUGGAGGCACUACCUAUAUGGGGUGCCUUGUGAGGUUUACACUGAUCACCGCAGUUUGCAGCACUUGUUCAAGUAAAUGGAUCUCAAUUUGAGGCAGCGCAGAUGGCUUAAGUUACUGAAGGACUACGACAUCACUAUUCUUUAUCAUCCGGGCAAGGCGAAUGUAGUCGCGGAUGCCUUGAGCAGGAAGGCAGAGAGCAUGGGUAGCUUGGCAUUCAUUUCUGCAGAGGAGAGGCCACUAGCUUUGGACAUUCAGUCCUUGGCUAACAUACUUGUGAGGUUGGAUAUUUCAAAGCCCAGCCGAGUUCUUGCAUGUGUUGUUGCCCAAACUUCACUAUUGGAGCAGGUAAAGGCUCGACAGUUUGAUGAUCCGCAUUUGGCAUCUCUCAGAGAGAUGGUACUACAAGAUAGUGCCAAGGAGGUUUCUAUUGGCGAGGAUGGUGUCCUGCAACUCCAGGGUCGUCUAUGUAUUCCUGAUGUAAAUGGCUUGAGGGAGAGGAUUCUGUAGGAGGCGCACAGUUCUCGGUAUUCUAUUCAUCCAGUUGCUACGAAGAUGUAUCGGGACCUGAGACAACAUUAUUGGUGGCAGUGGAUGAAGAAAGACAUAGUUGAGUAUGUAGUUAGGUGACUAAAUUGAUAGCAGGUUAAGUUUGAGCACUAGAGGCUAGGUGGCCUACUCCAGCAGAUGACUAUACCGAAGUGGAAAUGGUAGCGCAUUACUAUGGACUUCGUAGUUGGGUUGCCGCAGACCUUGCAGAAGUUCGAUGCAGUUUGGGUCAUUACUGACAGGUUGACCAAGUCAGCACACUUCAUUCUAGUUGCAACUACUUAUACUUCAGAGAGGUUGGCCCAAAUUUAUAUUCGGGAGAUAGUUCGGUUGCACGGUGUGCCGAUUUCCAUCAUAUCAGACAGAGGCCCUCAGUUCACUUCGUAUUUCUGGACAGCCGUACAGAGUGAGUUGGGGACUCGUGUCGAGCUCAACACUCCGUUCCAUCCACAGACCAACGGGCAGUCAAAGCGGACAGUCCAGAUCUUGGAGGACAUGCUCCAAGCAUGUGUGAUUGACUUUGGGGGACAGUGGGAUCAAAUAUUUCCUUUGGCUGAGUUUCCUUACAACAACAGUUAUCAAUCCAGCAUCGAGAUAGCUCCAUUUGAGGCUUUAUAUGGUAAGCGAUGUCGUUCCCCUAUCGGGUGGUUUGAGCCCGACGAGGCUAAGUUAUAUGGUACUUAUUUGGUGAAGGAUGCCUUGGAAAAGGUAAAGUUGAUUCAGGAGCGAUUUCGCACAGCACAGUCCAGACAGAAGAGUUACGUGGAUAAGAAAGCGCGUGAUUUAUCUUUUAUGGUGGGUUAAAAAGUUCUCUUGAAGGUUUCGCCGAUGAAGGGUAUUAUGAGAUUGGGGAAGAAGGGCAAGUUGAGCCCCAGGUUUAUAGGAACAUUCGAGGUGUUGAGGUGAGUUGGGGAGGUUGCUUAUGUGCUUGCUUUACCUCCCAGCCUAUCAGGGGUUCAUCAGGUUUUUCACGUGUCUAUGCUCCGGAGGUAUCAUGCCGACUUGUCACAUGUGUUAGACUUCAGCACUAUUCAGCUAGAUGAGAGCUUGGGUUAUAAGGAGGAGCCGGUUGCCAUUGUUGCUAAACAUGAUCUCCAGUUGAGAUCCAAGAGGAUUUUCGUGGCAAAGGUCCAGUGGAGGGGCCAACCAGUCGAGGAGGUGACUAGGGAGUCCGAGGAGGACAUGCGGAGCAGAUAUCCACACUUAUUCAGCAUUUCAGGUAUGAUUCUAAACCUGUUCGAGGACGAAUAUUUGUUUAAGAGAUGGAGAAUGUAACGACCCGACCAGUCGUUUUUCUUUCUAGAACCUCAUUCCCCUAAAUAAGACUUUCUGUACACGCUUUUAUUGUUUUAUGACUUGCGAGGAUGGUUAGUUCGGGAUUUGGAAGGGUUCGUGUUGAAAUCAAAAAUCUUGGUUCCUUAAGGUUGGCUUAAAAGGCCAAGUUUGACUUCGGUCAAUAUUUUGAGUAAACGACAUAGAAUUCGGUAUUUGACGGUUCCAAUAGGUUCGUAUGAUGAUUUCAGACUUGGGUGUAUGUUCGGAUCGGGUUUUGGAUGAACCGGGAGCGUUUCAGUGCCUAUUAGUGAAAGUUGGUUCUUGAAGGUUUUAAAAGUUUUUUAAAUUUGGUUUGGAGUGGGUUUUGGUGAUAUCGAGGUCCAAACGGAAUUUUGAGAGUGAGAAUAGUUCCAUAAUGUCAUUUAAGACUUGCACGCAAAAUUUGGUGUCAUUCCGAGUAGUUUAAGUAAGUUUUGGCGCAUUGGAAGUAAAUUAAAGAACUUGAAGUUCUUAAGUUUGAUUCAAUUGGUUUUGGGGUAUGAUUCUUAGAUUUAAUGUUGUUUCGGGAAUUCCGAGAGUUUGAGUUCAGACUAAGUUAGAAGUUGGGAGCGGCUGCUGAAGCUCCAGUUCUGUCAUAACCGCACCUGCGCAUGGCCAGCCGCAUGUGUGAGCCAUGAGCCGCAGAAGCGGAAAUGCGAAGUAAGCCCAGGCACCGCAGGUGCGGAGGAAUUUACACACCUGCGUGACCACAGGUGCGGGCACUGCUUUCGCAGGAGCGGAAAGGGCUCGUAGAUAUGGCUCCUGGUGUCUGCAGAUGCGAAGCCCGGCUAGGCGAGGAAAAGGCGCACCUGCAAAGGUCUUGCCGCAGGUGCGGGAUCGCAGAUGCGGCCCUACGACCGCAGGUGCGGAAACCGCUGGAGGCAGUGAGCCUCAUUUAUUACCGGUUAGGGCCAUUUUUAUCACAUUCUCUUCCACUCUUGGGCGAUUUGAGAGCAUCUAAGGAGGGGAUUUCGACUUAACUUUGUGAGGUAAGUAAUUUCUAUUAAAUAUGAGUUUAGUACAUAUAUUAUGGGUAGAUUUCCACAUGAAAAUUAGUAAAAAUCAUGGGUUUAGGUGAAAAACAAAAGGUUUAAUAAAAAUGAGAUUUUACGACGAAAAUGAUUAUGAAACCUAGCGAAAAGUAUAUAUUAUGUUCCUAAGGUUAUGGGUAACAACUUUCUUCAAAACAAUUUCGGAAUCCGAGCAUGUGGGCCCGUGGGAGAAUUUUAAGAAUCUUGCAAUUUGGAUUGGGUAAUCACUUUAAUAGUGGAGAUAUGAACUAUUGAGCAUAGAUUGAUUGAUUUAUAUAAUGUUUGGCUAGUUCUGAGUCGUUUGGCAUCAAAUUUAGAGGUUUGAGCGCAUUCUUGAAUUGGGAAGUAAGCUUUGAGACGAGGUAAGUCUCUUUUCUAAUCUUGUAAGAAGGAACUCACCCCAUAGGUGAACUUAAUGAAUAUGUGUUGUUAUUUGCCGGGGGGGAGGGGGGGCAGGGGGCUACGUACGCACGAAGUAACGAGAGUCUGUAUAUAGCUACUAUUCCUGUUUAUGUUUGGGUAGUGUUAGGUUUACGCCAUGCUUGUGGACACUGUUAUUUGAUUAUAUUUGUUAACUGUAUCAAAUGGAACUAAGUCGAGGAUUUUUAAGGAUUUAAAAGCUUCAAGCGGAAUUGUCUUUAUUUUGAAAAGAAUCAAGAAAGGGUUAUGAUUUAUUGAUAAAUUUAUAUUUGACCGCAUCGCAUGUAUGAUUCACAAGCAGGGUAAUAGAUGCAUCUAUGGUUCGCGCAAUUCGACCCUCGGCAGUGUACAAUUUACAUUUAUGUUGGAUCGGGCCGAACUUUCUCGGUGGUAUUCGUGUGUGAUAAUAGUACUCGAAAUUUCUUUCAUAUUUGGUACAAAGCCAUUGUUUUGUGUGAUCAUAUGUUUUAAAAGAAGGAAGUGAUUUAAGCUCUUAAAGAUGGUGAAGACUUGUUUAGUUAUUUUUUGUUCUGAGUCUUAUUGUUGUAUAUUAUGCUUAAUUAGAAUUUCAUAUUAUCAUGUUAUUGGCCCUAGUAAGUGUCGGAGUCGACCUCUCGUCACUACUUCUUCGAGGUUAGACUAGAUACUUACUGGGUACAUAUUAUUUAUGUACUCAUGCUACACUUCUGUACUUAAAUGUACAAGAUCUGAGGCAGGUGCAUCUGGUUACCAGUCUGGAGCACAGUUCUAAUCCCCAUCUUGAGACUUUACGGUGAGUUGCACUUCUGAACCGUUCUGCAGUAGCUGGAGUCUCUCUCAUGCUUUAUUUUUUUCUGUCUAUUUCCUUUCAGACAGUAGGCUAGUACUCUUUCAUAUAUUUUACUAGAUUGCCGACAUACUUGUGAUACCAGGUCUUGGUACACACAUUAGUAGACUUAUGAUUUUUGAUUUGAUUACAUGAUUACGAUUAGUACUUAUUUGUUUCCUUUUAAUUAUGUCACGUUUGCAAAUUUCUAAAUCUUUUUAACAAAUGAGGAAAUGUUAUCCACUUAGUAAUUUAUUUAAAUGGGAUACCAUUAGUUUGAUCAGCGUUGGCUUGCCCAACAAUGGUGUUGGGCGCCAUCAUGGCCUAUGAUGGAAUUGGGUCUUGACAGCGAACAUGAGAGGCUCCUUGCGAAUGCGAAGAACAACACUAGACAUCAGAAAAUCAGCAUCCAAAGUAGCCCAAAAUGAUCCGAAACACACCCGAGGUCCCCGGGACCCCAACCAAAUAUACCAACAAGUCCUAAAACAUCAUACGAACUUAGUCGAGGUCUCAAAUCACAUCAAACUUCGCUAAAAGCAUGAUUCACAUUCCAAUUCAAGCCUAAUGAAACAAAGAAAUUCCAACUUCUAUAUUCGAUCUCGAAAACUAUCAAAUCAAGUCCGAAUGACCUUAAAUUUUGCACACAAGUCAUAAAUGGAAUAACAGAGCUUUUCAUAUUUCCAGAAUCGGAUUUCGAUCUCUACUCCCCGGUCAAACCUCCAAACUUAACUUCCUAUUUUCGUCAUUUCAAGCCUAAUUUAGCUACGAACCUCAAAAUAAAUAUCCGAACACACUCCUAAAUCCGAAGUCACCAUACGAAGCUAUUGAAAUCAUCAAAAUUUUAUUCCGGAGUUGUUUUCGCAAAAGUCAAACUCCGGUCAACUCUUUUCAUUUAAGCUUCAAAAAUGAGAAUUGUUCUUUAAAUUUAAUUUUGAAUCUUCCAAAAAUCAAAUGACCGCACAUGUAAGUCAUAAUACGCAUUACGAAAUUGCUCGGGACCUUAAGUAGCUGAAUGUGGCAUAAAUUAUUAAAAUAACUAGUUGGGUCGUUACAUUAACCUAUUAGGCGAACACUUAGGUUAUGGUCACAUCCUUAGGCUUUUUAAUUAUUUGGAAAAACACCAAAAACAAUCAUUCGCUUCUAGUUUAUUUUCUUACCUUAUAAUUGCUAGAGUAAAAUUAGGAUUAGAAAUCAAAAACUUUUGUGGAAGUGCAAUUUAGUUAUUCCAUUCUCUUUCGUUAAGUGUAUACUCCUAACACCCAUUGUAAUUCUCUGUGGUAAUCGACCCCGACUCUUGUUGGGUACUAUUCUUCCAAUGAUCAUUUUCACUCACUAUUGAGUGCGGAUUAGACAUGGAUCAAUUUUUGGCGCCGUUGCCAGGGAGUUAAGACGAUGUUAGCUAUAUAUUUGUGUUUGUUUUUGGAAUAUCUUCUUUUUCUUCUGUGUUACUAACUUCUGCGAGAACCUUUAGGUAUAACCAUGGCGGCGAACAAUGAUCUCGGUAAUAUGCCUUUGGGGGAUGUGGACGGUGAGGAUGGGCAAGUUGGUGAGGUACCUCUUGAACCUCAGGCCAAUCGAAGAAGCCGAUUUCCUCAUGAAAAUGUGCCCUCUCCAACCCCACCUCCACCAUGAGCGGCUCCACAUCCGAUAUUGCCCAACAAAGGUUAUGCUAGUGCAAUAGUCCCUCCCCGCAUUAUGGCAGGCAACUUCCUAUAACCAAUGUGAUGUUCACUUUUCUUGAACAACGAGAAUUCUUUACCGGUGCUCCAACACAAAAUGUUUACAAAUAUUUGAAGGUGUUUGUGGUUACUUGUUAGAGAAGAAAGCAAACAAAUAUCUCCGAGGAUGCAUUGAGGCUAAGGAUUUUUACCUUCUCUCUAUAGGGAAAGCAUUAGAUUGGUUGGAACGAUUGUCAAACAAUUCAAUUCACACUUAGAAUGAGUUGGUAGAAAAUUUCAUUGCUAAGUUUUUCUCUCCCGGACACAUGGCUACACUUCGAGAUGAGAUCUUGGCAUUCAAGAAAGAGCCGAAUGAACCACUAAACGAGAUAUAGGAGCGCUAUAGAACUAUGGUCAAGGAAUAUCCCAAUAACGAUAUGACAGAAAAUAUUAUUCAACAAACCUUCUAUCAUGGGAUUAACACGACCAACCAAUGUGUAGUGAAUCAAUUAGUCAGUGGAAACUUUAUGACUACGCCUUAUUCGGAGGCGUGUGAGAUUUUGGAUGAGAUGAUGGACACAUUUUAGGCUUGGAAAUCCCGGGACAAGAUGACCCGAAUAUGAUCCACCUUCACAAUGAAUUGCAAGACCAUGGGUAAGCCAUUACCGAGUUGACAACUACCAUGACUCAACUAGAAAAGGCCCAACUGAACCAAGUGCUAACUCCUAACCAAGUCAAUGUUAUGGAAGGAGUGAACAUCAGAAGCGGAUGUAGUGUACUACUUACGGGUUCAACUGAACCCAUAACUUUCGACGCUGAGUAAAAAUCUGUAUGUAAAAUUUCAUUAAAACUACAAAAAUAGUAGAUGCGAACCCAUAACUUUAAAAAUAUAAUGGGUUCAAUGUUAAAAACAUUAAAAUUGAACCCAUAGGAUUUAAAUUCUGGAUCCGCUUCUGGUGGACAUGAUGGUGAACAAGAGGAGGACCAAGGGUCCACAAGUGCAAACUCGAGUGGAGAACUAUGUGCAAGAAUAUGGUAGUUUUGAGCACGAUGAUUCCUAUAAUGAACAAGAAGAGGAAGUACAAUAUGUGAAUUAUUUUCAAGGGAAAAGAAACAACUUCCAAGGCCCAAGCCAACAACAAUGGCGACCACAAAACAAUCAAGGCAAUUGGAAUUCUAGCAAUCAAGGAAAUUGGAGUGGAGGCAACAAUCAAGGGAAUUGGCAUAACAACAACAAUCAAGGAAAUUGGAGUGGACACAAUCAAGGAAAUUGGGGAGGUAACAAUCAAGGCGGAUGGAACAACAUUCAAGGCAACCGGGGGUCGAGUUUUCAAAGGCCCCCAAUGUACCAACAACCAAGCAACCCAGCUCUUUAUCCGUCUCAUGGUUCGAGUUCCUCCAACAAUGAGAUGGGGCAUAUUGAAAAUAUGUUCAAGAAAAUGAUGGAAGAGAAUGCUGAUUCAGAUACCCAACUUUCCUCACACAACACAUCAAUAUGCAACCUCGAAGUUCAAAUGGGGCAAAUCUCUCAAGCUUUAAAUUCUCGUCCUAAGGGGGCACUAUCAAACAAUGUGGUGCAACAUAAUGAUGAAGUUCAGAUUGAUAUUGAUGAUAGUGUAUAAGAGACUCAAGAGGAGGUGAAUCCGUCUAGGGAACACAUUAUUGAUAUACCGGAGCCUGUAGUGCAAAAGGCUAAGGCAACAUUGCCUAAGCCUCCAACUCCAUACCCUCAAAGACUUGCCAAGAAAAAUGGUGAGAAUCAAUUCAAGAAAUUUAUUCAAAUGACGAAGAGUCUCUCAAUCAAUGUGCCAUUAGUUGAAGCCUUGGAACAAAUUCCCGGUUAUGCAAAGUUUAAGACCAUCAAAGUCACUCAUCAAGUGAGUGCAAUUGUGCAUUCAAUGGUUCCUAAGUUGGAGGAUCCCUGUGCUUUCACGAUUUCUUGAACGAUUGGAAGUGCCGAAUUUGCUAAAGCUCUUUGUGAUCUUGGGAAAAGUAUCAAUUUUAUGCCUAUUCGGUUUUCAAGACUUUGGGAAUUGGGAAACCAAGACCCAUCUCUAUGAGAUUGAAAAUGGCUGAUCAUAUCGUGAAGAGGCCCUUUGGAGUGAUUGGAGAUGUUUUGGUUCGUGUUGAUAAAUUCAUUCUUCCGGCAAAUUUAUUCAUUCUAGAUUGUGAAGUUUAUUAUGAAGUGCCGAUUAUUAUUGGUAGACACUUCCUAGCUACGGGUAAGGCUCUUUGUGAUGUUGAAGCCUAAUAACUCACUUUCCGGGUUGGUGUGAAAAAGUAGUAUUCCAUGAGUGCAAGUCCUUGCGGAAACCGAAUAGCAAUGAGGUGUGUUCUUUUGUGGACUUGGUGACCGAUGCUAUUGUUGAUAAAACAAGUGCUACAAUAAAUGUUGGUGAUAUGUUGGAGGCCGUAUUGCUCAACUUUGAUGAUGACGAAAUGGAUGGCUUCAUGAAAUGUGUUAAACUCUUUGCAACAAAUGGGGUCGUACAACUAUGCACCUCGGAAAUUGUCUUUAGAUCUUGAAAAUAGGACAACUCCUCAUAUAAAGCCUUCUAUUGAAGAGCAUCCUACCUUGGAGUUGAAGCCAUUUCCUCCAGAUCUUUUGUAUGAAUUUAUUGUUCCUUGUUCGACUUUACCGAUUAUUCUUUCCUCUUGUUUCACUAACGUGCAGAUAGAUUCCACAUUGGCGGUGCUAUAAAAGAGGAAGAAUGAUAUUGGGUGGACCUUGGCGGAUAUUCGGGGGAUAAGCCCCGCCUUUUGCAUGCAUAAGAUCAAGUUGGAGGAUGGCACCAAACCAUAUAUUGAACAUCAAAGGAGACUCAAUGAGGCUAUGCAAGAACUUGUCAAGAAAGAGAUUAUCAAGUGGUUGGAUGUCCGGGUUGUUUACCCCAUCUCUAAUAGUUCAUGGACUUCUCCGGUUCAAUGUGUCCCAAAGAAAGGGGGGAAUGAUGGUGAUCACCAAUGACAAGAAUGAGUUGAUUCCUACAAGAACAGUGACCGGUUGGAGGGCAUGUAUGGACUAUCGCAAGCUCAAUAAAUUCACAAGGAAGGAUCAUGUUUCACUUCCUUUCUUAGAUCAAAUGCUCGAUAUAUUGACCGAUCGUGCUUUCUAUUGCUUUCUUGAUGGGUACUCAGGCUACAAAAAUUCUCAUUGCUCCAGAAGAUCAAGAGAAAACAAUAUUUACAUAUCCCUAUGGUACUUUGCUUUCAAGCGGAUGCCAUUUGGAUUGUGCAAUGCACCGGCGACUUUUCAAAGGUGUAUGAUGGCUAUUUUCACUGACAUGUUGGAGGAAUACCUUGAAGUUUUCAUGGAUGACUUCUCGGUGGUUGGAGAAUCUUUUGAUGAUUCUCUUGCAAAUUUGGACAUAGUGUUAGCUAGAUGUGAAGAAACAAAUUUGGUGCUCAAUUGGGAGAAAUGUCAUUUCAUGGUCAAGGAAGGUAUUGUUCUUGGCCACAAAAUCUCAAGGAAUAAAAUUGAAGUUGACAAGGAAAAAAUUGAGAUAAUUUCUAAGAUUCCACCCCAAACUUCGGUGACGGGUAUGCGGAGUUUCUUUGGCCACGUGGGUUUUUACCAGCGCUUCAUCAAAGACUUCUCUAAGGUUGUGAACCCGUUGUGCAAGCUUCUUGAGAAGGAUGCUAAGUUUCAUCUCAAUGAUGAUUUCAUGAGAGCUUUUGAAUUGUUAAAUCUCAAGUUGACAACUACUCUCAUCAUCACCACUCCAAAUUGGAGUGUGCCUUUUGAACUCGUGUGUGAUGCAAGUGACGUAGCGAUUGGGGCUAUUUUGGGGCAACACAUCAACAAAACUUUUCAUCCAGUUUACUAUGCUAGUAAGAAUAUUAAUAGUUCCCAAGUCAACUAUAUCGUUACGGAGAAAGAGCUCCUUGCUAUUGUAUUUGCAAUUGAGAAGUUACGUUCGUACUUGAUGGGUGCAAAGGUCAUUGUCCAUAUCGAUCAUGCGGCACUUCGUUAUCUUAUUAGCAAAAAGGACUCCAAAGCUUGGUUGAUGAGAUGGGUGCUCUUGUUACAAGAAUUUGACAUUGACAUCUAAGAUAGAAAAGGGUAGUGAAAACCAAGUGGCGAACCACUUGUCUCAUUUGGAGGAAGAGGGGAGGACGUGUGAUGGCCUUGAAAUUAAUGAAUCCUUCCCCGAUGAGCAACUCUUAGCAAUUUCAAUGAAAUAGGUGCCAUGGUUCACAGAUUUAGUAAAUUUUCUUGGGUGUGGAAUCAUUUCGGAUGAGUUCUCUUCAAGCCAAAGGAAGAAGCUCAAACGGGAUUGUCAAGAUUAUUAUUGGGAUGAACCAUACAUUUUCUGAAUUUGUACGGAUGGGGUGAUUAGAAGAUGUGUACCGGAAGAAGAGCAAGGUAAAAUUCUUAGGGCUUGUCAUUCUUCGCCAUAUGGUGAUCAUCAUGGUGGAGUAAGAACGACGGCCAAAGUGCUUAGUUGUGGUUUCUAUUGGCCUACUCUUUACAAAGAAACUAGUUAGUUAGUGAAAAGAUGUGAUGAAUGUCAACGGGCCAAUGAAAUCUCAAACAAAAAUGAAAUGCCUCUCACAACCAUUUUGGAGAUUGAUAUUUUCGAUGUGUGGGGUAUUGACUUCAUGGGCCCUUUUGUGAGUUCUUGUGGAAACAACUACAUUUUGGUCGCGAUGGAUUAUGUGUCCAAAUGGGUUGAGGCCAUUGCUUUACCCAAUAAUGAGGCGAGAAGUGUGGUGGCUUUCUUGAAGAAUUAUAUUUUCACAAGGUUUGGUACUCCACGUGCAAUUAUAAGCGAUGGGGGGUCACAUUUUUUGUAACAAGACUUUCGACUCUUUACUUAGAAAGUAUGGUGUUACUCACAAAGUCACGACUCCCUAUCACCCACAAGCUAGUGGGCAAGUGGAAGUCUCCAACCGGGAGAUAAAGAGUAUUUUGUCCAAAAUGGUGAAUGCUAAUCGGACGGAUUGGUCCAAGAAUCUUGAUGAUGCAGUAUGGGCUUAUCGGACGGCUUGCAAAAUACAUAUCAGAAUGUCGCCAUACCGGUUGGUGUUCGGAAAAUUUUGUCAUCUUUCGGUGGAACUAUAGCACAAGGCCAUGUGGGCUCUAAAAAUGUUGAAUCUUGAUUGGUAUGUAGCCACUAACUUGAGGGUUGUACAUUUGAAUGAAUUGGAUGAAUUCCGGUACCACGCUUAUGCGAGUUCGUCCUUGUACAAAGAAAAUAUGAAAUAACUUCAUGACAAAUAUAUUUGGAACAAAGAGUUCAAGGUAGGCCAUCUUGUAUUGUUGUUUAACUCAAGGUUGAGGAUGUUUCCCGAGAAGCUAAAAUCCAAAGGGGUGGUCCUUUUGACAUUGUGAGUGUGACACAUUUUGGUGCAUUAGACUUGAAGAACAAAAACAAUGAAGUAUUCCGAGUCACUGGUCACCGGGUGAAGCACUACUUGGGAAAGGUUGGAGAUAGCCACGUUGUGGCAGUCAUUCAUUUCACUUGAGGGUAUUCUGCGUCGUGCCAAAAUAUUAAAUCAGGCACUUCUUGGGAGGCAACUCAUGUUUCAUUUCCUUUUUCUUUUGUAGUUAGAUGUUAUUUUUUUUCUAACUUAAUUUGAAGUGUGCAACAAGAGUGAGUGUGACUUAGAAGAAUUGUGGACGAAAAUAUGGCUAAGUGCUCAAGAGAGUGCGGACCACACAUUUUUAUGUGCCAUAGCAGAUGACCAUUUCGUCGGUACAUUUCUCUUGCGGACCGCACAUUUGAAACAUGAAAACUACCAACUCUCUGAAUUUUAAUCUUGUCAGUGCAGAGGUCGAUCUGCGACCGCACCUAAAACUGUGCAGACCGCAUAUUGGUUUUUGAGAAUAAUCACCCAGGUGGUAGGGUGCAGACCGCACAUGAAAAUGUGCGACCGCACUUGUCUCUUCUCCCUUCUCAAAUUUUUGGGUAUAAAUAGAAUAGUGGUCCUCAUCUUACACUUUUCCCUCUUUGAACAAAACACUAUUACUCUGCAAAUGUUUCUUGGAGAUUUUCCCUGUCCACACACACAGCCACCUAGAUUACUCACUCAGUGCAUUCACUAUAUCUGGUAUCCCUCAAUUUCAUGUUAAUUUUUUAAGUUAGUUUAAUUUGUCAAUUUUUUAGUUCUUUUUAGGCCAUCUGUUAUUAGAGUUCCAUUGUGUGUCCAUGUGGGGUAGAUCUGAAUUCGGUUAACUUGAUACAUGCUCUAAGGGGACUGGGUUAGUGAAAUUUCAUGCUUUUACAAUGUUGUCAUGCCUAUUUAUGCAAGAAAUUAAAACAUCUUAGACUAAAAAAAGUUAUUUGUUCGUAAUGGUUUGAAUUCUGCGGUCAUACUUGAAUUGUGCGGUCCGCAGAUAUGAAUGUUUUAGACACUUAUGUGAGGCAGGAAUCUGCAGUCGCGGGUCAAAUUGUGUGGACUGCAGAUUUUCUCUUGCAGCCACAGAUUAGGCUUUUUUCUCUGUCAUCAGAGAGUCUUCACUUUUAAGACUCCAAGGUGUAGCCUCAAGGCAAAUUGUGCGAACCGCAGAAAUCCUCUUGCUGCCGCAGUUUGACCAUUUCUCUCUCAUCAUAGAGUUCACAAAUUUGGGGCUCAGAAGUGCGGUUGUAAUCCUAAUUGUGCGAACCGCACUUCCCUUCUACGGCCGCACAACACAAAUGUGCGGACCGCGAGUUCCCAUCUACGGCCGCAGGUCAAAUUAUGUGGAGCACAUAUCCCGUAUCCUGCAGGCAUGACUCAACUGUACAACCCCAUUGUGUCCUAUGGUUUCUCCCUUACCUACAUGUCUCAUGUAUGUAUUUGAACAAUGAAUUGCAACUAAAAAUCUCCUCUACUUGAUACAGGUACUGGUUCGAUCAAGCGGACGAGGAGACACUUCAAAAGGGAGAGGUGAAUCUGAUCGAGGUUAAGUGACGAGCGCAAAACACACACUUAAAUUUUGCUCGCUAGUAAAAUAUCAUAUAGUAUAAUAUCGUAUCCACAGGGAUUGAAUUUGAAUAGUAUUGUUGUAGUUCCUAUCUUGAUUGAUAUUCAAUAUGAUCAACAAUUGAGAUUUAUAUAAUUUCUAACAAAAAUUAACUAGGACUCUAAAGCUAUUGACUAAAGACAAUUGAAACAAAGAAGGUUAUCACCGAGGGAAAAUAGGAGUUGAUAGGAUAGGUGCAAGAUAAUUGUUUGGUAUCUAACUCUAGAUAAUUCACUUCUAAUGUUCAAGUGAGUCUCUCGAAUUCACUCAAUUAUUAGUUCAAACGUUCAGAAAAAACUCCUCUCUCGAUUAAGUCUUAACCUUACGAGAUGAACCAAUUUAAGCACGUGAAGAUAUGCAAGAAUACUUAGUGGAUUGGUCAUUAGGAAACUUUCUUUCGAUUAUUCUCAUAACUAGGUUUAAUCAAUGAUUCAACUAUCCUCUUUCGAUUACUAAGAAGAAUUAAUGAACUCAACCAACAAUAUAAUGCAAAGAUAUCACAAGUUAUGCCUCUCUCGAUUACAUGAACCAGUGAAUAUAGAUUCAAUAAUUAAAUCAUCCAAAAAUGCUUCAAUACAUAAAACUAGAGUAAUAAUCGAUAAACAAUCAUCAAUACACCAAAUCCAUCAAACCCUAAAGAGAACUACUCUAUAGAUAUAAAGCAAUUCAUCACAAAUAAGUUUAAAGUAAAGGAAAACAUAAAUUCAAUCCAAACUCGGGUAUUGAGUGAGGAAGUAAUGAUGAAAUCCUUGUGCUCGUGUUUUUCCAACUCCUCCUUAGACUCCUUAGGUCGAAUAUGUGUCAAAAGUUCAGAAAAUAAAUGUUUUCCAUGUAAUUAUAUCAAGUAGGGUCUGGUCCAAACGAAAUCACCUUUUCCUAGCCGAAAUAGGACAUUCACUCUGUAAAACUUGCAUAGGCGCGCCGCAUGGGCAACGCGCCAUGCAGGGCGUUAGUGGGGAAAUCCAUAGAGCUCAACAAUUCAAUAGGCAGCAAAAAUACACUGCUGCGUCGCACUAUGCCUCGCAUCCUGCGCCGCACUAGUGCAAAUUUCUCAAAGUACGGCUCAAAUCUUGUGUUUUGACAUCCAGACUUGGUCCUAGACCCCCAAACACAAUCCUGGCUUAAUCCCUUAGGCUUUUACUCAGACUUCAAAGAUCCAAUCGCUCGAAUUCAUUCCAUAACAUCUACAUAGCUCGGAAUCACUUCUACAAGGCAUAAAACACAUAAUAAGUGCAAAACACUAUCAAUUAAAACUCAAACACAAGUAAAGUGCAGUUAAUUAGAGUACAAUAAGUGACUAAAAUACGAGAUUAUAGCCUACCAUAAACACCCCACACUUAAACCAUUGCUCGUCCUCGAGCAAUCAAACUAUACUUCACAUAGACGCGACCUUUUUCAAUAACUCAUAACUCAUCACACCAGAAAUAUUUAAAACAGAUUAAGUACAAUACCAUAACAUCCUAGCCUCAAAAUUUUACUCAAAAGCACCACACAUUAUUUAUAACUCGCUCACUUACUCUAACACAGAGGUCAAGCAUCACCUUUCCUUCAUGAAUCAAGUGCCCUCAUACAACAAUAGAGAGUAGUUCCAUACGCAAUAAUAUUUUAGAGCAAUUAGGAACUCAAGAUAGAAAGAAUUUGCUCACUCUGAGAAACAACAUUCAUGUGCCACAAAAGACGUACCAGGCUUGCCCGUAGUGUACUGCUCUACUAAUUGAGCUCAUUCAGUCAAGGAUCAAGUAGGACUUUAUUUGGUUGUAAUGCAGGCUGCGGGACGGGUAGGAUACAUUUGGAUAUAAGAGUGACUACACCUCCCUAAUCACCUUAAUACAUACAUUGCAUUGUUCAAAACCCCACAUUUAUAUCAAACCAUAACUCCACCCUCACAUCAAUAUACAUUAACUUCCUACUUCUUUAAACACAAGUACAUCAAGAGUCACCACUAUCAACGAAUCUAAUUUUUCUUUUCUUUUCUUAUUAAAUUCAAGUGGCUCUUACUUUUUCAAAAUAGUGCACCUUUCUCUUUAUUUCAAUAGUUCCAUUCAAAAGUCAAACCAACCACCCCACACUUCAACUUUUACAAAGUUCAUAACAAAUUCAAGGUCUCACGAGAGGUAAAAGGUUCAAAUAGAUGGUCAAUUCAAACAAAUGGGUAAAGCUUGUAAUGUGGUUGCCAAAGAAACAAGAUUACAGGCUCAACGGGGUUAACUAAGAUACAUAACAAUUAGGUAGGUAAAAGCAUAUAGUUGGCUCAACAAAGAAAUGCCUAUAUCACUUCCAAGACUGAAUAAAACUACUAUUUCACUUUGCAAACACACGGGGCAAGUUCGAGACAUCAAAUGCAAUGCACAAAAUAACACAAAACCUCACACACACCUAGCACAUAACUCACUCAAGAUUGGAUUAUCAAGACACUCUAGUCAAAGAAGUUAAGAAAAGUUAAGAUCAUGCAAUUUAAGGUACUUAUACAAUAGUAAAAAUCUGAGCCAAAGCAUCACAACUAAAGCACUUACUAUUCUCAAGGUAUGAUAAAGUCAAGAUAUAUUGCCGUCCAUCUAAACCAUAGCACAAGGUUUGCUACUCCUAACAAAAAUAAAAACUAAUUACACCUGAUUCACACAAAACACUUAGAAACGAACCGCGACACAAAGAAAAACCAAUUGUGCCUUGUUACACUACCUAACAAAAGAUAAUCUUUUUUUCGUUUUUCCUUUGACUUUAAUCCCUCCAAAAAACUGUUGAAUGAUAUCCAUCAUCGGAAAAAAACAAAAAUAUUCCAAUUUUUAUGGGUUUUUCAAUUUUUUUCUAUCUCUAACUACUAAAACUAACAAAACAAAAAAAAAACUAAUAUACAAACGUACUGUCACGACCCAAAAUCUCACCCGUUGUGAUGGUGCCUAUCUCAAUACUAGGAAAGCCGACAAUCUCAAUUAACCACAUAUCUUUUAAAUUUGAAAACACAAUAAUUAAAUUCAGCAGAAGAAAUCUCACAAGUACAAAUAUAAACACUCCAAAAACCCGGUGUCACUGAGUACAUGAGAAUCUAAUAUGAAUACAAGUCUGGAAAACACAGUCUAUAAUAGUCUAAGACCAAAUACAGUAUAUAAGGAGAUAGGAAAGGAGAGACAAGGUCUCUGAAACACAACAGCUACCUCUGAAUCUCCGAAAAAUUAAUUGUGCGAAAGAAUCAAUACCCACUAUGUCCGGGAACACCUGGAUCUGCACAAGAAGUAGAGGGUGUAGUAUGAGUAUAACCAACUUAACAAGUAAUAAUACUAAAUAGGUACCUGCACUCACUGGGGUGUGUACAGACUCCAGAGGGGCUCCUACAACCCAAGCGCUAUAAUACGCACGGAUAACUCGCGUGUUUCACGGACAACUCACGUGCUAUAGUAUAAUAUAUGAAUCCGCACAGACAACUCACGUAUUGCACGGAUAACUCACGUGCUAUAGUAUAAUAUCUCACAAUCAGGCCCUCGGCCCCACUCAGUCAUAAAUCUCUCUAGUCUCUCGGACUCUUAAUAAUCAUGAAAAUCAGCCCAAACAACAAUGAUAUGAUGCAUCAAUAAUGGAUAAUAGAGACUGAGAUAAAAUAAAUAAGUAAACUGUGACUGAGUACAAAAUAAUAAUUUAGCAGAUAGUUCAACAUGUACACGACCUAUGUGGGUCCCUACAGAGCCAACACAUAAUCUAAACAUGAUCUGUAGUUCAAUUUCUCUACUACAUGAAGAAUGUAUAGAUAACAACAGAUUAUUCAACUACAAAGUUCCACGAAAUUUGACCAAGUCACAAUUCCUACGGUGCACGCCAACACGUCCGUCAACCUAGCAUAUGCAUCACCUCAAAACCGAUCACAUAACACAAAAUCUGGGGUUUCAUACCCUAAGGACCAAAUAUAGAACUGUUAGUUACGGAAAACUGUAAAAUUCUCUAUUCUUCUAUGCCCUUGCCUCGCGAAUCAGCCUCCAAAUGCCUCGAAUCUAGUCACAAAUAAUUUGAUUCAAUCAAUACAAAUUAUGGGAAUUAAUUCCAUAUGAAAAUACUAAUUUUCCAACAAACAUCCGAAAUUGCACUCAAAAUCUCCUGUGGGGCCCACAUCUCGGAACCCGACAAAAGUUACGGAAUAUGAACGCCCAUCCAACCACGAGUCCAACCAUACAAAUUUCACUGAAUUCUGUCAUCAACUCAACCCUCAAAUCUUCAUCUAAAGUCUUUGAAGAUUUCUACCAUUUUCAACCCAGUACUUACCCAUUUGAACUCAAUAAUCUUGCUACAAGCCUUAUUAAUCCCCCAUCUUUUACUCCAAACUCGAAAUUGAAGAAUUGGGAAAAGAAAUUAUUACCUCUUUGAAGCCCUAGCAAGAACCUUGUGAAAUCUUCAAGCUUUGAAUAAGAAUUGAUGAACAAUUGACUAGGUCUUCACUUUCUCUCUCUAAGAUUCUCUCACCACUGUCUAAAAUAUCAGUUUUUUUGCUCCAAAAGAGUCCCUUUGCCUCAAUAUAUCGAAAUAGGGUUGGGUAAAAAAUUAGAAAAAUUGAAGCCCCGACGUAGAUCUGCGGUCGCAUAUGUGACCGCAUAAUGCUUCUGCGGUCCGCAUAAUGGGCCGCAUAAUUGCCCUCUGGAACUGGGCGAAACUGACUCAGACUGCGGUCAACAUUUUCAACUUAAGUUCUAAACCUUGUAACUAAGUGUUCCAAAUCAUUCCCAAAUCUCACCGGACCCGAACUAAUCACCCUGGCAAGUCACAUAACAACUGUAAAACAUAAAUUGAGCAGUAAAUGGGGGAACGGGGUUGUAAUACUCAAAAUGAACGGCCGGGUCGUUACAUUCUCCCCCUCUUAAACAAACGUUCGUCCUCGAAUGGGUUUAGAAUUAUACCUGGAGUCUCAAAUAGGUGUGGAUAUUUGCUCCGCAUCUCCCGCUCAGUCUCCCAAGUAGCUUCUCCGACUGGCUGUCCUCUCCACUGCACUUUCACUGAAGCUAUGUUCUUUGAUCUCAACAUUCGAACCUGCCGGUCUAAAAUGUCCACUGACUCCACAUCAUAAGUCAAAUUACCAUCCAAAUGCACUGUGCUGAAAUCCAAAACAUGAGAUGGAUCCUCGACAUACUUCCGGAGCAUAGAUAUAUGAAACUCUUGAUGAACACUCGAUAGACUAGGCCACAAUACAAGUUCAUAAGCCACAUCUCCAAUCUUCUUAAGCACCUCAAACGGCCCAAUAUAUUGAGGGCUCAACUUGCGCUUCUUCCCGAACCUCAACACACCCUUCAUGGGCAAAAACUCGAGUAGAACCUUCUCCCCAACCAUGUAAGCAACAUCACAGACAUUCCGGUCGACAUAACUCUUAUGUCUAGACUACACCGUGCGAAGCCGCUCCUGAAUCAAUUUAACCUUCUCCAAAGCAUCCUGAACCAAAUCAGUACCCAAAAGCCUAGUCUCACCCGGCUCAAACCAACCCACCGGAGACCGACACCGUCUCCCAUAUAAAGCCUCAUAUAGAGCCAUCUGAAUGUUCGAUUGGUAUCUGUUAUUGUAAGCAAACUCUACUAGUGGCAGAAAUUGAUCCCAAGAACCCCCAAAAUCUGUAACACAAACGCGUAGCAUAUCUUCCAAUAUAUGAAUAGUGCGCUCAGACUGUCCCUCCAUCUGAGGGUGAAAUGUUGUACUCAGCUGAAUUUGUGUACCUAAUUCUCGUUGUACUGCUCUCCAAAACUGUGAUGUGAACUGCGUACCCCGAUCUGAAAUGAUGGACACUGGCACACCGUGCAGACGAACAAUCUAAUGGAUAUAAAUCUCAGCCAAUUGCUCCGAAGAAUAAGUAGUACCAACUAGAAUAAAAUACACAGACUUGGUCAACCGAUCUAUAGUCACCCAAACAACAUCAAACUUUCUCAAAGUCCGUGGGAGCCCAACUACAAAGUCCAUGGUAAUACGCUCCCACUUCCACUUCGGAAUUUCAAGUCUCUGAAGCAAUCUUCCCGGUCUCUGAUGCUCAUACUUCAGCUAUUGACAAUUUAAACACCGAGCUACAAACCCAACUAUAUCUUUCUUCAUUCGCCUCUACCAAUAGUGCUGCCUAAAAUCCUGAUAUAUCUUUGCGGCACCCGGAUGAAUGGAGUACUGCAAACUGUGAGCCUACUCGAGAAUCAACUCACGCAAACCAUCUACAUAAGGCACAUAUAGCCUACCCUGCAUCCGUAAUACACCGUCACCCCCAAUAGUGACUUCCUUGGCAUAACCGUACUGAACCGUGUCCUUAAGGACAAACAUAUGAGGGUGAUCAUAUUGACGUUCUCUAAUACGAUCAUAAAGAGAAGACUGAGAAACCACACAAGCUAAAACUCGGCUUAGCUCAGAAACAUCCAAUCAGACAAACUGGUUGGCCAAGGCCUGAACAUCCUAGGCUAAAGGCCUCUCUGCUACGGGUAAGUAUGCUAAGCUGUCCAAACUCUCCGCCUUACGACUCAUGGUAUCGGCCACCACAUUGGCCUUUCCGGGAUGAUAGAGAAUGGUCUGCACGAAAUACAUUCGGAAAGUCUCGCACUACCGGUACUGAAUCAAUAGUAGAGGUAUCUGCAUCAACGUUUAUCACAAAGGCCAAAUAUGACAUACACCCCUUCCCCGCCAUAUGUUAGGCUUUAAAAUAAGAAAUUACCAUGCUGGGAACAUAAUCUAGAGAACCUCUCCAUUCGACCUUUGGUAACCCCAGCAUUGCCAAUGUCACAGUUUUUGCGUGACAGUCUAGAAUAGCAUGAUAUGGAGACAACCAAUCCAUACCCAGGAUUACAUCAAAAUCAACCGUACUAAGCAAUAAGAGAUCAACUCUAGUUUGCAUUCCCCCAAUAGUUACCACACACGACCGAUACACACGGUCCACCAUAAUAGUAUCGCCCACCGGCGUAGAUACACAUACAGGUGAAACUAAGGACUCACGGGGCAUAUCAAGAUAAUGAGCAAAAUACGAUAGUACAUACGAAUAAGUAGAACCAGGGUCAAAUAAUAUAGAUGCCUCCAUGUGGCACACUGAGACAGUACCCGUGAUCACUGCAUCUGAGGCAACGACAUCUGGCCUGGCGGGAAAAGCAUAGAAUCGUGCUUGACCGCCACCUGAUCGGCCUCCCUCUCUUGGGCGACCCCUAACUGGCUGAGCCCCACCCCGAGCUGGCUGGGCGGGUGGUGUAACUGCUGGUGUUGGUGCCGUCGUCCAAGAACUCUGUUGUGGAGCCCCACUCAACAGCGUAGAAAAAUCUCUCUUGAAAUGACAAAAUUCUCCGCACUCGAAACAACCCCUCCUCUGACGGAACUGCUGCUCAUGAUAACCCGAGGAAUUAUCUAUCGAAUCCUGGGCGGACGAGGCAUGAUGAGAACUCUGUGCUCGUAGUUCACUAAAUGAAGACUGGCCUGAGUGAGAACAGUAAGAACUGUGGCUAGCUGAUGCACCACGAUGAGCUGGACGAGUCGUCUGAGUGGGCCUAUAAGGGCGACCCCUGCUGUGGUAGAACUGUCCCCCAGAAGGUAUCCCACCAAAACCUCCUAAACCACGAGGCCUCUUGGCCUCCCUGUGACCACGCUCCUGGCUACGGACCACCUCAUCAAAAGUGGCACCAGAUACCCUCUCCCUAGUCAUAAGAAACUGUAGUUGAUAUGUUACGACAACAAUGAACCUCCCAAUCCUCGCCCUAUCAGUGGGAACCAACCAAACUGCAAGACGAGCCAAUUCAGAAAACCUUAUCUCGUACUGGGUCACAAACAUGCCAUCCUAUCAAAGCUGCUCAAAUUAUCUGCACAGCUCCUCCCUAUGAGACUGCGGCACGAACUUCUCCAAAAUGAAAAUAGAGAACUCAUACCAUGUAAGUGGUACUGCACCAACCGGCCUGCGCCUCUCAUAAGCCUCCCACCAUCUGAAGGCAGCCCCAGAAAACUGAAAAGUAGUGAACGAGACGCCCACUGGUCUCCAAAAUACCCGUUGUCCGAAGCAUCUGCUGGCUUUUAUCCAGAAAACCCUGAGCAUCUCUAACUCAGCACCGCUAAAUGAUGGAGGUCGAAGCCUCCCAAAUCUCUCAAGUCUCCUCUGCUCAUCAUCUUCCAUAACUGGACUAUCGGGGCCUGAGCAGCUGUAAUCGACUGGGCUGGUAGUGCCCCAGGUAUUUGAAAUCCCUGCGCCACCUGCUCUGGAGUACGGGAAACAGGGGUAUGAGUACCUCCCCCAGCCUGAGAAGUGGUUGGUGCGGCCUGAGCCAAAACCACUUGAGCAAGGCCAGUGUAAACUAUCAAUAUCUGAGCCAAUGCCUCUUGUAGGCCUGGAAUCACAUUGGGCACAGCUGGUGCCUGAGCGGGUCCCGCAGGCUCAACUACAUCUAGAAUCUGCUCCUGAGCUGGAGAAACUGGUGGUGCUACAUGUGCUGCUCCAAUUGAUGUACGAGCGACACCUCAACCUCGACCUCUACCUCGGCCCCGGCCUCUCAUGGCCCUAACUGGUGGCAAUGGUUGCUCACCGUCCAAUCCGGUAGUACGUGUUCUCACCAUCUGUGAGAGAAUAGAAUAACAUAAUUUUAGUUUUCUAGAAUCAACAAGUUUGCACGACCGAAUAUAGGAAAGUUAAAUUUUCCUAAGGAUUCGACAGCCUCUCGAAAAUAAGUACGGCCGUCUGCGUACCGAUCCGUAAGACUCUACUAAACCAACUCAUGAGUCAUGAGACCUAUGUAACCUAGGCUUUGAUACUAACUUGUCAUGACCCAAAAUCUCACCCGUCGUGAUGGCACCUAUCUCAAUACUAGGCAAGCUGAUAAUCUCAAUAAAUCACAUAUCUUUUAAAUUUGAAAAUACAAUAAUUAAAUUCAGCGGAAGAAAUCUCACAAGUAUAAAUAUAAACACUCCCAAAACCCAGUGUCACUGAGUACAUGAGCAUCUAAUAUGAAUACUAGUCUGGAAAAUAUGGUUUAUAAUAGUCUGAGACCAAAUACAAUAAACAAGGAGAUAGGGAAGGAGAGACAAGGUCUGGGAAACAUGGCAGCUACCUCUAAAUCUUUGGAAAAUCAACUGUGUGAAGGAAUCAACACCCACUAUGUCCGGGAACACCUGGAUCUGCACACAAAGUGCAGGGUGUAGUAUGAGUAGAACUAACUCAGCAAGUAACAAUACUAAAUAAAGAACUGACAGUAGUGACGAGCUUCACAGCUGAGUCCAAUUAUAGUAAUUUCCAACAUAAUAAGGUAGGCAUGCCUUCAAGUUCAACAUUUAAGACCAAAAAAUUAAUUUCAUGACAGUGAUAUCUCUCAGAAAUUUCAUGAAAUCAAUUGCAUCCUCUCAGGACCACAGUCACUUAGCCAUUCCAUCCGCUCAGCACUCGCACUCAGUAGGUACCUGCGCUCACUAGGGUAUGUACAGACUCCAGAGGGGCUCCUACAGCCUAAGCGCUAUAAUCCGCACAGACAACUAACGUGUUAUAGUAUAAUAUCUCACAAUCAGGCCCUCGGUCUCACUCAGUCAUAAAUCUCUUCAGUCUCUCGGGCUCCUAAUAAACAUGAAAAUCAGCCCAAACAACAAUGAUAUGAUGCAUUAAUAAUGGCAAUAGAGACUGAGAUAAAAUAAACAAGUAAACUGUGACUGGGUACAAAAUAAGAAUUUAGCAGAUAGUUCAGCAUGUACUUGACCUAUGUGGGUCCCUACAGAACCAACACAUAAUCUAAAGAUGAUUUGUGGUUCAAUUUCUCUACUGCAUGGAGAAUGUACAGAUAACAACAGAUUAUUCAACUACACAGUUCCACGAAAUUUAACCAAUUCAUAAUUCCUACGGUGCAUGCCAACACGCCCGUCACCUAGCAUGUGCGUCACCUCAAAACCGAUCACAUAGCACAAACUUCGGGGUUUCAUACCCUCAGGACCAAAUUUAGAACUGUUAGUUACCGCAAACCGUGAAAUUCUCUAUUCUGCUAUGCCCUUGCCUCAUGAAUCGGCCUCCAAACGCCUCGAAUCUAGUCACAAAUAAUUCGAUUCAAUCAAUACAAAUUAUGAGAAUUAAUUCCAUAUGAAAAUACUAAUUUUCCAACAAAAAUCCGAAAUUGCACUCAAAAUCACCCGUGGGGACCAUGUCUUGGAACCCGACAAAAGUUACGGAAUAUGAAUGCCCAUCCAACCACGAGUCCAACCAUACAAAUUUCACCAAAUCCUGUCAUCAACUCGACCCUCAAAUCUUCAUCUAAAGUCUUCAAAGAUUUCUACCAUUUUCAACCCAAUCCUUACCCAUUUGAACUCAACAAUCUUGCUACAAACUUUAUUGGUACAAGCAUGAAUAAAUAAUACUUGUACACUCAAGAAUUAUACUCUUAAUCUGCCAUCUUUUACUCCAAACUCAAAAUUGACGAAUUGGGGAGAAAAAUUCUUACCUCUUUGAAGCCCUAGCAAGACCCUUGUGAAAUCUUCAAGCCUUGAACAAGAAUUGAUGAACAAUUGACUAGGUAUUCACUUUCUCUCUCUAAGAUUCUCUCACCACUCUCUAAAAUAUCAGAUAUUUGUUCCAAAAGAGUCCCUUUGCCUCAAUAUAUCGAAAUAGGGUCGGGUAAAAAAUUAGAAAAAUAGAAGCCCCAACAUAGAUCUGCGAUCGCAUAAUGCUUCUGCGGUCCGCAUAAUGCGCCGCAAACCUGAUCCCUAAAACUUGCCUUAACUGCUUCAUUCUGCAACCAUUAUGCGGUCCGCAGAGUGAUUCUGCGGCCGCAUAGUGGGAAGCAUAAAUGUAUUUUCCUGCUCGAAAUUUUCUUUUACUCACCAGCGCUGAAAUGUAUUUUCCUGUCCGAAAGUUUCUUUUACUCGCAAGCUGGCCGCGAGAAAUUUCUACAACCUUAGUAAUAAUUAAUCUACCUCGGUACCACAAAACCUUAAUUUCCUUAGCAAACAUUCUCUAGGGUCGUUACAUAUAAGUCAACCUCCGGUCAACCUUUUCAACUUAAGUUCUAAACCUUGGAACUAAGUAUUCCAAAUCAUUCCAAAACCUCAGCGGACCCGAACUAAUCACCCUGGCAAGUCACAUAACAACUAUAAAGCAUAAAUUGAGCAGUAAAUGGGGGAACAUGGUUGUAAUACUCAAGUUGUGGCAUGUGCCCAUGACACACAAUUGUCCCCGGCCGGGUCGUUACACAUACAUACAACAUAUCCCCCACCCCACACUUUAAGUUAUGGUAUGUCCCCAUGACACACAAUUAAAAAUCAUAAGGUAAAGGAAACUUCCCUUGCUCACUGUAGCCUUCUCUCUUGAGCCCUUCACUUUCCACUCAACACUUGUAGUUGGUUUGUCCUUUUGUGUCCCCUUUGCUAUAUUCAUCUCAAAAAUCACAAUAUCCUCACCCACUCUAAGCAUGAGUAUUUUCUCGUGUAUAUCCAAUAUAGCUCUACCCGUUGCUAAGAAUGGUCUUCCUAGGAUGAGGGGGACCUCGUUUUCCUCCAUUUUCACCAAUAUAAAUUCUACAGUAAAUACGAACUUAUCCACUCGAACUAACACAUCUUCUACUAUCCCCUCGAGUAUUAAAGUCAUUUGGUCUGCCAGUUGUAAAGAUAUUGGCAUCGACCUUAUCUCUCCAAUAUCCUUCUCCAGUUUCCUGUAAAUAGAUAGAGGCAUUAAACUAAUUGAGGCACCAGAAUCACAUAAGGAUUUAUCAAACUUAAUAGUGCCUAAAGAGCAAGGUAUAGUAAAACUCCUUGGAUCUCCACACUUUUGUGGGAGUUUGUUUUGCAAUAUCGCGCUUCAAUGCUCUGUGAGCUUCACCAGUGAAGUAUCCUCUAUCUUCCUCUUCUUUAUAAGGAUCUCAUUCAUGAAUUUGGCGUAAGCAUGCAUUUGUGAGAGCACUUCUAUGAAUGGAAAAUUUACAUGAACCUAUUUUAGCACAUCUAGAAAUCUCCUAAACUGCUUGUCCAGCUUUUCUCUAUAUAGCUUUUGAGGAAAAGGUAAAGCAGGCAUAUGCUCGCUCUCAUCAUGUUCCUCCCUUCUUAAUUUUUCUUCCAUCUUAUUCUUCUCAGUUUUCAUCGAGCCUUUCUUAUUUUUAUCAAUAUCAUUCUUCAGCUACUCCCCACUUUCGUUUUCAUGUAUCGCAUCCUUUUGGAUCGGGGUGGGAUCUUUCAACACUUGCCCACUUCUCACAUUUACAGCAUUCACUGUUUCUUUAGGAUUUCUCUCAAUAUCAGUGGGGAGAGUUCCUGGAUCCCUCUUAGAUAAUAUUGUUGCAAUCUGCCUAACUUGUCUCUCCAGGUUCCGAAAAGAUGUGCCCAACUCUUUGAUAGCUACUCCAUGAGCGUCCAGCCUCUCAUCUGUCUUGAUAAUGAAGGCCUUUAAUAGAUCCUCUAGACCUGACUGAAUGGGAUGUUGAGGCUGAAAUUAUUGCCUCUACUGAUUUUAGUAUGCUGGAGCUCCUUGUCCCUGCAGUCUAGAGUUAUUUUGUUACCAAGCAUUCACGGUACCUCCAGGUGAACUCCAUGAAAAUUCGGGGUGCCUCUAACCCAUUGUAUUGAAACUGUAGUUUCCCACAACAUUUACUUUCUCAGUUGAGGCUUGACACUCAUGAAUAGGGUGUCCUCUUCCACAUAUAUCACAAACUAUAUGAGGCUCAUUUUGUAUCGAGGCUAAGGUCAGCUUCCGUAUUUCUUAGCCAUAGCAUCCAGUUGUACCUGCAUAGAUGUAUUAGCAACAACUUGGUGAAUACUAGUUGUUCUUCUUCUUUCAACACUCUCAGAGGGCCACUGAUUUGCAUCUUUAGAUAACUCAUCAAGAAUUAUAACUAUCUCCUCUGGAGUCUUCUUCAUCAAUGGGCCUCCAGCUGCAUUGCUCAAUGUUCUACGUGAGGCUGGUGUCAAUCCAUCCCUAAAGUCCUAGAGUUGCAUUCAGAGUCCAAUUCUGCUAUGUUGAUGCUUUCGAAUAAUCUCUUUAAACCUCUCCCAUGCUUCAAAAAUAGUUUCCGUAUCAAUCUGGUAGAAGUUAUGGAUUUAUCUUCUAAACUUGCUCGUUUUAGUAGAGGAGAAAUAUUUAUCAAGGAAUUUUCUAGUCAUCUUCUCCCAAGUUCUAAUGGAUCCCGUGGGUAAGCUUCGAAGCCACUGUUUUGCAUCAUCUUUGAGUGUAAAGGGGAAUGCCCUCAAGUACACUGCAUCUCGUGAUACACCAUUGUAUUGAAAGGUGUUCAUAAUCUCUUCGAAGUCCAUCAUAUGUGUAUUUGGAUCUUCGUUCAUCUUCCCUAUGAGGACACAACAAUUUUGAAGGGUUUGAAGCAACCCUUGCUUCAACUCGAAAUUAUUUGCUGUAAUUGGAGGUGGUCUCACACUUGAUAAUCCUUGAUUGUAGACCAGUCUAAUAUAAUCACCAAGAGGUCUUCCUUGUAUGGGAGCUAUAUUUUCGAACUGGUCCGCACCCAAAGGUUGAUUUUGAGCAAUUCUCUGACCCCUUACUUCUCCAUAGAUAAUUUGUGCAUCUCUGAUAGUUUCUUCCUCAGCAUCCCGUGCAACUUGUUAUCUUUGUUAGGUUGCCUCUCUUGCAUCCAAAUCUAUAUUAUCAUCACCGUUUCCAGCCAUAAGUUCUUUGGUCGAGGAUUGCCCAACCUUUUCUGAUGUCUCGGUGAGAUUUCUCUCCUUCCUCAAUUGUCGCAGUUGUUUUUCUACCUUUGGCUCGUAUGGUAGAACUUCUUUAGCAGAAGCUCGAGUCAUGUACCAAUCUAAACCUGUAACCUGCACACAGUCAAAGAACACCAACCGUAAAAAGAGAAAAAUAAAAUUAAAUAAAAAGAACAAAAUCAUGAAUUAGCACUACAAACUAUUUCAAAUGCACACUAUUAAUCCAAUAGCACAUACAGGGAACCAGGAAAAAAUAAAAGCACAACACUUUGGUUCUGAGGGAAAUCACCCAGUCAAAUACCAUGCUCAAGUUGUUAUUGAGGGGGGAAUGGUGAGGCUGGUUUUUACUAACAUGGUUUGUUCUUUUGCAGGAAACGAUAGUGUACUCAUCCCUUGCCAUUUACUAUGACUUCCAUGGGUGGUUGUAGCACUAUGUGCUCAUUCCCUAUAAGGAGGAGUGAUGGCAAGCACAAGCAUGGGAACGAAAUAUAACGGCAAAAAGCUAAGAAAUCGCCAAUACAGUGGCUAUUUUUGGCGAAGAUUUCUGGGCAAUUUGGAAACAAAGUAGAACAAAAUAUCAGUGCAACACUAUAAUACAAUAGCUCAUAAUCCAAAACUUGCAAAGAUAUCAAUAAGAUUCACAAGGCAAGCACACGAAAUUGUAGGCAAAAUCUGGACUGCUGAGCACUUUUGGACAGUACACUCGCGAGGGCUCUUUUAGCGAAAUAUUUCGGGCACAAUGGGUAUAAAAUGGGCUAAAUUAUUGAUGCAGCAUGGGAGAAGGAAAACCAAGAUCGAAUUCAUUCAAAGGUUUCAAGAGAUAAUAGAGGGAGGUCACGCAAAAAAGAUCGCAAACAUAGUGCACUUGCAAGUUUCUGGGCAGAGCACAUGCUUAAAAUUUUGCGAGCCUCGGGUAAUUUUUGUAGAUGUUGUAAUGACACUUUAUGGAGCAUGCAUGGACAAACAAUUCAAAUGAUGCUACAACACCAAUGGAGGGUGGCUCACAUCACCAUUUUUUGGGCAGUGUCUAUUUUUUGGCAAAUGGAAAUUGGCUAUUUGUGCAAGCAGCGUAACUGAGUAGUGGCUUUCAAUGAAUAUGGCUAUUUUUGCAAACAUCGGAUCUUGCAACUGGACGCUAAAUAUAAUGAGCUUCAAGGGCUAGAUCUUAAGUAUAAAAGCUACAUUAGAUUUCAUGUGCUAUCAUUGUUGAGCAUUUUACUCAACUUUGAUAAUAGGCUAUAUGUAGUUUGCAAAGUUUAUUUCUUUCAUUUCUUAGGAUUUCAUGAUACUUNNNNNNNNNNNNNNNNNNNNNNNNNNNNNNNNNNNNNNNNNNNNNNNNNNNNNNNNNNNNNNNNNNNNNNNNNNNNNNNNNNNNNNNNNNNNNNNNNNNNNNNNNNNNNNNNNNNNNNNNNNNNNNNNNNNNNNNNNNNNNNNNNNNNNNNNNNNNNNNNNNNNNNNNNNNNNNNNNNNNNNNNNNNNNNNNNNNNNNNNNNNNNNNNNNNNNNNNNNNNNNNNNNNNNNNNNNNNNNNNNNNNNNNNNNNNNNNNNNNNNNNNNNNNNNNNNNNNNNNNNNNNNNNNNNNNNNNNNNNNNNNNNNNNNNNNNNNNNNNNNNNNNNNNNNNNNNNNNNNNNNNNNNNNNNNNNNNNNNNNNNNNNNNNNNNNNNNNNNNNNNNNNNNNNNNNNNNNNNNNNNNNNNNNNNNNNNNNNNNNNNNNNNNNNNNNNNNNNNNNNNNNNNNNNNNNNNNNNNNNNNNNNNNNNNNNNNNNNNNNNNNNNNNNNNNNNNNNNNNNNNNNNNNNNNNNNNNNNNNNNNNNNNNNNNNNNNNNNNNNNNNNNNNNNNNNNNNNNNNNNNNNNNNNNNNNNNNNNNNNNNNNNNNNNNNNNNNNNNNNNNNNNNNNNNNNNNNNNNNNNNNNNNNNNNNNNNNNNNNNNNNNNNNNNNNNNNNNNNNNNNNNNNNNNNNNNNNNNNNNNNNNNNNNNNNNNNNNNNNNNNNNNNNNNNNNNNNNNNNNNNNNNNNNNNNNNNNNNNNNNNNNNNNNNNNNNNNNNNNNNNNNNNNNNNNNNNNAACUCGGGUCUUGAGUGAAGAAGGAAUGAUGAAAUCCUUGUGCUCGUGUUUUUCCAUCUCCUCCUUAGCCUCCUUAGGUCGAACAUGUGUCAAAAGUGCAAAAAAUAAUAUUUUUUCCAUAUAUUUAUAUCAAGUAGGGUCGGGCCCAAACGAAAUCACCUUUACCUAGCCAAAAUAGGACAUUUACUUUGUAAAUAUUGCACAGGCGCGCUGUAUGGGGCGACGCGCCAUGCGGGGUAUUAGUGGGAAAAUCUAGAGAGAUCAACAAUUCAACAGGCAACAAAAAUACACUGUUUCAUCACACUAUGCCUCGCACCCAGCGUCGCACUAGUGCAAAUUACUCAAAGUACGGCUCAAACCUUGUGUUUUGACAUCCAGACUUGGUCCUCGACCCCCGAACACGAUCCCGGCUAAAUCCCUUGGGCUUUUACUCAAACUUUAAAGCUCAAAAUCGCUCGAAUUUAUUCCAUAACAUCUACAUAGCUCAGAAUCACUCCUACAUGGCAUAAAACACACAAUAAGUGCAAAAACACUAUCAAUUAAAGAUCAAACACAAGUAAAUUGCAGUUAAAUAGAGUGUAAUAAGCAACUAAAAUACGAGAUUAUAGCCUACCAUCAUCGAGGAAAAAGUACCUUGCCCUUUGUCCAGCCCAAGACAAUAAGAAAGAAAAUAAUAGUCGGCAGAGGGAGAGGUGCAGACCUCUCUGAGUCUAUCUCCUAUAUCCCAUCUAGGGAGGUGUCAGAGGGAAACUCAGCCUUUAUUCAAGAGGAGUAGACGGCCACCCAGUCGAGGCCGCAGUGGUGAUACCAGCUCAGGGAUGAUCCGUCUUCAUGUCACAGCACCUACGAGAGGUCGGAGAGUGCUAAUCAGGCUUCUUAGCCAUCGGCUACACCAGUCCCUGAGGCACAGGUUACACAUGAUAUCCCCGAUGAUGGCAGAGGGGGAGAUGCUACAACUACAGGGCUUGAGAGAUCAAAGAAGAAAGAGGUUUGGGAGGAUUGCUUUGUUUGCUUGGCCGCUUUUACCAGUUUCCGUAUGUGGUGGCCAGUGAGCUCGCUAACUCUUGAGCGACAGUUUCUGUUAAAUGAUUUGGAGAAAUACAACCCAACUAUAUUGAGACAGUUCAUGGCACGAAAGGGGUGGAUGUGGUUCACCGAGAAAGUAGACGAUGCCAAAUAAUACCUUGUUUGAUAAUUAUAUGCCAAUGUGGCUCAUAUAAAGAAAGGUACGAAGGUGACCAAAGUACGCAACCUCAAGGUGAGAUUUGAUCAGCAUACGCUAAAUACGUAUUUGGGCUUCAAAGAUUUUGAGCUGAAGGAAUAUCUGGAGAAGUGCGCACUAAAGGAUGAAGUCCGACCUUGGUUGGCUAAGAUUCUAGCACCACCAGGGCCACCGCCACCAUGGAUCACUGCUGGGGUUCCCAUCCACCGGAACACCCUAAGUUUUGAGGCAAAGAGGUGGCAAACCUUUGUCUACAACAGACUAGAUCCAAGCCAGAACCAGAUUCACCUCCCUAUCCCUCGAGCAGUGCUUGUGGCUUCCAUCAUGGUCAGCUACCCAAUCAAUGUGGGUGUCAUGAUGUCGGCCAACAUUUUAGUGAUUGCACGGUAGGACAGCUCAUCCUACCCUUAUCCCAUCACUAUCACAGAGUACCUCACCUAUGCAAAGGUAGAGCCGAGGGAUUUUGACACCAAGGUGAAACCAAAGAAACCAUUCGACUGGUAUUCUCUGAUGGAUGCGAGCAACCCAAAGAAGAAAGCACAGCCUUCUACCACCGUAGGCCAGUCUAAUGAGCUAAUAGUGGUAGCUUCUGAGGCAGUUGAUCUUCCAUCCACCUCUGCUAAGCCUUCUACCAGUGCCACUGCUAUGACUCCACCAUCAUCUUCAACUCCCAUAUCUGCUCUGCUAGUCUCCCAAACAUUGGCGAGUCUCAACAACUGGAUGCAGAUAGCUACUUCUAAGUUGUCUGACUUAUCUAGUACUGUUACAAUGCAGUCCACUUCUCAGGCACCAUAGUCUCCUUCUGACAUUGAUGAUACAGUGAAGAAAAUUUUGGAGAACCAGAAGACGAUCAUGGAUAACUUGGUAUGACACUGGUCAGUGAUUAAGAAGUUGGGAAAGGAAGUAAAGAAGAGGAGGAAGUCCUAGGUCAGCAAGAAAUCAGUGGAAAAGCUCUGUAAGGAGGUGACUAGACUUGCUAUAGCUGGCGACCUUCUCUUUGACAUGCUGCUUGACCCGCACCAGUUCGCCCCAGAUCCUUCAACACCAUCUGCAUCGGUAGCACCAACUGGCCAGUCUGACGAUCCAGACCAUGAUGCAGACACUAUUGAGGCAAUGCAUGAGAUGUUCGCCAACCCAGCCAUACCUAGAUUUGAUGAUGAUGUGACUCAGUUGGCUGAUCCUGAGGGAGAUGACAUUGUCAGGGACACUGAGAUGUCCAAGGAUCCAUAGGGAGUUUUUUUCACCCUCUCAUUUUUUUACUCUUAUUUUGCUAAGCAUUGGGGACAAUGCUUACUUUUAUUUGGGGGGUAGAGUUUAGUUGACACAUUGGUACACUUUGAUACAUUUGGUCUGUAAUAAUUUGACGAUACUCUUUCUCUUCUUAUUUGUAUUUAUCUAGCUUCUCUCUCUUCUCUUAUGUAUAUUUAUCUCUCUUUAGUAGUUUUUGCGUAUUAGCUUCUAUAUUAUUUCCAUAUUAGCUCGUGUUUUGUUAAGUAUCUUCUUUUUAUGCUUUAGUAGAUAAUAAGCCUUUGGUUUUCUUAACGCCAUGGUUCUUUCCAAAGAAAGUUGUGUGAACUGGUUUACUUGUCCCAACGAUGGAUAGCGUGACAACCUUCUUAAGGGAAUGAGUCUAUUUUUGUGUUUAGGUAAUAAUAAUAGUAGUAAUGAAUAAAAGACCAAAUCUAGUCGUGCUCAAAGAGUCAAUCAUGCUUCAAUUGGUACCAACACACUUAACUACAUGUUUAUGGUUAGAGACAAGGUUUUUGAAAGAAAUAGCUCUAGUUAGUGGCUUUGUGACUCUUGAGUUGACUUUGGUAAUCAUCGAGUGAUUUAAUUGGACCAUGGUGAUCUUUAAACUUAAAUGUGGUCGUUGUAGGCUCUCGACUCUAUCCUCUUUUACUAUCUAGUUGUGUGAGGGGUGAGAUGAAUUGUUGCAAGUACAAGUAUCCGUGCGAAGGGUCUAGAACCUGUCCCGAAUGUGUUUCAAGGCGAAAUCCUAAGUUUUGCUUGGUUUGAGAAGUUAUUGUAGGGUUUCCUUGGCCCGUUUGAGCUUUCUAUUACCAACCAAUAUCGUUAUCCCAAGUCAACCCAUUUGAACCUCUAGCCUUUUGUCAUUUGAUAACCAUGUUCUCUGUCUUUUCCCCGUUUUGUCGUAACCCUCUCUUGGCACCCGAACUUUUCUUAACACUCCUGUGAAACACGUAGCUUAAAACAUAAGUUUAGGGGAGAGAUGAGGAGUUUGAAAAUGUAUCGAGGCACAGAAAGAGAAAAGAAACGAUCUCCAUGAAAGAGAAGGCAAGAAAAGAUAAGAACAAAAAGAAAACUGCAGAACAUGAAUAAGUGGAAGGGUUGGUGGAUUCAAAAAAAAGAGGUAAUGAUCCCUAGCAUGAGAAAUCAAAAAAGGAUAAAAAGAAUGAAAUUAACAAAAAAAAAGAGUGACGUUAGUCCCCAAUGAAAAAAAAUGCCUCUAAGAAUUGGUAAUUGUGAUCCGAGAAAUGAAAAUGUAGAGUGCUUAAGUAAAGGUGUAACCACUUACCCAUAUGGUAUCCUACUCUAAUCCAAAAGCCAUCAUUACAACCCGAAAUAAGUCCUACUUGAUUUCAAAUUAAGUGACCAUACAUUAGUGGCAAUCUACAUGAGGGCAAGCCUAUGGUACUUGAAGCUGUACUUGUGACAUUCUCUUGUGAGAGACAGGUGAACCUUUCAUGAAUCUUAAGAUUGAGUGCUAAUUUCUUAAGUGAUCUUGGCAAAUGGAAAGUAGAGGAGGAAGUGUUUGGAGUCCACCAUGACCUACAUGAUAGAACAAGAGUCAUUGAUGAGUAAAGUCAAUUUUUGAAGCUCAAAUAUCACAUUAGAACUAUAUGUGCAUGAAUAUUUGACUUGUCACCUUGUUGAUAAUACAUGAGUAGUGUGGGUAAUUGUUGAUCCCAAAUGAUGUGUGACUAGCUCACCUUUGACUUGGUGAAAUGACCCUUAACUCUAGGAGGUGGGGACCAAUUUAUUUGCUUAAGGACAAGCAAAGACUUAAGUUUCGGAAAGUUGAUAAGUGGGAAUUUUGACUACUUAUUAGCACUUUUUUGCUUUGUUUUAGUCUGAAAGUGUUGCUUUAUGUCCCCGAAACUAAUGAAAGUGUGCAAAUUACAGGAAUGUUGGAAGCUUGUUCUCGCAUGAUGAAAUCUGACACAAAAAGGAGUGUUUCGAAUCACAAGGCAAGAAAGGGGCAUAGAACUAAAGAAGUAUGGUCCGCAGAAUUCUAUUUGCGGCCGCAGAUCAAGUGAAAGAGACCAACAAGAACUUGGCCAAUGUGCGGCCGCAGAAUAAGGUCUACACUGACAAAUGAUUCAAAGUUCAGAGAGUGUUCAAAAGACCAAGUCCUGAAGCCUUGUUGAAGUGCGGACCGCACAAGAAUUGUGCGGCCGUAGAAGAUGCUUCACAGCCGCAAUCCAUAAUUGUGCGGCUGCAGAAUCCAAGAUCUUUCCAACUGAAUAAAUCUUCGUACCGCACAUAGAAUUGUGCGGCCGCAUAGCCUCCCAAGGGGAAUUAUUGUGAGCGAAUUUUGGGCCACUAUAAAUAGACGAGUUUCACAUUUUUAGGUCAUGUUUCGAAGUUUAAACUGUUGUAGCCGUUACAUUUUUUCCAUAUUAGGAAGUUUGUGACUAUUUUAGUGUUUAAAUAUUACAUUUUAUCAUUUUAAUUUUAGAUUAUGAGUUAUAAUUAGCAUUUCUUCUUUAUUUUCUUCAAUUCUCACUAUGAGUAGCUAGAUUCUAACUAGGGUUGUGACCCAACCCUAGUGUGUAAACCUUGUGAGUAUUUAAUUUAAUGUUUGUUUAUGAUUGGGUAUUGAUUAUUUAUCUUAGUUUAUGCUCUAAUUUUAGAAUUAAUGGUUGCAAACAUUGAUUCAUGCCUUUUUGACUUAGUCUCUACUUGAGAAAGAGGGACCUAGUCUAGGAUAACUUGGCUAACAAGGAAUUGGGCUAAUUGAAGGUCUGAUUAGCCUAUUUAAAGGGUUCAAACUAGAGGUAGUGAGAACCUAACUUGAGCUCAUAUCAACUAUUUUGUUUGAUACCCAUUUGAACUUGAGAAAGCCAAAUUGGGCAAAUCACUCUUUGAUCGAGAGGUAUUGAGUAAGUAACGUAGAGUUGAGAGCUAUAAUACACCCCAAUCAACAAAAUAAGUAUUAACGUAUUUAACCCAUUAGGCGAACACCUAGGUUAUGGUCACAUCCCAAGGCUUUUUAAUUAUUUGAAAAAAAUACCAAAAACAAUCAUUCGCUUGUAGUUUCUUUUCUUAGCUUAUAAUUGCUAGAGUAAAAUUAGAAUUAGAAAUCAAAACCUUUUGUGGAAGUUAAAUUUAGUUAUUCCAUUCACUUUCGUCAAGUGUAUACUCUUAACACCCAUGUAACUCCCUAUGGAAAUGUAAUGACCCGACGGGUCAUUUUGAGUAUUACAACCUCGUUCCCCUAUUUAAUACUCAAUUUAUACUUUGCAGUUGAUAUAUGGCUUGCCAGGGUAAUUGGUUCGGGUCCGGUGAGGUUUUGAACUGAAUUGAGACACUUAGUCUCCAAGAUGAAAACUAAAGUUGAAAAGGUUGACCGGAUAUUAACUUAUGUGUAAAUAACCCCGAAAUAGAAUUUUGAUGAUUCCAAUAGCUCUGUAUGGUGAUUUUGGACUUAGGAGUAUGUCCGAAAAAAUUAUUUGGAAGUCCGUAGUUACAUUAGGCUUGAAAUGGCUAAAAUAGAAAUUUAAGUUUGGAAGUUUGACCGGGGAGUUGACUUUUUGAUAUCGGGGUCGGAAUUCGAUUCUGAAAUUUGAAUAGGUCUGUUAUGUCAUUUACGACUUAUGUGCAAUAUUUGAUGUCAAUCGGGCUUGAUUUGAUAGGUUUCGGCACUGAAUGUAGAAGUUGGAAAUUUUUAGUUUUAUUAGGCAUGAAUUGGGGUACGGUUCAUGGUUCUAGCAUUGUUUGAUGUGAUGUGAAGUUUUGACUAAGUUCGUCUGAUGUUUUAGGACUUGUUGUUGUAUUUGGUUGAGGUCCCGGGGGCUUCGGGUGAGUUUCGGAUGGUUAAACGGAUAAAAGUUGGACUUAGGACAAAGCUGGAAGUUGCUGCAUACUGAUGCAAUCGCAUCUGUGGAAUUUGGCUCGCAGGUACGAGCCCGCAGAAGCGAGCUUGGAAAGCGCAGAAGCGAGUAGGGGCCGGUGAGUCAGAGUGCAUAGGUGCAAGCAUUUUACCGCACCUGCAAGGUCGCAGGCGCGAGGAGAAAUGCGCAGAAGCGGAGGCAGCACUGUGGACGAUUGCAGAAGCGGACAUUUUUGUCGCACCUACAAGACCGCAUAUGCGGCUAUGCUGAUCGCAAGUGCGACAGGCCCUGGACAGAAUAAAUUGGAGGAGUUGCAGGAUUUUGGCAUUUUUGGACAUUUUCAACACGGUUUUGGGCAAUUUUUCAGAGAUAAUUCACGAGAAAUCUUGAGAUAAGUCACUUGUGAUCAUUUUUAGUCAAUAAUAUUGGAUUAUGAUUGAGUAUUUCGACUAGAUUACAUAUUUUUAGGUGAAAUUAGAGGAUUUGGUCCUAGAGAUUUCAAAAUAAGAAUUUGAGAUUUAGAGGUCGAGUUGAUGUCGGAAUUUGGUAAAUUUGUAUGGUUGAACUUAUGGUUGAAUGGGCGUUCAUAUUUUGUAAAUUCAUCGGGUUACGAGACGCGGGCCCCACGGGCAAUUUUUGGGUGAAAUUUUGGAAUUAAUUCCUAUAAUUUGUUUUGACUGAAUCGAAUUAUUUAUAACUAGAUUCGAGGCGUUUGGAGGCCGAUACGUGAGGCAAAGGCAUUGCAGAGUAAAGAAUUGCACGGCUUGAGGUAAGUAACACUUCAAAAUUUGGUUCUGAGGGUAUGAAUCCCUGAAUUUGGUGUUAUAUAAAUUGUUUGAAGGUGAUGCACACGAUAGUUGACGAGCGUGUGGACGUGCACCAUAGAAAUUGUGACUUGAAUAAAUUCUGUGAAGUUGUAAAAUUAAAGAAUCAUGUUAUUAUCCGAAUAUUUUCCACGUAUUAGGAAUAUUGAGCUGAGACUCGUAUUAAAGAUCAUGAUUGGGCUACGUGCCUAUAUUUUGGGACCCACAGGGUCGUAUUGCUGUUAAAUUAUUUGUUUAAAUUUAUAAUUUUGUACUCAGUCACAUCUAUCACUUGCAUAUCAUAUCUCAGUCUCUUUUAUCAUUCACUGAUACUUUAUAUCAUCAUGUCAGGUUUAUUAUUUUCAUGUCAUUGAGAACCCGAGAUACUAUAGAUUCUGAAUGAUAGUUAUGUUUAUUUAUUUAUGCCUGGAUCUGGCUAUUAUAACGCUUGGGUUGAAGGAGCCCCUCCAGAGUCUGCAUCCCCACAGUGAGUAUAGUUGNNNNNNNNNNNNNNNNNNNNNNNNNGAGGGAUGGAUCUUCCCUGGGCAUGGAUCUUACCCUAAGCAUUUAUGUUGAGGGAUAAAUUUUCCGUGGACAUGGAUCUUGCCCGAAUCAAUGAUAUUCGGGGAUGGAUCUUCCCCUGGGCUGUAUUGGCCUUAUAUAGUACUGAGUGACUAACUGACAGUUGAUAGAUAUACAUAUAUAUUUGGGAUGGAUCUUCCUUGGGCUAGAUUGGCCAUAUACAGUACUGAGUGAUUGAGUAUUUUAGAUUGUGAGUAAACGGAGUUUUCACUAAGGUGCAUCACAUACAACAUGUACAUUAGCAUGUAGAUACAGAGAUGUCAUAUUCCUCGUAUUUUCAGAAUUGAUAUGUUUUAUUUGUACUGAAAGCAACUGUUGAACUUGAAAGCAUGCCUACAUUUCUAUAUUAUUAUUACUUAUACUGGACUAUACCUGCGGAGCUCAUCACUACUUUCAGCCCAGAGGUUAGUCUUGUUACUUAUUGAGUUAGUUGUACUCAUACUACACUCUGCACCUCGUGUGUAGAUCCAGGUGCUUUCGGACACGGUGACCGUUUGAUCUCAGAGUGCUAUCAGUUGGAGACUAUCAAGGUAGUUGCCUGGAGUCCGCUAACCUUGACUCACUUUCUUUAAGUUAUUGUACUAUUCUAUACUUUCAGACAGUGUUUUGUCAGUCAGACUUUAUAUUCAUAUUAGAUGCUCGUGUACUCAGUAACACCGGGUUUUGGGAGUGUUUAUAUCUGUAUUUGUGGGUUUGUUUCGCUGAAGUUAAAUAUUAUGUUUUUCAAACUUCAAAGAUAUGGUAGUUUAUUGAUAUUUUCAUCUUGCCUAGUAUUGAGAUAGGUUCCAUUACGACAGAUGGGAUUUUGGGUCAUGACAGGAAAUCAACCCCGACUCUUGUUGGGUAUUAUUCUUCCAACGACCGUUUCCAAUCACUAUUGAGUGCGGAUUGGAUGUGGAUCAGGGGCUUGAUCUGGACAGGUUGAAGUUUUUGUAUAGUCUCAGUUAGAGGGGAUACUCUACCGAAAAUUUUAUGAAUUUAGAGAGUUAGCCAAAUUUGGGGGCCUUAAGGAAGUUGAAAUUUUGGAAGAAUAUCUAAGAUCCAUAUAAAGUCAAGAAUGAUUAAAGAUGAUGGUUAAGGUGAAAGUAGUAUAACACUGUUCCUAAUAAUGACUUGUAAAACAUUCUAGGACAAAUUUUCUUAAGUGGGGGAGAAUCUAACACUCCGUACAAUUUCGAAGUGUUUAACGGCUUUAAAGAAGAUCGGCAUGUGCUAAUUAUAUUAAUUCGCGUGUGAGCAAGGGAUAAUGAUAUAAAUGAUAUCACUUGAACAUGAUAAUAUGUGUAUGAGGUAUAUUAAAAAUGGUUUAUGGUCUAAGAAGAGCCCUUAAGCUAAGUCAAGUUGGAAAUUAUAUGAUGGGCUAAAGUUUCAAGUGGGUUCGCACAAGAUUUAACUUCAAACGAGCAUAAAUCUCAAGAUAUGAAGUGUUUUUCAUGGUGUAUGACCUAUCAUAUAAAAGUUCUAUGUGUCUACUUUCUAAUGCUUCAAACCGUUCGACAUUUGGAUAUUUCAACAAUACGUUAUGGCCUUUUUACCAUAAGGUGGUAGUACAGCUACGCAGCAGGCUACUCAACCUGCAUAGCCAAUUUAAGAUUUUGGCCAAGGGAAAGGCCUCAUGCGUAUGUUUUAUGAGUAGGCUAUACAAGGAGAACGCAAUUUUAGGGGCCAUUUUAAAGGGGAUGAAACAAAGGGUUUAGAAAGAUAAAAAGUUAGUUCUUCAACUUGAAAUUGAUUUCUAGAGAGAAUGAGGAGCUAUUCCACCAUUAAUACACUUCAAGGUAAAUUAUUUUGGUACAAGGAUGAUUAUAUUACAUCAUUUAGUGAUUAUACUAACACUAUUAUAGAUCAAAUCCAUAGAAAAUGGGUUGAAUCUUCAAGAACAUCAAAAAGAGGAAAAGUGAGAUUCUUCCACCAAGAGUUAAUCCCUUCACUUGAGCUUCAUAUAUAUGUCAUAUUGGAGAAUUGGUAGAAUCUUUAUGUGUUUUAUUUGAAGUUGUAAUGGGAUAUUGUAUGAACCCUAAGGGUGGGUCUUGAAAAUGAUAUUUUGGGCAAAGAAGAAGAUGAAUAGUGAUGAAUUGAUAUAAAUGGAAUUGUUUUGAGUUUCUAAUAAUUCCAAUAGACUUGAUAACUUAAUUGAUGAAUGAAUUGAAUAGGGAAUAACCAUUUGGACAAGAUGCAACACUAGUUCUUAAAAUGGGUGUUCUUGAACCUAGGGUUUUGUUAGAGAAAACAAUAUAUAGUGACUUAAUGAUGUUGGAUAAUUAACGUAGUGCUAUUAAUGACUCCAAAUGAGUAUUAAAUAAUAAGAAUGGAAUUGAAUAGGCUAAUGGGUGAGCCUAUUGGAUAAUUUGGGAUGGUUGAAGGCUUGUUGCCGAAUUUUGAAGCCUAAAUAAAUAUUUAUGCAUCUUUUUGUAUUUGUUUUGAUGUAGUUGGAUAUCUUAUGGUAGAUACUGAAUUGUGGGCAAUAUUGGAGCAUGAUAGUAUUUUUGGAGCUUGAAGUUUGAGGUAAGUUGAUUAAAACUUACUCUCGUGAGGGAUUCUCUUUAAAAGCAUGUCUUAAGUAGAUACAUUGUAUUAUAUGUAAGUGUGCAUCAGUACUUGCGGGGACAAGCGGGAAAGAUGUCACCAUGUGUUUUUAAAUUAUUGCUUAUGAAGUGUCGUGUAAUUUUAUAAAAAUAUUAUUUUCAAAACUUGUUGGCAAAAUGACACUUAAGAAAAUUCUUAUAAGUUAUAUUAAAACUUAUUUGUUGAUAAGAGUCUAAAAUGCUCGAAUGCUAAAGAUAUAUUUUCAUGAAAAAGUUUGUCUUUUAAAAUUUCAAAAAAGGAAGCACUUGUUGUAUCUUUAAAUUGAUGUUAAUUCCUGAAAGCUUUAACAUGAAAAAGGUUAUUCAAUUGAUUUUGUUCCAAUAGUUUGGAUUGGCUAUGAAAAUAAUGAUUUGAUAAAAAUAGAUCCCUUGAGGCAAUUAUGCUAUGAAUAUAUUUUUGAUAUGUCAAAUAUUUUGGAAGUUACUAGUGGACCACCGAGAUUGGUUCGAAUGUUGAAUUCAUUACUAUGAAACUACAUGUGCCGGUGUAGGGACACAUUCCAAGGCUAAGCCGAGGUUUGUGGGAAGAGGGCAAAUGAUCAUUACUUAAAGUAAUGAGGUUAAGUCGACUCAUACGGGACUAUGGGAAGCCGCCCAGACAAGUACGGUCAAAAACUUAUUGCUAGGAUGAUCACCUAGUAGUUGUUCAUUAUGUCGGUGUCUGUAUAGUACUCCCGGUGAAAGAUAAAAAAGAUAUUUCUAAUAUCAGGCCUAAGGAGCCGAAAAUAAUUUCAAUGACUUAAUGAGAUUAAAAUGGUUUUAUACGAUUUACUUAAUAAGAUUGAAAUGGCUUUAUAUUAUUUCUAUUAAAUAUAUUGGGUUGAUAGAGACAUUCUAAAACGUUAUACCAUGGCUUACAUUUCACUUGUCUUUUAUUUAAAAUAAUAAAGAACAUGAUUUAUAACCGUUUAUCACUUUAUGUCCAAUAUUGGUUGCAAAAGUUUUAUAAAAUCUUGUCCCACGAACUUGAGUUAGAGAGAGUCUAUGACACUUAUUGAGUACCGUUGUGGUGUACUCAGCCCUUAGGAGCCCCCUUCUAAGGCCCCACUUAAUAUAUGUUAGUCGGGCAUUAGCCCAAGAAUUUAGUUCUAUUCCUUGGUAUAGAGGCUCCAUAGUAGUUGUGAAUAAUUAUAGUAAUGGGUUUGUACGCGACAUACGUGAAAAGAUAUUUAUUUUACUUAGUUUCAUUAUUAUGAUUAUGAGAGGCUUCAUGUAUAAUUUUGAAUUGGAAAAUUGUUCCAUUGUUUAACUUGAAAAAUAUAUAAAAUUUCAAAGAGCUUCCACAGUUAAAUUGGUUUUCAUGCAUAUCGUUUGGGUGCAUCUUAUAGGUUGGUUCGCUCGGGCCAGAUAGUGUGCCGGGUGUCGGUCACGUGGAUGUGGGUCAUGACAUCCUCCUAAUGACUGUUGCUGGUACUGGAGGAAAAUAUGCACUAUACAUAACAAAUUUGCAGCUGGAUAUGUUUAGGAUGGGUGGCUAUCAGUGAAUGGACAAUACUCAUUAGGCAACGACUACAAAUAGAGACAGGGGAGUAGAGAGGGUUUGGCUGGUAUGAGAUGGGUUUGGUGUAAAUAUAACACCCCAACAUAUAGCUUCAUCUAUUGGGUAGCUAUGGACAAAAUAUUGUUAACGAUGGAUAGAUUGGCUCGAUUGGGAAUAUGCAAAGAAAACUCAUGUGCCAAAUGUGGGGAAGCCAUUGAAACAAUUGACCACCUAUAUUUUGAAUGCCCAUUCUCAAAAACAUGUACACUGGAAGUGCUGCAAUGGUUGAACAUGGGGGUCCGGCAAUGGGACUUGAAGGGUCUCUGGAGACGUAUGACUAGAAGAAUGCAAGGCAAAGUAUGCAGGCAAUUAAUAAUAUCGAUAAUGGUAGCGGUGGUGUACCACAUCUGGAGAGUAAGGAAUGUUGCUAAUUGGGAUCAUAGAGUCCCCACAUGAUUGUCAAUAAUAUUAAGCAGGAAAGCAAAUAGAAGAUACAUGAUAUACUUGUUUGGAGAUCCUUAAGACAUAAUUAGAGAGCAUGGGUAGAAAGAUUAUCAUAAAUAGGAGUAAUUGUAUAGCUGCUUGAUAUGGCCAGAAUAGAACAGAAAUGCUAAUAGAAAAGGGGGUUGAGUGAGGAAGGAAUAUGGGGGAUUCAAUUGUAAAGUUUUUGUGCUGGUGAUCGAUAAAAUUCUUUUUUUCACCAAAACAACAACCUUUUAGCGGUUAUACAUGUAUAGGGUAAAAUAUGUUAUAUUAAAUGAUCGCAUGAGGAAAUGACACGUGGAGACGAAGACAGUAGAUAGCUGAAACUGAAGGCAACGAUCUCGUCUGUUAUCGUAGAGAAUGAUAUUCAUAAAGAUGAAAUAAACGCAUUCCACCCGGUAGCAUUUAAUGAAGAUUAUUCUACAGCAUUAAGAAUACUGCCUGUUACAAGAAAUAUGAUAUUCAUUGCGGCGCCGUUAGACAUUCUUCAAUGGCCCUCAUAAUUGACACUAAAGAGGGGCUUGAUCCUAGGAUAUUGUUCCCUAGGUGUAGCUAUAAAUAAUGAGCUCUAUUAUCAUUGUAGUUUCUGGAAAACAUAUGCUACACUCUAUUCAAAGCUUAAUAUAAUUUUAUCUUCUUGUUUUUUGAUAUCAUUGUUGUUGUGCCCGGAAGCCCUGCUCCCGCAAUUAUUAUUUCUACUAUUUCGUCUCCAUCUCAAGGCUAAGUAUUACAUUUUUAUCUAAUUCAUCUAUUAUUUCAGGAUCAAAUUAAUUCACUUUUCUAAAAAUUACGUAUAAAUUCAACUAUAUCGUUUUACGGGUAAACAGUUUGGCACCCACCGUGGGGCCUAGACAGUUGUGUAAUUAAGUCGGUCCCUUCCUUUUUUUUACUAACAUGUUUAAUCAUUUGUUCUUAGCAAAAAAUUAUAAAAAAUGACAGAUAAUGGUGUUAACUACACACACAACCUUGAGGCCCAAGGAAAUCAGCCUCAGCACGAAGAUUCAAUUAGUGUUACCCGCAGUAAGGGGAACGAGGCCACACCAGUCCACGGCAGGCGGUACCCGCGACAUGUUCGGGAGGCGACUCCUAAUAAUGCGGAAGAAGAGUCGUUGAAGCGGUAAGGGUCCUGCAGGAACAACAAGAGGUCAUUCUAGGCCAUCUCACGCAGCAGGAUAAGGUUAUGACAGAGCUAAAAUAUGCGUUAUCGGGUGCUUCCAAUAACGUGAAUGGACGAGGUCCAGUCCCUCCCGGUGAUCCCGCAAAUCAAACAAUGCAGAGGGUCGACAAAACACCCCGAGAGGCGAGGUCGGCUUUGAUGGGGUUGGGGGAGCAAAUCUGGUCAUAACAACGAUAGUGAUCCCUUCAAAAACGAACUCAUACGAUUUAUGAGGGAAGUGAAGGCCUGCAUGGACCAAAUCCUUUGUGCACCACCGGUGCUGAAAGGACUAUGCUAAAAGAACUACACUCUAUUGCCGUACAAACCAAGCGCGUCACCAGAAUUGAUCCCGUAGCGGUUUAAAAUUCCUGACGUACCGAAAUAUGAUAGGACUUCAGACCCUCAAGAUCAUAUCACCACCUAUACAACAACGGUGAAGGGUAACGAUUUAGCUCCCCACGAGAUUGAAUCAGUUUUGCUGAAACAAUUCGAAGAGACUCUCACGAGGGGAGUCUUGACAUGGUAUUUGUUGUUGCCCGAGCAUUCUAUAGACUCAUUUGAGAUGCUCGCAGACUCUUUCAUUAAGGACAAUGCUGGGACCAGAAAGGUGUAGGCCCGAAAGGCCGAUAUAUUCAGGAUUGCACAAGGAGAGUCUGAGUUGCUGCGAGAAUUUGUAACCCAGUUCCAGAAGGAAAGGAUAUUGCUCCCGGCCAUUCCGGAUGAAUGGGCCUCUGAAGCAUUCACCAAGGGUUUGAAUUCGAGAAGUUUUUAUGCUUCCUAGAAGUUAAAACAAAGCUUACUCGAGUUCCAAGCGACGACUUGGGCGGAUGUUCAUAACCGGUAAGAGUCAAAGAUAAGGAUUGAGGAUGAUCAGCUUGUCUUCCAGCAUUGGUUAAAGGUCGGGAGAAGAAUAAAGAGAAAUCAAAAGACGAUUUUGACACAGAUAGACGGUCUUCGAGGAGCCGGGUUUUGCCUUAUGAACGGGCCGAUGGAUGCGGCACAAGCUUCCAAUAUGCAUAUAGGUUUGUUACUGAUAGAAGGAUUGAUCGCGGCCGGAACAACAGGUCGUUACAGGACAAGGAAACGUCAGGUUCUCGAGACCCUUCCUACCCCAGACUUUCAGAAUACAACUUUAACGUCAGCAUGGUACAGUUAGUAUCAGCUAUGAAGAACAUUAAAGAAGCACGGUUCCUAAAGUCUAUGAGGUCCGAUCCAAGCCAGAGGGAUCCUAAUUUAUGGUGUGAAUACCACGGGAUGAACAGUCACCGGACUGGGGACUGCCGGCAUCCGCACGAAGAAGUGGCGAUACUGCUGAAAAAUGGCCAUCUCAGGGAGUUCCUAAGUGACCGAGCCAAGAACAAUCACAGUCGCAAUCAUGACAACAUGGAUCCCUCAAAAGCAGGAGAAGAUCCCCCACGCCUGACGAUCAAUAUGAUUUUUAAGGGGAACGAGAUUAACAGGGUUACCUUUUCGGCAGCAAAAAAAGAUGAAGGUAUCAGUAACCCAUAUCAAGAGACUCCGGGAAGUCACUGAAGAUGACAUCACUUUCACGGAGGAAGAUGCAGAUGGAUUGUUGCUACCAUACAAUGACGCAUUGGUAAUUUCUUUAAAUGUGUUAGAUUUUAAAAUCAAACGUGUUCUAGUGGAUCUAGGGUGUUCGGCCAAUAUUAUACAAUGGAGGGUAUUGGAACAAUCCAAACUUACUGGAAGCAUCAUUCAGGCCACAAAACUUCUCGCCGGGUUCAAUAUACCAAGCGUGACAACCCGAGGAAAAAUCAUGUUGUCCACGGACGCCGAGGGGGUGAUGAAGACGACCCUUUUCCAGGUGGUGGAUGGUGAUAUGGGCUACAACAUUAUCCUGGGAAUACCAUGGUUGCACGAGAUGAAGGUUGUACUAUCAACGUAUCACCAGUUGCUGAAAUUCCCAACUCCUGAGGGGAUUAAACAAAUAAAAGGCGAUCAACCGGUGGCAAGAGAGAUGAAUGUGAUUUCGGUAUCCAGUAGCAAAGAGAAGGAGCAUGCGGCAUAGCAAUUACAAGAACCGACGCCUACUCCCGAGUCAAGCAAAGUCAACCAGAGGGAAGAGACGUCGGAAUCUUAUCAAGUGCCAAGAUAUUUCCAGGUACUAGAAGAGAUGAACGCAACAAAGUCCACAGCGGAAAAUCUUGAGCAAGUCCUGUUGUUCAAAAAGUUCUUGGAGAGGAAAUUUCACUUGGGGACAAGACUGCACCCCGAGCUCAAGUCCGGGUUUAUUGAAUUUCUUAAAUUUAAUGUCGGUUGUUUUGCGUGGUUGCAUGCGGAUAUGACAGGUAUUCCAACGGAAGUGGCCGUACACAAGUUAAGCCUAGAUCCUAACAUUCUUCCGGUAAGAUAAAAAAAAAUGUCAUAUCAUCGAGGCCAGAAAUAAAUUCGUCAAGGAAGAGGUAACUCGCUUACUUAAUAUCGGUUUAAUCCGAGAGGUAAAGUAUCCAGACUGGCUACUAAUGUAAUAGUAGUUCCUAAGAUGAAUAAUAAAUUUUGCAUGUGUGUAGACUAUAAGGACUUGAAUAAGGUGUGCCUAAAGGACUCAUUCCCAUUGCCAAACAUCGAUCAAAUGAUUAAUGCAAUGAUCGGGUAUGAGUUAAUGAGUUUCCUCGAUGCUUACUCUGGGUACAACCAAAUUAAGAUGAACCCGGAAGAUCGGGAAAAAACUUCAUUCUUAACAAUUUUCGGCACAUACUGCUAUAAUGUGAUGCCCUUCGGGCUAAAGAACGCUGGAGCCACUUGUCAAUGGCUCGUAAAUAAGAUGUUUGAAAAACAGAUAAGGAAAACCAUGGAAGUUUAUAUAGACGAUAUGCUUGUUAAGUCUUUGAACGCAUGUGAUUAUCUUAAAUACUUGCAAGAAACUUUUGACAUCCUAAGGAAGCAUGACAUGGAGCUUAACCCCGAAAAGUAUGUGUUCGGGGUCAGCUCCGGCAAGUUCCUGGGGUUUCUGGUGUCACAAAGGGGUAUUGAGGUUAGCCCCGAUAAAAUCAAAGCCAUCAAAGACAUCCCAGACCAGCUAUCAAGCGUAAAACAGGUUCAAAGGCUUAUAGGGAGAUUGGCCGCUUUGAGCAGGUUCAUUUCUCAGUCUUCAGAGAAAUGCCACUAUUUCUUCUUCUGCUAAAUAAGAAGAACAACUUCGAAUGGACCACAGAAUGUCAGCAGGCUUUGAGGUAAUUGAAAUGAACUCGGACUUUAUGGCCGAUUUCAGCCCGGGAUUACUACCUCUGGCAACCAAAGAGGCAGUAAUGGCAUCAGAAUCAAUAUUAGAAUUUUGGACCCUAUUUAUGGAUGGAGCUUCCAACGUAAAAGGGUUUGGUCUUGACAUAGUAUUAACUACGCAUUCGAGAGAAACCCUAAGGUAGGCCAUAAGAACGGUUAUUUUAACUAACAAUGAAGCAGAAUAUGAAGCUUUGAUUGCAGGUCUCGAAUUGAUCCAAGAGUAGAUUCUGAGGUCAUAGAAAUCAAAUGCGACUCCCAGCUAGUGGUAAAUCAGGUCUAUGAGAUCUUUGAAGCCAAAGAUAAGCGCAUGUAACAAUAUGUAGCGAAGGUUCAGGCUUUGCUUGCUCGAUUCUGAGAGUGGUCAAUUACGCACAUCCCGGGGGAAGAAAACACGGAAGCAGGCGUACUAGCUUAUCUUGGCUCAUCAACGGAAAUAAAGGGAUCGAAUUCCUGUACGAUAGUAUAGCUUAUACACUUGGUUCUAGAUGCAGGUAGCUACUACGAGGUAAACACGACUAAUUUGGUCUGGAAUUGGAGGAAUGAGAUCAUUAAUUAUCUCGAGCACGGAAAAUUGCCUGACGCCAAGGCAUCCCGGGCGAUGCGCGCUAAAGCAAUACGAUAUAGCUUUAAAGUGGGCCAAUUGUGUAGGAAAUCUUUCCAAGGUCCGCUGGCCCGAUGUUUGGGAGCCUCCGAAGCCAAUUAUGUCAUGCAAGAAGUCCACGAAGGAAUCUGUGGAAAUAUUUCGGGUGCAGAUUCCUUAGUACUAAAGUUUAUAAGGGCAUGAUACUAUUGGCCCCAAAUGGAACAAGACACCAAAUCUUUUGUACAAAAAUGUGAUAAGUGUCAACGCUACGCUUCGUUGGUACAUUAACCACAAGAACCAUUGCACUCAUUGUUUUCUCCAUGGUCGUUCAUGAAGUGCAGAAUGGAUAUUGUCGGACCACUGCCGCCGACCCCUAGUAAGGUAGGGUUUCUUUUGAUUUUAACUGACUAUUUUUCUAAGUGGGUUGAAGCAAGUCCUUUUAGAAAUUGGCGAACGUGAAGUGGUGGAUUUCUUGUGGGAGAACAUAAUUUGCAGAUUUGGGAUACCAAAAGAGAUAGCAUGCGACAACGGGCCACAAUUUAUAGGUGCUAAGGUCACAAAGUUCCUUGAAGACUUGAAAAUCAGAAGGAUCACAUCCUCACCCUAUCAUCCGAGUGCAAAUGGUCAAGCGGAAUCAACGAACACAGUGAUUAUAUAAAAUCUCAAAAAGCGAUUGGAAGUAGCUAAAGGUAGAUGGCCUGAGGAACUGCCCGGAGUACUAUGGGUGUAUCAAACAACGACCAAAUCGAGCAUAGGAGAGACUCCUUUCUCCCUUGUGUACGGAGCAGAAGCCUCGAUCCCGGUGGAAGCAGGGGAGUUACCUUGAGAUACUUCCAGGCAAAUAAAGAAGCAAACAACGAAGUAAUGUUGAUCAAUUUGGAGCUUCUCAAUGAGCGCAGGGACUUGGCGCAUAUAAGGAUGGCAGCUCAAAAGCAGAGAAUAGAAAGAUAUUAUAAUCGAAGAGCCAACCUCCAUUAUUUCAAAGUGGGAAACUUGGUUCUAAGGAAAGUAACUCAAAACACUGGGAAAAUCAAUACAAGGAAGCUAGGUCCAACAUGGGAAGGCACCUACCGGGUUUCAUCUAUCACCGGAAAAGGUUCAUACGAGUUGGAGAAUCAAAAAGGAUAAAAGUUGCCAAGCAACUAGAACGUGGUGCAUCUCAAGAGAUACUAUUACUGAUGAACAUCACUUAUACUGAAAGUAUGUGUUGCACUUUUUUUCCCUCCAUCCAGCUUUUGUCCCAAUUGGGUUUUUCUAGCAAGGUUUUUAAUGAGGCAGCAAUGAAAAACAUACUACGAAGAAGGUUUCAACAACAGCAACAAGACCUUUUAAUAACAAGGCACACAAGCGAAGAACCACUCUGGAGCGGUUAGAUAAUCAUUUGCUCGAUAGCAAAGUUCCCACCGGGAAGUUAUAUUUUCUAUCGAGCAAGGGUUACCCCACUGUUCACAAGUGCAAACCACUAGAGGAUUGUUAGAUAGUCUUUGGCUCCAUAGCAUAAAUUCCUAAGGGGAAGUAAAGUUUGUUAUCGAAUUGAAGAUUAUCUAGCAAUUCAUUAGUGGAAUCCUCGAAGGUGUUAAACUUACAGUGUUCCAAUUCGCCUUCUUCGCAUUCGAACAGGGAAGAAUAGUUAUAUCAUUGGACCGGGGACUGCGCGGCCAGCCCCGUAGAAACAAGUUGUACAAGUUAGCCACAAGAAAUGGUGAUUUCCUUUUAGCAUAACAAAUGCUUAUGUAAUUUUUGAAAAUGGGAGGAAUAAAGUAAAAUUCUUUUAUUUCUAUCUUGUUUCUUGUCUAAACGAUGAAUUGAUUUUUUCAUUUGAAAGUUAAACAAGUACUUCAAAUGCUAGUGCCGUAAUGAACAGGAGACGUCCUCUUCAAGAUCAUUGUAAACAUAAGGGGGCCCUCUCUUAUGAAAACCCUCACGAUAAAGGGUUGAUUUCGGAAGACCUUGUGCCCAAAAUCCAAAUGCUUUUAGGAGGAAAUACACCCAAAGCCUUACAUAAUCAGGCGCAAACAGUAAAACUUGCGCAAAACACUCAAACAAGAAAGGAUACAAAGAUUAAACUUGCAUAAAUGUUCAACAAAUGAACGCAGAAAGACUCAUGCAAUACUUGAAAAAAGGUGUUUUAUUUACAAUAAAGGUUCCAAAAUGGCACAAGUACAAAAGUUGGGAAAAGAGAUGAAAAGCUAAGCUGUUGCAUCUCCUGAACCCGGAGGAAGAGAAGCAUCUAGGCCCCAGGAGAAAUGGGUAGAUCCGCCACCGGCUCAAUAUGACCUUCAUCAUUUUGGCCUUCAACAUCUCUGCCUUCCGGUUCCUCUUCAGUUCCUAAGAAUUCGUAACCGGAACCAGAAGAAUCAGAAGCAUCAGGUCUGGCCGGAAGACCCCUUUUAGCAGACUCCAGCUCACGGGCUUUAGCGAUUUCAGCAUCAAAGUCAAUGACACCCGUUUUAUCCUCUUUGAAGGUUUUUCUCCUCAUGUUAUAACAUACAUUUUUUCAACAACGAGGGAAGCCACUCGUUUCUUGAGUUCUUCUUUAAGUUGGUCAACCUCGGUAGAAAGAUUUUCCCGUGUGGAUCUAACUGACCAGAGGCUAACAUCGAGAUCACGGACAGUAGAGAUGAAAAGCCUAUUAUGCUCAAUGGUUGCUCUUAUACUUCUCCUCCAAUUGGGCAAAUUUCACCCCGGCAAUAGCAAGCUCUUCAGUUUUGGAGUUCAAGGUUGCUCCAAAUUAUUUAAUCUUUUAGCGGAGGCAGCCUCAUGAUCGGAUGCAGCAAGAACGUCACUAUGGACUUCAACCUAUUUGGCCUUAGCCUCUUCAAAUUGAACCCUCAAUGGGGCGAUCUAUUGGCUAAGGGUCUCUACUUCUUGCUCUCUUUGUUGCAAACAAGCCUCCAACACAAUAGCCUCAGUAGCUUUGGCUUCCAGUUCUGAGAGGCAAGCAGUAGUUUGGUCCCGCUCGGCCAAAAGUUGAUCCCGCUCGGAGGUAAGUUCCUCCUUAUCCCAAAUCAAACUUUGAAGGCCCUAGAAAGCAAGGUAUUGGCCUGCGAAACAAAAACGCCAAACUCAAAUUACUACUAAAUCAAGGAUAGAAGAGAGAACAAAGGAAAUAAAGAGUAUACCGUUGUGAAGUUGUGCAUAACAUUGUUCAACAAGAACUCUCCCGAGAGAGCUUUUAUUUUUUCCCAAUCUUUUUCUAAAUCCAAAGGCUCCAGAUAGUUAGCGAGUUCUACCGACAAGGAAAACAGAUUGCACCCGGCAAAGACAGAGAGCAUAACGCUCCUCCUCCUUUGCGUAUCUUCUGAGAAGGUGGCAUAAUUUUGCCCCAAGUUCCCAUGAAUUGGGGAUUGGGGAUAGGAACAUCCUCUUCUCGGACAGAUGCGGCCGAUGGAGAUGAUGUAGCAGUUGUUGGUUGAAGAAUCAGUGAAGACGAAGAUGAAGCUAAUGGUGUUGAAGGAGGAGAAGUGGUUGCGGCAAGCGCAAUGCUGGGUGUUGGUUACUCAUCAACCGAAGAAAGCAGGAACCCGGUACUCAAUCUCAUAGUAUCGGGUGCAGUGAUUGUGAUCCGAAAACGAAAUUGGCAUUUUCCACCAUCUCAAACUCCCCCUAGAGCGUCGAGGCAUCAUCCUCGGUUGGUAUAACUAAGUCAACAAAUUGAGUAGUCUGUUGAGCUGAGGAAGGUCGUCGUCUUCUGUGUAGAGAAGCCCCUCCUCGCUGGCUUCCCCAUCAUCGUCAAUCAUCACGAUGUCUAUGGUCGGCCCGGGCGGAGGACUCAUCACCACAACUUCCGGAGAUGACUUGAGAGUGGCAUUCUUCGCCCUAUUAUUCUUUCCCCCAUCUGCGGAGAAACGUCUUCUUUUUAGUGGCUUGUUCUCCGGCCGGAGACUCCGGGAAGAAGCACACGCACCAGAAGUAGGCCCGAAAAUGCCUUUCUGUGUAAAAGCCUCCUGCAGCAACCUCUCUGUGUCAGCAGGAUUAGCCAAAACGUCCUCCUCAAGGAUGACAACUGAGCCCUGGGUAGACCUGAAUCCAACAGGAGAGAAGAGUCAAACAACUUCCUUAUAUGAAAAGGUAAAAACAAGAUGAGUUCAACUUACCAUUAUUUUUGGUGUUCCACCCAUAUUUUAAGGAAAGUUCUUUCCACGUGUGGGUUUUGGGCAUAGUAACGUCCAAACUUUUCUAGACCCAAUGGUCCAAGCCCUCAACCCUAGGUGGAACCCACCGAGUCGCUGAAAAAGGUAAAGGAAGAAAGAGUCAGUAAUAAUGUGAAAUGAUCUUUAACAGAAGAAGAAACAAAUGAUAGACUUACAUGUGCGGUUCCAUAAUUUCGAGAAAGACGGAGUCAUGGCCGGGAUGAUGUCACUGGUGGCGACUGAAAUGAAUUGUUCUAUCCACCCACGAUUGUUGUCAUCAUCCAUGAUGGAUAGCAGUGCAUGGUGGCCACGAUUGCUGAAAUUUAUCAUUCCCCCGCGGAAGCUUUUGGGCGAAUAGAGGUUCAUCACUCGAGCUAAGGAUAUCUCUUCUCCUAUCUCCUGGCACUAGCACCGAAGGCAAGAGAUUGUCCUCCACACAGAGGGACUUACUUGUGCCAAGCACACCUAAUAGAUGAGGCAUAACUCCACAAUGACAUAGUGUAACAACCCGGACGGUCAUUUUGAGAGUUAUAGCCUCGUUCCCUUAUUUACUAUUCAUUCCCUAAUUAAAUUUUGUUAUGUGACUUGCCGGGGUAGUUGGCUCGGGUUCGGAGAGGUUUCGAAAUGAAUUGAGACACUUAGUCUCAAGGUUGAAAGUUUAAGUUGAAAAGAUUGACCGGAUAUCGACUUAUGUAUAGAUGAAUGUGGAAUGGAGUUUUGAUGGUUCUAUUAACUCUGUUGGGCGAUUUUGGACUUAGGAGCGUGUCCGAAUAGUAAUUUGGAGGUACGUGGUUGAUUUAGGCUUGAAAUGGCAAAAUUCGGAAAUUUAAAAGUUUGAUCGGGAGUGGACUUUAUGACUACCGGGCUCGGAUUUGGGUUCCGGGAGGUGGAGUAGAUUCGCGGUGUCAUUUGUGACUUGUGUUCAAAAUUUGAGGUCAAUCGGACGUGAUUUGAUAAGUUUCGGCGUCGUUUGUAGAAGUUGGAAUUUCUUAGUUUCAAUAGGAUUAAAUUAGGGUGUGAUUCGUGUUUUUGAUAUUGUUUGAUGUGAUUUGAGGGCUCGACUAAGUUCAUAUCGUGUUUUAGAAUUAUUGGUAUAAUUGGUUGAGUUCCCGGGGGCCUUGGGUGGAGUUCGGAUGGUUAACGGAUCGAAUUUGGAGUUUGAAAGAUUGUUGAAGUUGGGAGUCUUCUGGUGCAAUCGCACCUGUGGAGCUUUGGUCGUAGGUGCGAGCUCGCAGGUGCGAGCUCGCAGGUGUGAGAAAAGGAGCGCAAGUGCAUCCAUGGAAGGGUUGUGCAGUGGUCGUAGGCACGGAAGGAGUUCCACAGAUGCGGAUGUGCAUCUGCGCGAGGUUGACCGCAUAAGCGGAUUUGGCUAGGCAGCAAGGGCGUCGCAAAUGUAGAGAAGGCUCGCAGAUGCGGUCCUGCAGGUGCGAGGCUGGGACCGCGGGUGCGAUGGGUUGCCAGUUAAGUGGGUUCCGUAUGAGCGUGAUUUUUUCGCAAAAGCUGAUGCGUAGGUGCGAGCCCAGGCUCCACAUGUGCGGAAAUGCCUGGGGCAGUAUUUAAAUUCGAGGGUUUCCGAGAUUUUCUUCAUUUUAAACAUUUCAAGCUUAGGAUUUGGCGAUUUUGAGAGGAUGUUCGAGGGGUUUAUUGAGGUAAGUCACUUGUGGUUAAAUCUAUUCAAUAAUUAUGUUUUCCCAUUGAAUUUCUCACCUAGAUUGUGUGGUUUUGAGGUGUAAUUUGGGGGUUUGAGACUAGGGAUUUGGAGAGUUUAAAUUGGGGGUUUGGGUGUCGAUUUGGUGAUGGAUUUUGGUAAAUUUAGUAUGGUUGGACUUAUAGUGGAAUAAAUUUCUGGAUUUUGUGACUUCUAUUGGAUUCCGUGACGUGGGCCCGGGGCCGACUUUUGAGUGGACUUUUUGACUUUUAAUUAAAAGCUUAGUAAUUUCAUAUGGAAUUGAUUCCUUUAGCUCGUGUUGAUUGUAUCGAACUAUUUGUGGCUAGAUUCUUGGCAUUUGGAGGCCAUUUUGCGAGGCAAGAGCUUUUUGGAGUAGAGUUUCGUACGGUUUGAGGUGAGUAACACUUUUAAGCCUGGUUCUGAGGGUGUGAAACCCCGAAUUUCGUGUUAUGUGAUUAGUGUUGAGGUGACGCAUGUGCUAAGUGACGGGCAUGUAGACGUGCACAAUAAGAAUUGUAACUUGGUCGAUUCCAUGGAACUGAAAAGUUGUUAAAUCUUGUUGCUACCCGUAUUCUCACCAUGUGUUAGAUCUAUUGAGCUGUCAGUCAUGUUUGAAACCCUGCUUAGGCUAUAUGAUGGUACUAUUGGGACCCACAGUGGUCAUUUUUUGCUGUAGAACUAAUUGCUUAAUCUAUCAAUUUAUACUCAGUCACAGUUAUUACUUGCAUAUUAUGUCUCAGUCUCUGUUGUCUUUACAUAUUAUAUAAUAUCAUCAUUUGUAGGCUGAUUAUCAUGAUUCUGGUAAGCCCGAGAGACUAGAGAGAUUAUUGGCUGAGUGGAGCUGAGGUCCUAUUGUGAGUGAUAUUUAUGGGAUCGGGCUGCACACCGCAACAGGAUUUAUUGAUUGAUGCCAUGAUUUGGCUUAUUAUAGCGCUUGGGCUGGAUCGCCCCCUCCAUAGUCUGCACACCCACAGUGGGCGCAAUGCUAGCAGUUAUGACAUUUGGGUUGGAUAUGCCCUGUUUACUUGUAUUUGGGCUGGAUCAGCCCUGCUUUAUUUGCAUGUGGGCUGGAUCUGCCCUGUUAUAUGUUAAAUUUUGUUGUGAAAUCUGAAAGCAUGUCUAAGUUCUUAUUGAAAGCAUGUCUAAAUGCUUGUACCUUCACUUGCAGAAUAUAAAUAUCUGAGAUAUCAUUGUCAUAAUUUUUUAACUUUUCGUACUGUUAAAUGUUGAAAGUGGACCGUAAUAAUUGGACUUGUUACUAUUUUCAGUCUAAAGAUUAGAUUUUUUACUUAUUGAGUUGGUUGUACUCAUACUACACCAUGCACCUCGUGUACAGAUCCAGGUACUUCCUAUUACGGCGGUUGUUGAUUUGCAGAGGUCAAACUAUCGGAGAUCAUCGAGGUAGCUGCUUGGCAUUUCACAGACCUUGACUCUCCUCCCUUAUCUUUCAGUUUACUUAUUCAGUAUUACUCUUAGACAGUGUACCCGACUUUGUCUCUUCGUAGAUGCUAAUGUACUCAGUGACACCCCGAUUUUGGAAAGAAUUUAUGUAUUGAGUUAUGAUUUUCUAUCCUGUUUUAAGAGAUUUUCCUUUAUUUAAAUUGUUUUAGUAUCUGUUAAAGAUUUAAAGUGUUGGAAAUGUCUGAAUAGUUGGCUUGUUUAGUACCAUGAUAAGCGCCAUCACGACGGGUUGGUUUUGGGUCGUGACACGGAGUCAAGCUCCCGCUCAAAGAAAAUACUCCAAAAGUGAAGGAAUACGUGUAAAAGUAUGUAAAACCCUUCUUGGGUAAAGUUAUCUGCUCCACCAGAUCGGGAGAGAUAAUGUCCAAUUCUUGACAGUGGCAUUCUUCCUUCAUAGCAGGGAUACUGGAAGGACGGAUAGAAGAAGGAUAUACGUUAAUAGCCCACGUACGAGGGUGAGCAGAAGGGUAUUUUUCUUCGAAAUCUUUGGUGGUAAUAAGGUUCUUUGGGAUGAUGGUACUCAACGUAGGGGGAACAGCAUCAUCAGUUUUGCUUUUGUUCUUUAAAGAACUAGGGUUUCUUGAAGAGGGGGCCUUUUUUUUUAUCAGAAAGAGGGUUUUCUCUCAAAGAAGGAAGAUAAAGAAAGGUUAAAGUCGAAGUACGAGUUGAGUAAAGAAAGUUUUAGAAGAUUUAGAGUAUUAUGAAGUGUAAAUGAAGGAGGUUGAUGCAUAUAAGUAAAGGUAUAGGCGGCUAAACUCGUGGCCAUAAUUACCUCGAUAACCGACAAAAGUUAUGCUAAAUCAUGGGAUGACGCGUGUUCGGGGCAUUUAAUGCGAAGAGACAUGCGUCUAAUCAAUCGUCAGAAACCUUUUAGAGGGGUCAGUAAAUUUCCCGCCAAAAAGAAAGUUUCUACCAAGUUCCCAGUGACACAAAGGUAUGCCACUGAAAAGUAGGAGGACUAUAUGUAUAGGGUAAAAUAUGUUAUAUUAAAUGAUCGCAUGAGGAAAUGACACGUGGAGUCGAAGACAGAAGAUAGUUGAAACUAAAGGCAAGGAUCCCAUCUGUUACCGAAGAGAAAGAUACUCAUAAAGAUGAAAUAAAUGUCUGUCACCCGGUAUUAUUUAAUGAAGAAUAUUCUAUAGCAUUAAGUAUAUUGCCCGUUACAAGAAACAUGGCAUUCACUGCCCGUCAUUACACAUUCUUCAAUGACUCUCAUAAUUGACAUUAAAGAGGGGCUUGAUCCCGCGAUCUUGUUCCAUAGGUGCAGCUAUAAAUACUGAAUUCUAUUAUCAUUGUAAAGGACACAGAUUUUCUAGCAAACAUACGCUACACUCUAUUCAAAGCUUAAUAUAAUUUUAUCUUCUUGUUUUUUGAUAUCAUUGUUGUUGUGCCCGGAAGCCUUGCUCUCGGGAUUAUUAUUUCUGCUAUUUUGUCUCCAUCUCAAGGCUAAGUAUUAUAUUUUUAUCUAAUUCAUCUAUUAUUUCAGGAUCAAAUUAAUUCACUUAUCUAAAAAUCACGUAUAAAUUCAACUGUACCAUUUUACGGGUAAACAACAUAUAAUAAAAGUCAUAUAUGGAUAGAAGCACUAGGUCUACCGGAAAUAACUUACGUGCAACUGAUAAACACACCAAAGUAAUAAGGGGUCAUUUGUUUGGAGGAAUUAAAAAAAAGUUUAGAUAAAAAUCAACAUGAAAUAAAUAAAAACUUUUAGCUGAAGAGAUUAGAAAAUAAAAUUAAAUGGCUAUAAAGUGGAAAAUGCCUACAUAACUUUCUAAUUAUUAUUAUUAUUAUUAUUAUUAUUAUUAUUAUUAUUAUUAUUAUUAUUAUUAUUAUUAUUAUUAUUAUUAUUAUUAUCAUCGCCUAAUUUCACUGCAUAAUACUCCUCUGAUAAUUAUUAUUUGUCGAAUCGCGAUCUUUAAGAACAUGACAUGUAUCUGUAUACGGAAUUUAUCACCCAAUAAUCAUGACCCGUUAAUUUAUAUUCUUACCUUAAAUUAUUAAUGUCGGGUUUUAGUUCAAAAAUUGAGGUGAAUAGAAAAUGGAGGAAAAAAAUAAAAUUUUGAUUUUCACUCCUUUACAAAGGAACAAUAUCCCAUAUUGGCGGAGAAAAGCUCAUUUGUUAAGUAUAUAUAUAGUUGCACUUUUUCUAGCUCUUAAAGAGUUGAGAAGAAGUCAAGUCUUGCAUUGUCGUUGUUGGCUCGGCUUUGGAUUUGACCUGAUUGAUUAGUUUUUUUGACCAAAUUUAUUUGUUAAAUAGUUAAAUUAAAUUAGUAUUUCAAUCCAAAUCAACCGUUUACGUAAUGGUAAUUUGAAUUUCCUCUAGUUUGAGUUUUUCAUUUUAUUUUGCGUAAAUAGCCAUUUAUGUAAUAGUCGGUUUACGUGAACAAUCAUCAGGACGAGUUGCACCUCUUCGUUUGAACUCAACUGAACAAUCAUCAGGACGAGUUGCACCUCUUCGUUUGAACUCAACUUGUUGGCUAUAAAUCCCAAGCCAUUCCCUCAUAUUUUUCUUACAAAAAUUCUGAAUUCUCUUUCUUCCUUCUACAUUAUUUUUAACUUAAACAAAGCAACAAUAAGUAACUACCGAUUAUUUGUGUUCGCUGAAAUAUUGGGGUUUGAAGUACCGCUACACCAGCGUGUAAUCCGUUCUAUCCUGAGAGAAAAUAAUCCACAACCUCGGAUAUUAGGAGGGGAUUAAGUUCCUUAAUGAAACACUGUGAAUUCAAUGCGCUCGAAUUAAUUUCUAUUUCUUCUACCUUUCUGAUUUUAAGUUAUUUUUGUUAUUGCUUUACAAAUAGAUAAGACUAACAAUUAAUACUUAACAUUAAUAACUAAAUUUGAGAUUACAAUUUUCGGAUUAUCGGGAUACAAUGUAGUACCCUCACUUUUUCGAAAUAAAGUUAGCAUUCUUUAUUGGCGGCUAACAUAUUUUGCUUUUCUAUUUGAUGUAAAAAUAAAAAAGAUAAGCACACUCGGUAUUUGCAUAAUAAUAAUAAUAAUAAUAAUAAUAAUAAUAAUAAUAAUAAUAAUAAUAAUAAUAAUAAUAAUAAUAAUAAUAAUAAUAAUAAUAAUAAUAAUAAUAAUAAUAAUAACGAACAGAAAUAUGUCUUUUAAUUUGUGUAGUCAUUGUAUGCAAUGUUCAAAUUGAAAUAUUUUAAUCGAAAGACCAAAAACAGUAUGACGACCACACGGCUCUUUCAUAGAAAAUUUCGUGAUUCCUCUUUAAGUCUAAAUCAUGGAACAAAAAAAUAUCCAAGUGGAUAACUUUAUAUGGCUAUAAAUUUGAGCCUUGUUCCUGCUGUUUUUGUAUCAAUUUAGCUAACUAUUCUAGAAAGAGAAAGCAGCCAUGGUGUCCACUACCUCAAGUUUUCUACUUCUUGUUCUUGUUUCUUCUUCCUUCUUUGUAAUAGAAGCUCAGAUACCUGCUCCAGUGAAAGGUCUUUCAUGGAAAUUUUAUGAAUCUAGUUGCCCUCAGCUUGAAUCCAUUAUUCGGAAGAGGCUUCAAAAGCAGAUCAAAGAUGAUGUUGGUCAAGCUGCCGGUUUACUUCGCCUUCAUUUCCAUGAUUGCUUUGUUCAGGUAAUUUUAUUUAUUUUUUGAAAUGUUUGUAUUUAUUAAUAUAUAUGGUCAUGAUUAAAAAAAAACUACCUUUUAAUUAGUUAUCUUUGAUAUAGUGAUAUUUAAAAGUAGAUUAAUUUCAUUAUUGGUAAAUAUACAUUAUUGUAGGGAUGUGAUGGUUCGGUUUUGCUAGAUGGUUCAGCAGGAGGGCCAAGCGAACAGACUGCAAUUCCUAAUUUGACCCUAAGAAAGAGAUCAUUCAAGAUUAUUGAUGAUCUUAGGAAAAGGGUUCACGAUGCAUGUGGGAAAGUUGUGUCUUGCUCUGACAUUACAGCUAUUGCUGCUAGGGACUCUGUUGUCUUGGUAAGACCAAAAUUACCAUUUAGUCCAUGCUAAUCUUGCUUUAGAUCAUGUUAGUUUAUUUUUACUAAUCAGAAACUCUUCAUUUAAUUUUCAUAACUAUAUUUAUAUAAUUGAGCAACUCACUCUUAACUACUUCUAUUAUAUGUACCUAUAAGUUAAGUUAGACUCAUUUGUUAACGGCCUAGGAAAUUGAUUCACUCCUCAUUCUCUUGCAUAAAUAAAGCUAGCUAUGGGCCGGAGCUGCAACACGUUCUUUAAAACCUAGUAGCUUUUGUCUAAAUUAUUUAUUUGUUUUAAAGAAUGCAUCGAAUAGUACUAUUAAUUAAUUUGAUAGUAGCUUAAUUUACUAUCAAUAACUUAAUUAAUUACUUAUGAGAUUAUGUUCCUUUCAGACCGGUGGGCCCAACUACAAUGUGCCCUUAGGAAGAAAAGACGGACGGACCUUUGCAACAGAACAAGCAACCUUAGACAACCUUGUUGCACCAUUUGCCAACACUACAGUCGUCCUCAGUCGCCUUGCAACCAAGGGUUUAGACGCCACCGACGCCGUCGCUCUAUCCGGGGCCCACACCAUCGGAAUCAGCCACUGCACUUCCUUCACCGACCGUCUCUUCCCUAACCAAGACCCAACCAUGG